rnacentral:lncRNA from 1 species
CAAAUAUAGUGAAUUAUAGAUAUAUUUCUAUAGGUACCGUUUGAUUCGGGUAUAAGCAAGAACUAACUAUUAUAGGGAUAGGUACAAGUAUGGAGAUGAGAAAAAUAAUGUUUGGAUGAAAAUUGAGUUGUUCCCGGGGAUAAGAACAAUUUUAGAUAGCUUUAUAUAGAAAAUAGAGGUGUUGGUGGGGAUAACCGAGAACUACUAUUCUCGGAUAAAAAAUUACGUUUGGGUAUAAAAGGGGGAUAAGGGCCUAUUCCUAUCCCUAUCCCCUAACCAAACGCUGCCAUAAAGUUCAACUUAUUCCUACAAAAGUUCUAAUGUUUUCAGAUAUGUCCCUACCGUUAGAAUCCGUUAGAAACGUUUAAUUAACCAUAGGUUAAACACUUUAUCCGGGUUAAUUUUUGACUUUUUUACUCAUCUUACAUUAUAUUGUUAUAACUUUUAGAGGAAUAUAUUUGUGAUAGCAAAAUUGGAAAUAUAAAUAAUUUUUUAACAGUUCUCCAACAGUAACAAACCAGAGGGACAUAUCUGAAAAUAUUAGAACUUUUGUAAAGAUAACUUAUAAAAGUUGAAUUUUACAGAGAUAUAUUUGUAAUUCACUAUGUUUGCGGGAACCUGUAUGCAAUUAACCUUUUUUUAUAUCAUUUUCGAUAAUGCGCAUUCAAAUUGACAAUCAACAUAAUCAAACAUAAUUUACAGUAUUUAAACUUUUUAGAAACCAUAUUUCAAAAUUUUUUAAUUUAUUUACUAGGUGAACAAAUGGUUCAAAAUAUAUUAUUAUAUAUUUAUCAUUAAAAAUUACCGAAUUUGAUAUCAAUAACACGUAAACAAUACUGAAAAGUCAUAUAGUUGGGUCUCUAGAAAAUUCAUUUGUGUUAAGUCGUAUGUUACAGCGUCAAUCAUUAAUUCAGAUAAAAGGAUAUAAAAGUACCAAGCAUUUGAUGCGUUUAAAAGUAUUUGAACUUAACACGUAUUUCAAGAUUUUUAUUUCAAGUCAAAUCAAAGUACCUCCGUACAUACUAGUAGAAUAAUUGUACAAUAUAUCAAGGACUUCGAAAAAUUUUAGUCUAUAUCAACUUCAAAAUUUUUCACUAUUUAACGUUACAGUAUUUGUUACUUUUUUUUUUUGACAAAAUACUCCAUCAAAUAUUAAAAUAUUUUAUGAGAUUACGAAAUAAUUCAUAAAAAAAUGUCACAAAUACUGUAAUGUCGGAGUAGAAUCAAAACUUGCGUAAUUUGUGUACCUAUUUCAAAAAUAUUGGAAAUCAAAAUUAAUGAAGUUAUCAAAUGUCUUCACUUUUANCCCUUAGAUUCUCCAAAUUCUCCAAUAAUAGAGGAAAUGCAUCAGAUUAAUGAGGAAAUGUCUAUCCCAAAAAAAAAAAAAAAAAAAAAAACAACAACUUAAUUUCUCCUAUAAAUUGGAUGACUCAAUUGUAAGAAAAAGAGAGUUUUGAUAAGAAAAAAUAUUUUUGAGGAGCGUUAAAGUAACUUGGAACCGCCGUUAUUUUGUAUAGUCAUAAAUAUUAAAUAACAGUCAUAAAUAUUUGAGAUCAGAUCCCGAUUUAAAGUAAUUUGAAAGAAGCGUUGUUUUUCAAAAGUUUAAAUUACAGAGAGUGGUAUUUUGAAUACUUAAAUUUUGGGUAAACUUCAAUUUGUCCUCCUGUGAUCUAGCUCAUUUUUACUUUGUUAUCAUGUGGUUCAAAAAAUUAUAUUUAAUUAUUCUAAAACUAUAACUAUGUUUUUAUCUAGAAAAAACUACUAUCAUAUAGAAUAAUAAAAUAAAGGGCUUUUUUUGCAUUUAGACCCCUGACAAAUUUUUAUUUUAAAAAUAGCCCUGUCAAAAUUUAAUUUGCAAAAAUGGCCCUGGGCCUGCCACGCAGGCGCCACGUCAGCGCUAGGCGGGCAGGGCUGGGCCGUGUGUAAGUUCGAACACUGCUGAACCAUUCCACGGUUCAAACUACGUGAAAUGUCACCGUGUUUAUUAGCGUAUUUUUAUUUACGUAUUUUGUAUAUUGGAAAAGUGGAAUAGCAGUGGGGAUGUCAAUAGAUAUGGAUACCGAAAUAUUAUCUCCGAAUUCAAACCGAAUAAAUUAUAUAUUAUAAUAUAUAUAUAUAUAUAUAUAUAUAUAUAUUAUAUAUAUAUAUAUAUAUAUAUAUAUAAUGAAUAUAAUACAUAAUUUAUUUUUAUUUGAUUAUCAAUAUAUAAAAUUAAUUAAUUUUAUUAUUUUAGAUCUUUAUCUAACUUCAACGCGGGUUUAAAAAUUUAUACGUUGAGUAGCAAGAAUCUAAAAAUAAAAAUUAUUAAAUAUUUUAUAUAUUGUAUAAAAAACACAAAAUAAAUUAUGUAUAUAUAUAUAAUUUAUUCGGGUUUGGAUUCGGAUAAUAUUUCGAAUAUCCAUAUCUAUUGACAUCUCUACUCCUUAUUCCACUUUUCAAUAUACAAAAAAUACGUAAGAAACACGGUGAACCAUUCACCGUGUUUAGACACGGUGAAUGAUUCACCGUGUUCAACUUAAUAUCCUGACCCAGCCCUGCCCGCGUGGCGCUGACGUGGCGCCUGCGUGGCAUAGACAGGGCCAUUUUUGCAAUUUUAAUUUUGAUAGGGCUAUUUUUAAAAUAAAAAUUGCUUAGGGGGCUAUUUGCAAAAAAAACCCCUAAAAUAAAAGAUUUUGAUCGUCAUUGAAUAAUUAAAUGCAUUUUUUGAACCACGCGAGGGUAAAGUAAGAAAUGAGCUAUUCAAGUAUAACUUUUAAGACGGCAUAGUGGCAAAGUAUGAAAAAAAAAAAAAGAAAAAACUUCAAUAUUACCCUUGUGAUUUCGCAUUUUAUCAUUUUAAUACUCUAUAGUUUAAAUGUAUCACUUUAGUACAUUGAUUUUUUUUUCUCUUUUCGUUAAUCUCUAUAUUAACUUUUCUGUUAAAUCAAUGACAAGGUUAAAACAAUAGGGUACUAACUUAGGCAACCUAAGUAAUUUUGUAUUUCAGUUAUAUACGAAGUAAGGAGUAUCAUAAGAUUUCCGAUAAACAUAAGUUUUCUUUAUUGAUAAACUACAGGGUACUAAAGUGAAAAUUCGAUAAACAACAGGAUAUUGACGGAAAGAAAAAAAUGAAACCACAGGGUAAACCAUAGGUGGAGUAUCUAAAGUUUUUUUUGUAUAUGAUUUGACAGAGAGUUAACAGAAGUACUGAAAAAAAAAAAGAGAAAAAUAAAACUACAGGAUAAUAAAAUGAUAUACUUUAAACCAUAGAAUUCUAAAGACAGAAAGCACAAAAUCACAGGAAUAGUAUUUGAAGUUUUUAUGACUUUCUAUAUUCAGGUCGGUGAGCGCGGAGUUCAAAUGUCGGGAGGACAAAAGCAAAGAAUAGCAAUCGCGAGGGCGAUACUUAAAGCACCGAAGAUCCUCCUCCUCGACGAGGCGACGAGUGCGCUGGACACCGAGUCGGAGCGCAUCGUCCAAGAAGCGCUCGACGCUGCCGCCGUCGGCCGAACCACUCUCGUCAUCGCCCACCGCCUCUCCACUAUCCGCAAUGCCGACCUCAUCGCUGUCAUGCAGACCGGCGAUGUCAAAGAGCUUGGUCCCCACGACGAACUCAUCGCCAACGACAGUGGCCUCUACGCAGCCCUCGUUCGCCUUCAACAAACCAGAGACGCGAGGGAAGAUGAAGGUACAGCCGAUUAUAUCUCAAAACUUAUCUGAACUAUAAACCAUUUUAAAACGAGCGGCCAACCUUUUAGAAUUUUGAUUUUACUUAUCCAACCUUUCAAUUUGUUUGACUUGAGUCGGCCAAUCAUAUUUUCACUUUAAAAUUUAAGCUAAUUACUUCCUUUAAUAAAUUGAUAGCUGCGAAAAUUAUAUAAAGUAUAAUAACCAAAUCUAUAAAGAUAAACGACGCAUUCAGAUUUUAAAGUCAAAAUACUAUUAACUUAUCAAAUAAAUUGAAAGGUUAGAUAGUAAAAUUAAAAUUUUAAAAGGUUAGACAGUCAUUUUAAAAUAGGUCAUAGUUCCGAUAAGCUUUGUGCAAUUCUACCAACUUAAAAUGCGAAAAAUAGUGUGGUAAUAUUCCAAAUAGAUUCCAAACUUCUCACAUUGUACUGGUUAACACUUUGAGCAAUGCUAGGCUUACAGCUAGGGAGUGGAACUGGGCUGGGUCUAAACAAGGCCCGACCCGACAGGCCAUGCAUAGUCGGACUUUGGGUAUCAAAAUUAUAACUUUGGGUCACGGCGAGAUUUAAAAAUUUAGGUCUGAAAAACUUUUGGACUUAUUUGGACAUGUCCAAGCCCGGCUCAAAAACCCGAUACGUUAGUUACCAAAAUAAAAUAUUUAGUUUUAUAUAUAUAUAUAUAUAUAUAUAUAUAUAUAUAUAUAUAUUAUGAGUUCCGACUAUGGUGCUUGUAAAAAUACUAACAUUGGGCUUGAGUAAAUUUUUCUUAGACCGUGUAGAUCUCUGCCUUUUACAUUUUUAGCGCUUCAUUAGAUUAUACUAUUUCACCAAUUCACUCACUCAAUCCUAGGGGGCUCACAUCAUCCUAACGCACAUGCUUUAAUGCCAAGGGCCGAAAACUACAAGCAGCGCAAUGACUUGUUACUAUUUAAAAAGUAGGAGGCUAAUGUUAUAUAUAUAUAUAAUAUAUAUAUUAUAUAAUAUAUAUUAUAUAUAUAUAUAUACUAUAAGUUAUACUAAUAUACUUAACGUGAGGCUACUAGCAUCUGAAGGCACGAGCCUUCGUGCUUCCCAGGCUGCAUUUUCGUGGUGCGACAUCUCCGAAUCGUCGAUCGCUUUCGUUAACCUUGAUUAGAGUAUUUGAAGUACAUAGAAAAUAAAUUUUAUUAUUUUUUCGAUAAUAUUUGCCUAGUGAUCGAAUGGGCUCAAGAACCAACAAAUUUCAAUGGCCGUACGUGAGCCGUCUUGCUAAGUUUAACGUGAAAUAUCUCCAAUAGGAUGAAAUUUUGCUAGAAAAUUCAUUAUAAAAUAUAACACAAGAUCAAUAUUGUAAAAUUUAUAAAUGUCAUAUUAUUACAUUUGAUUAAAAUUUUUUUUUCAGCCGUUGAUUUUUUGGCCCCUUCGUUCCGUACGGGCAAUAUUUAGAUAUCAUAAAAUCAUAAAAUUUAUUUUCGCUAGGUGCUUCAUAAUACUCGUAGAUCAAGUGUGAAUCGAGCACAGUUUAAUCGGAGCGCCGAUGCGGACCGAUCUCGAAAAUCGCGAGACAUGCGAAAACGAGCUGGCAGCUACGGAAGGCUCCGUGCUUCGCGAUACAUAAUGCUAAUGCUCACUCUAUAUAGUAUAUAUAUGAUAUAUUUAUAUGUAGAUAAAUGCAUAAAAUGGGACUCAACAAAGCUCAAUAGGGACUGGGCUGGGCCUUCGUUUUGUUAAACUUAGGUAGAAGUCCGACCGAAAGCCCAAAAUUUUUUCUUUUGAGCCAGGGUUGGGCAUAGUAUGAUCAGACCCGAACCCAACCCAGUUCUAACCCCAAUUACAGCCAAAUUUACAGUGUAAUCUUGCAACUCAUACCUAUAGAACGGUAUUUUAAUAUUUUAUACACACUGAACACUGAACAGAAGUGGUUGGGCCGUCUUCCGCUUUCGCAUCGCGCUCCUCGCGAUUGGCCAGCAACAGCCUGAGCAGGCGGCUCUCCAGCAGGACCAGCUCGGCGCGGUCGGCCGGCGGCAACGCGGAGAACGACGAAGACCCUUCAGCGCAGCCUGCCAAGCCUCCUGUGCCGUCGUUCCGGCGGCUGCUGAUGAUGAACGCGCCGGAGUGGAAGCAUGCGGUCCUGGGGAGCGUCUGCGCGGUGCUCUACGGGGCGGUGCAGCCAGUGUACGCGUUCGCGAUGGGGAGCGUGGUGUCGGUGUACUUCUACCCCGACCACGGCGAGAUCAAGUCGAAGAUCCGGACGUACGCGCUGGUGUUCGUGGGGCUGGCGAUGGCGUCGUUCUCGAUCAACGUGGGGCAGCACUACAGCUUCGGCGCCAUGGGGGAGUAUCUCACCAAGAGGGUGAGGGAGAGGAUGCUGGCCAAGAUUCUGACCUUCGAGGUGGGGUGGUUUGACCAGGACGAGAACUCCUCCGGCGCUAUUUCCGCUCAGCUGGCCAAGGACGCCAACGUGGUAAGUGCCCGGAGUAAAAAGAUUCUGAAUUCGAGUCCCGCCGUGCAUACUCUUGUGCUCAGCUGCAAAGUUGAGUACGACAUUGACGAAUACACUGAUCUACAACUGCAUAUAUAUAUAUGUAUUUGCAGGUGCGAUCACUGGUGGGUGAUCGCAUGGCGCUGGUGAUCCAGACCAUCUCGGCCGUGACCAUAGCGUUCACGAUGGGCCUGAUCAUCGCGUGGCGGCUGGCGGUGGUGAUGAUCGCGGUGCAGCCGAUCAUCAUCGUGUGCUUCUACUUCCGCCGCGUCCUCCUCAAGAGCAUGUCCAAGAAGGCCAUCAAGGCGCAGGCCGAGAGCAGCAAGCUGGCCGCCGAGGCCGUGUCCAACCUCCGCACCGUCACCGCCUUCUCCUCGCAGGGCCGCAUCCUCCGCCUCUUCGACGCCGCCCAGGAGGGCCCCGCCCGCGAGAGCCGCCGGCAGUCCUGGUUCGCCGGCCUCGGCCUCGCCACCUCCAUGAGCCUCACCACCUGCACCUGGGCCCUCGACUUCUGGUACGGAGGCAAGCUCAUCCGCCAGGGCCACAUCACCUUCAAGGAGCUGAUCCAGACCUUCAUGAUACUCGUCAGCACCGGCCGCGUCAUCGCCGACGCCGGCAGCAUGACGACGGACCUCGCCAAGGGCGCCGACGCGGUGGCCUCGGUCUUCGCAGUCCUCGACCGCACCACCAAGAUCGAGCCGGAGGACCCCGACGGCUACAAGCCGGAGAGGCUGAGAGGCGACAUCGACCUCCACGGGGUCGACUUCGCGUACCCGGCGCGCCCCGACGUGAUAAUCUUCAAAGGAUUCUCCCUAAGGAUCCAUGCAGGUAGGUAAUGUUUACAUAAAAUGAUACGAGAGAUGACCGUUGUUCUCUAAUAAAAGCAGAUUUAAGGCUUGUGAUGUUGAACAUAACAGGGCAGUCGACGGCGCUGGUGGGGCAGAGCGGGUCCGGCAAGUCGACGAUCAUCGGGCUGGUGGAGAGGUUCUACGACCCGCUGAAGGGCAGCGUGAAGAUGGACGGCCGGGACGUGAGGACGUACCAGCUGCGGUGGCUGCGGAGGCAGGUGGGGCUGGUGGGGCAGGAGCCGACGCUCUUCGCGGGGACGAUACGGGAGAACAUCGUCUACGGGGCGGAGGCGGCGACGGAGGCGGAGGUGGAGGGCGCGGCCAGGGCGGCGAACGCGCACGACUUCAUCAGCAACCUCAAGGACGGGUACGAGACGCCGUGCGGCGACCGGGGGGUGCAGCUGUCGGGCGGACAGAAGCAGCGGAUCGCGAUCGCGCGGGCCAUACUGAAGGACCCGGCGGUGCUGCUGCUGGACGAGGCGACGAGCGCGCUGGACAGCCAGUCGGAGAAGGUGGUGCAGGAGGCGCUGGACAGGGUCAUGGUCGGCAGGACCAGCGUCGUCGUCGCGCACAGGCUCAGCACCGUGCAGAACUGCGACCUCAUCGCCGUCUUGGAGAAGGGCGCCGUGGUGGAGAAGGGCACGCACGCGUCUCUCAUGGCCAAGGGCCCCGCCGGGACUUACUACGGGCUGGUUAGCCUCCAGAAGGGGAACAGAGGGAGCGACCACUGAUUGAUUGAGUUGAUUGAGUUAAUUUGGCGCCUCAAUUUGCGGUCCUGAUCCGCUCAAUUAAUAUUUGUUGCCAUUUUUGCUUUGGUAAAGUAAAACAAAACAAUCAAUGUUUGUUUUUGUUCAAAUCUCUUCUAUUGUACUAGUUUCUCAAAUAAGACCUGUAAUAUCGCUUGACAUCACACGGACAUUGUAACAUGUAAAUGCGAAAAAGAAAAGAAUAUUACUUUUGUUUUCAUUUUAGUGCUUCGCUUUUUACGACACAUCCCACUUUUCAGAUUGGUAAGCUCGGAAUAGCUAAGGUCAUACAACAGGUAGCCAUAAUUGACAACAUUCCCCAUUAAAGUAAGUGUUUACAACAUGACUGAUCAACAAGUGGAGAGAUCUAAUAAGCUUGAAUAAAACAUGACUAAUCAACACAACUAUCUAAUAAAGGAUUACAAAAACCUAACACAAUAAUUACGAAGAAAACAUCAAGAAAGAAACACUGAGGAACAGGAACUAUAAGGAUGAUGAAAGAAGAAAGACUUUUCAUAUCAACAUGUAGAAGAACAAUCAAACAGGCCAACUGCUUAUGUAAGAUUUACAUACAUUGCGCACUUCAUCCGGUGCAAUCUUACAAUAAGAUUUGCAGCAAAAAUCUCUUUUUAUCACACUCAAUUCAGCAAAGAGUUCCUCAAUUAGGUUAGAUCUCUUCUUCUGAAACUCGGCUUCUCCAUGAUGCUUCUCUUCAAAUAAAUACAGGUAUUAAGGCCGCAUCAAUUACAAGCUAUUUGUGAAUUAUCCAAAUGUGAAAGAUAGAUGGCUGAACUAACAGUUUUCGAUUCAGCAUCAGUCGUCACAUACUUCAAUUUUCACCAUCAUGUCGGAAUUUUCGAGCUCGAUCUCGCCAGGAACCUUGUUGCAUGGAGAAAACCUAAGACAAUGUGCAUCAAAAGCAAUUAACUUUGCACUAUUUGUUUCAUACGAAACAAAUAAAAUAUAUAUAUAAACACUUUACGUUCUCGCUAAUGAGAGUGCUGCUUCCUAUCUGUUCUUUGUCAGCAUCUUUUGAUUUAUCAUCCUCGUGAUUUUCUCUGUAAUUACUCUUGGUAGGUUCCAUCUCAAGAUUUGAAGAUGAGGAUACUCCAAACAUAGCCUCAUCAUGAGCAGCCCUAAGUUCUUCCUCACGUUUCGCCUGAUGGGGGAAAAAGCAAAUAAUAGAAUCUAGGGAAGUUCACACGCUGUUUAAUUAGCAUUUUGUAAAUUAUAAUAACAUUUCAAAGAAUAUAGUAGCUAUACCUCCACAGCAGAAAGGCGGAAACUUUUUCCUAUAUCCUUCACAAGUGAGGCAUCAUCAUCAGCAGCUGCAAAAGAGAAGCAGACAUUAAUUGCCGAAAUGAUCAUCACCAAAGAGUGUGUGAAAAGCCAAAAACUACCUUCAAUCUCAUCAUCAUCAUCAUCAAGUGGCGCAUCCUUGUUAAAAUCAAAUCGUUCCCACCCCACAGUCAUGCCUCUAGCAGAAUCUUUUGCAGCUGCAAAAUAGUAAAGCGCACCUAUACUGUUAGGAAGAAAGUAAUGCAGUCAUGAAAUUAGGAUUUUUUUUUAAACUAGACAUUAAAUGUCAUCUCACAGAAAUUUUAAGAUGGGCAAUAAGAUUCUAUUAAGGAGAAAUCAGGCCCGAUUUCCUUUUGAGUUUCAAACUCACAGGCAAUUCGAUCACACAAAACAUAAUGAAAUCGACACAAAUAUGGCUAAAAUAAGGAGGAUUUAUAACAGUUUAAUACAACAUAUAUUAAUUUAGAUGAGAAUCAACACACAAGGAAAAAAGGUGAUGUAGAGAAACAUUUGUUCUUCUCUGUAGUGAAGUUUCUAACUUUGCUAUUUCUCCAGAUUAAAAGAUAUCUAUUAGGAUCCUGUAAUGACCUGAAGUAUUAAGUAGUCUAAUAGCUAGCAGGGGAAGGAAGUAAAAAUGUCUAACUUUACAAUAGUAAGAGCAGAAAUAAUGGCCGCAGCAAGUGAGGAAAAGCGCGCUUGAUGGAGCAGACCGGCGAGAUUGAACAGGCUGGCGAAGGGUGGCCCGGGCGGAGCCUUGGCGGGGCGAAGGAGCUUGGGUGUCCUCGGAGCGGAGAGAGAGCAGAAGAAGGACCGAGGUUGGAGGAGAAGUCCGACUGAUCUUGGUUUUUGGGGCGAAGAAGAGAGCAGGCGGGUCGGAGCCUCAAGCCUUCGGAGCGGAGGAAAAAGGCGAGCCCAAAACCCGCAGGGUCGCGGAUGAUGCGGAGAAGGAGGAGUCCGGCACCCGUUUACCCACUUACUAGCACUACCGGACCGGAAGGCCCAGAGAGGUGGCCCAACAACCCCGAAUGGCAGCCCAACCAAUGAGCAUCUCAUUUUUGGUCACUUUGCUGUUUAGUCCUAAGAGAUUAUGUAAUUUCCAUUCCAGUAUUAAUCCUGAGAAGUAUAAGUACGAGAUUGUAUGGCAAACAGAAUUAUCAAUGAAAAUGAAAUAGUCUAUUUCUCCCCCAAAGGUUCUUCUCCAAACCCUUCUUCUUCUCUAUCCCUUAUCUCUAUCCCAACUCUUUUUCCUAAUCCUCACCUCUCAAUCCUCAUCUGUCUAUCUCUCUACCUCUAUUUCUCUUCUCUCUAUCUCAAUCCCAAUUUCUAUCUCUAUUUCCUUACCUCUCUAACCUCGAUUACCGAUUACGUUACCUCGGAUCCGCGAUCGGAAGCACCAAGAACCUGAACCGAGCCACAAGGGAUAUUACAGAUCCCCUGUUCCAACCAAUUGAUGUGGGAAGAAAAUAGUUAUGCUAGUGUAAUCUUGCCUAGAAACAAUUAACUAAUUUAGCAAACAAAUUUAUAGUACAAAAGAAAUUUGACCAAUAUCAAAACAACUUUUAUUACUCUGCAUUACUUCAUUACACUGUAAAUUGUACAAUCUAACAUAAGAAGAUCGUCUUCUCUGAAAGCAAGUACCCUAUCUAAUUUACUGCAUGCAUUUACCACAUAAGGAGAAGAUGCGAAAGAAUGAGAAAAAUAGUUUGAAAUGUAAAACAGAGCCCCAGCUUAAUAUUUACAUGCAACUUAUCAGAGGGCACACUUUUUUUUUUCCCCUCAUUUUGUGUCAAACAUAUGAAUCUGCAACAAGGAAAAACAAUCGGAAAGGAAAACUUCAGAAACUGGAAUGUAAAUUUAUUAUUUUUUCAGAAAAGAUUCAUUAACAUUUUUUGAUUCAUGAAUAGAAUAGCAUAUAAGAUAUGAAAAGACAAAAGAAAAACAUUUGUUAACAAGGAAUCUCCCAAAUGUAGACAAUUACAGGUAAGAAAAAAUAGUACCAGUUUCCGAAAGCUGAAGCUUCAUCUUUGCUUUAACUCUUUCAGCAGGCGUCUGUUAAGAUUAGAUGGAUGUGUAUCACAUAAUCACUAUUACAAUGAGACGAUAGUCCACGGAAAAGUCAGUUCACGCAACAAAAGAGUAAUUCUUUUUUUGAAAAAAAGAAAGUAAAUUGGCUAUGACCUAUUUAUAGCAAAAUUGCAAUAUAAGAUUAGAAAAAAUGUUAAACAGCUAAAAGUACGUGGUGUUUUAAAUAUAUAAGAUUAACCAAACCAGUUCCUUCCACUCAAUCAAAGAUGUGAUAAACUUGUCGAGGGUAAGAAAGCAGUUACAACAUUAAAGUUAUGCUUAAUUUCAUUACUGACACAAAUAAAAUGUUUAGAAUAAUAUCUACUGUUCUUCCAGUUUCAACAGGUAGGACGGAGCAGAUAAAUUACACUCGGUGUUCUAAAUAGCAGUGCCACAGCAGGAUUCCAACACUGCAGCCACAGUAUGCAUAUUUGAGGAGUAAUAGCAGUUCAGGCCUGUAGCAACCGAAAUAGUGGCUUGAGAUCAGCUGUAACAGCCCAAGACCCACAGACAUUUGCUUCUGGCCGAACUUGCCCUAAUGGGUCAAUUCACAACUUUCUGACAGAUGGCUACUGUAAGCUUUCCACGAAUCAUUCCACAAAAUGCUACAUGUUAAAGUUAUUGAUGCAAAACUAUAUAUGAAGAUUCUUUAUUAGAAUCUCAGCUAAGAAAUCUUCUUUAGCUUCUUUUAAAUUGUAAACUUCCAAGUUAUAUUAGCCACUGCUUUGGCUCAUAGGCCCCCAAUAGCAUUCGCAAUCACAAAUCUUCCAUUAAAAUCUCAACAGCUAUGUGCCCAUUACACAAUAUUUAUAACCUUAACUCCACUUAUAACUUCGUAUACUUAUUUGAAGGGUUCUAAAUAUAGAUGGCAAAAUUAUUGAAGGGACAUUUUUAGGUAUUUUUAUCAUUCCUGAAAAUUUUGAUACAUUUCUAGUCUCAUUUAUUCUCCAUUGUCCUCUUACUAACAAAGUGUGCAAUAAUUAUAUGGGAUAAUAAAAACAGAGGUCCCAGCAAGUCUCACUUCUCCCUGGAGGAGAAUUAUGAGAGUCAAGAGCUUUCAACUAAGGCUUGAAGUAUCACUUAAGAUUUUGGUGCGGACUCCAAUGGUUUUGUUUUGCCAAUAUUGGAUUCCGGUCUUAUAUAUUAGCUACAAAGUCCCAGAACAUUUUAAUAAGUUUAAAUACACUCCAAGAUAACACAACAUAAUCUAGCAACCUUAAUCAUAUUAAAAUAAUUCUUUAUGCUGAGACUAACUUUAAUGCAACAGUAUAUCAAAGAAUCAAUGUAAACUAAUAGAAUAUAUAAGUGCUUAAUAAUUUUAUCUAGUUUGGUCCAAAAGGUUAAUGUUAAUCAAUUUGGGCCAACUUUCGAGAGCUAGGCAUUCCUAUGACUCGUUUUAACAGAACCCACAAUAUUCUAGCAUCACACUGGUUCAGAUGCUGGGUAUGGGUCGGCAUGACCAACGACAAAACAUUUCUAUUGGUUUGAAAGUUUACUCCAGAACUGAAAUCAUGUUUUCCUUCCCUAUAGGAAAAUUGAACGUCGGAGUUUAAAGUUUGCCUAUUGGAUGAUUUAGAUGGAAUGUAGCAAAGGUUUCUUGAAUACCAACACAGUUAGCAACAACUGAUUUGUUGAUGAGGAAGAAACUUGUAGGAUGUUUGGAUGUCUAAACAAGUUAUCCAGUGAUAACUUGUGGGCUAUCGGAAUUUUCUUCUACGAUCUAUGGGUGUGCUUAUAGUCCAUUACGAGAUCCUGGCAGUCAUUCUUUUUUCAAAAUAAUGCAUUCACCUACUAACUACUAAGUGAUUUCCAUUAUUUCGCAUAAAUAACUUAGAGAUGGCAUAUACUAUAUUCAUCGUAGGCAUCUAGUUAUAUAUAUCAUCUACCAAUUGUUGCAUUGCCCUUGAGUAAACAAAAGAGAUGUGCCAAAUAAGUUGUAAAUGCAUCCAAACAGGCCCUAUUUAGCAUCCCUUUUCUUUAAUCAAGGAUCGUGUAGUAAUUGAUAAAUAAGCGUUAUCAAAAGAUCGCAUUCUGUCCCUGUAACACCUUUUUUCUUGGAAAGUGGUAAAUCAUCUCAUAAGUGGAAGAAACAUCCUCGAAAGUCAGAAUUAUAAAGUUCUCACGAUAGCCAGAGUCUAAAAUAGCAUUGUGACUCUUAUAACUCAUUUUACUUGGAAACUGGUAAAUAGUCCCAUAAAUGGAAGAUACAAACUCAAAAAUUAGAAUUGUUGCGUUCUAGCGAUAGCACAUCUCCCUUUAGUUUACACAGGGAUCAUGUCGUAAUCAAUCGAUAGGUGGUAUGAAAAGAUGCCUACAACUGCAUAUUGACCCUCUCAUUCUCAAUAUCGUAAAUCAUCUCAGAAAUGGUGGAUACAUCCUCAAAAGUUAGAUAUUAAGUUCUCGCCAUAGCUAAAAAUCAAACUCCUAGGUUGUGAUUGGAAACCAUAUAAUGUUUUUCUUCACGAUAUUGCGAUAUUUUGUAUAGAAUUACUGUGCUAGAUAGCCUAGAUUUAUCGUCCCACUUGACACCCAAGAUUGAAUUGGAUAGAAUAAGACAAGAGAGCAAUAUUGGGGAAGAGGGAGGAUUUAGCGACUCAGAGGCGUCAAGUGUCACAAAAGGUAAGGUGUGGAAUUGGUAAAGGUGUGGAAUUGGUAAAGACGUCAACUGUCACAAAAGGGAAGGGGUGGAAUUAGUAGGAUAAAUAAAUUUUCCAAACACAAUCCCAACCUGUAGGGCGGGACUCAAUUAUCUCAUCGGGGCAGCUUUGUUCACCAGACCAGUAAAUCUCAUGCCGCCUAAUGCCUCUGAGUUGCUAAACUACUCUUCUUUCCCAAUAUCACACUCUUAUUUUAUCCUAUCCAAUUCAUUCCUAGAUACCAAAAAGGAUAUUGAAAAAAGAUGAAACAAAAGGGAAAACAACCAAAUGUUUCAAAAGAAGAGAAAAUCAACUCUCUCUUUUCCUCCACACUUUUUGAAGAGAUAAAUAUAACAAUUUGUAGAGAACGAUUUCAUCUUCCUUUCACUCCAUUUCUCCUCCUCUCUCCUAAAAUUUCCAACCAUCCAUCCAAACGAAAGAAAAUGAUUUUCUCACCUAAAUUUCUAUCAUCCUCCCUCUCUCUUUCCAUCCAUACUGAGCAUAAGUGCUUGCUUAAAUGCAUGAACGUCUUGUUUAGCCGUCUCAUUCAUUUAUUCAAGAUGCUUGUCCUAUUUGGUAAAUGAAAAAAAUGACGAGAUCUCUAGAAAUACAUACUAUAUUCUGCCUUCAAAUCAUUUUCUCAGUAAUAUAAAUUGCGUCGUAGGUAAAAUACACCAUCCUACCAACUUUUUCAACAUGCCUCUUUCAUUUAUUCAAAAUCUUGUCGUGUUUAAUAGAUAAGGUGUAUGACCAAAUGUCUAGAAUUGCAUACAAUAUUCGAUUUUCAAGUCAUUCUCUCAUAAUAAUAUAAAUCACCUCCUAACUUUCAGUCACAAAAAAAGGGUAAAAAUGUAUAGAACUUAACUCAAUUAUCACCCAUUUGGAUCAAACUACCAAAUCUUUAAAAUUUUGAUUUUGCUAUCUAACCUUUAAGUUUAUUUGAUUUGAGUCAUUUAAUGACUCUUUAACUUCAAAGUUUAAAUACGCCGUUUUUCUUUACAAGUUUAGUCAGUGUAUUUUAUACAAUUUAUGCAACUAUACAUUCAUUAGAGUAAGAAAUCAGCUUAAAUGUUGUAUCAAAAGAGCCAUCAAGUGAUUUAAAUCAAAUAAAUUGAAAGAUUGGAUACUGUUGAAUAUAAAUAUUAAAAAUACCGUUUUCUACCUCCCUAAACUUCUGCAGAGAAUAACUGUUGUUUCAUAUAACUUAACGUGGUAUCAAAACUGGAGAUCCUAGGUUUGAAUCCCACCCGAUUUCUAGCAUUAUCAGCUUCCUGUCAUUUACAUUGUGGGCCUAUCAAAAUAUCUCGAGCACAGCCGUGAAUUAAAAACAUCAUUCUCUACCAGCUUAAACAUUUUGGAGAACGAAAGUUGGUUCAUAUAAUUUAACAGGUACUAAAAUCAAAAUUUUGUAGGUUAUUUGGUUCUGUAAAACAAGAGAGGAGGAGAACACUAACCAUUCGAUCGUAACCCUCGAUGAGCCGCGAAUAAUCCACUCUCUCUCCUCCCUUCUUCCUCUUCGCCGAGCUCUCGCGGUCUCCUCCCCUUUCACGCCAUUCUCUUUCCCUCUCCCGCUCCCUCUCCCUCGCUUCGCCCCGCCCAUCUCUUCUCCUCCCCCUCUCCUCCUCCUCGUCCACCCUCCCAUGGCGGCGAUGGCGGUGUCGGUGUCGAUCGGAGCCACCGCCGUCGUCGUCGUCGCCGCCGCCGUUGUCGUGGGGUUUGCGGAGCUUGUUUUGGAUGGAGGCGAGGCGGGAUCGGCGAUCGAGGUCAGGGGCUUUGGUGGUGGGGCUCGAGGCGCGGACGAAGCUGGAGAGGAGGGAGGAGGAGGAGGAGGAAGAGGGUUUGGAGGGGGCCGAAGAAGAAGAGGAGGAGGAGGAGGAGGAGGAGGAGAAGCCGAGGCCGCGCUUGAAGCGGGCGGCGCCCUCGCCCUUGCGGCUCAGCUCGUCGUAGUAGGCGGCCGCCUUCGCUUCCUCCAUAACCCUACCCCUGCCCUUCUGCGAUCGACGCUGGCUGGGGACACUGGCUUUGUCUGGAAACCAUAUCUGUUAAAGGGGGAAAUUGUCUAUACCAGUGAAAAGUGAAAACUUCGCUCUACACUGCAGCUAAAUAGAUUGUACUAUAGAUAAAUAGAUUGUGAUUAAAGAGCAAUAUAAUUUGUCAUAAAAUAUGUAGUGAAACAUAUAACUAUAUCUGGUAGCUUUUCAUAGUCGUAAAAUAAUGGAAAACUUCAAAAACCCCCACUGUGGUUUCGUGCAUUCUCACUUUGCUACCCUGUGGUUUAAAACGUAUCAAUUUGCCCCCCUGUGGUUUCGUUUUUAUCUUUUUGUUAUCAAUUUUAUUAUUAUUUUUUUUUAAAAUCAGUGACAAAGUUAAAAUUAAAGGAUACUAAAGUGACUAUUCGAUAAAUAUAGAUGGUUAUCUGAAGUUUUUUGUAUAUAAUUUAACGAAAUAUUAACGAAAAAGCUUCCGAAAAGAUAAAAAUGAAACCACAGGGGGGUAAAUUGAUACGUUUUAAACCACAGGGUAGCAAAGUGAGAAUGCACGAAACCACAGGGGGGGUUUUUGAAGUUUUCCCUAAAAUAUAUAGUAAAACACAUAGCUAUAUCUUAUAGUCUUUAUUUGUUUGGCAAUAAAACAUACAAUAUAAAUACAAUAUCAAGUAUAAUUUUCUAUGCAAAUUUAAAACAGAUUGACAGUGUAGUAAAACAUAUAAUAUAAAUACAGUAUUAAUUAUACAUUUUCAUAGCUAGUCUUCAUUUGUCGAAGGAUCUUCAUCAAAACUACAAAUCAAAGAAAAAAAGUUUAGACGAACAUAGUCUUAAGUAUAAAUAGUAUAUAUGUAUUGGGAAAAAAUGAACGACAUCCCAACUCACAUAAAGUCGUUUUUUUUUGGCAGGUUGGGUUUCGCUUACAUCAUCUGCAAGUGGUGGAGAGCUAUGGGUAAAACGAUAUAUCUUUGUUGGUUAAAGAAAAUAAAUCUCACACACACACAUAUAUAUAAAGUUAAGCGAGAAUACUAUUAAUAGAAUUUUGACUUAUUUGAUUAAUUUACUUAAUUAUUGCUAUUAUUAGAGAAAUACUAUUUUAUUAAGAGCUAAGAAGAAAAGUUGAAAUAUUAUUAACAAUAUUGGAGUUGUCUUUCUUUAUAUACACACAUACACACAUACUACUAUCGAGUUUUCGCCUGUUGGAUGAAAGCAUGUGCGGGAAGAAAUUCAACUGUACUAAGAGUUUGGUACCAUCAAUAGUAUAGUAACAGGACUCUCUCUAUAUAUAUAAGUGUGUAUGUGUUUAGAAUUUUCAGUAUAUAAUACGAAUUAAAUACGACAAAAGUAUGAAAAUAUUACCUUAAGAAAAUGGUUGUACUUGGGAAUGCCUUGGCAAAUAAUUCUUUGGAAAUGUCUUUGUGAGUAGUAGGAGAAUCAACUUUUUCUUCACAUUUGAUUAAUAAAUUUUUGGUUGGAAAUUAAGUGUUCUCUUUCGUAUCGUAGUGAAUAUUAAAAAUUUUGACUACUUUAAAAGAAGGAACACUUGUUCUGAAUUUUUGUACGCCAUGUAUUAUUUGAAAGAUAUGCUUAUGUCCAAUAAUUGAUUUAAUUGCCGGAGGAAAAAUAAAUUUUUCCGAAUCAGGCGAAGUAGCAAGGUUUUGAGCUGGAAUAUGAAUCAAAUCUUGCGCCAAUCUUCCAAAAAUAGUAAAAUUCGCAGAACCGGUAUCAUCCUCAAUAAUAGCAUUUAAUUUGUACAUUUUUAACAACAUAAGCAGGAGGGAAAAAAAAGGAAUAAAAUGUAAAAACUUAGCAACUAAGAUUUAUUCCAAAAAUUAGGAAACAAUUUGGCAAAAAUAUAAUAGUUAUCAUGGUAUUGGAGAUUGAUCAGUCUUAUCACAAUUAGAGUAUAGAAAGAUACCAUCAAAUGUUUUGACAGCUGAUUUGUAAUUAUAACAUACUUUGUACCACCAACCAAACGAUGUGUCAAUUUUGGCAAUUUUAGCUUCACAAGUAAACUUUGUAUUCUAUUUGAUAAAAAGUAUGAACGAACUAUUGUUAUAUAUAUAAUGAAAACAAAAUAAAUAGUUUUAUAAGAUAAACCUGAGAAUAAAUUCACUUGAGUGCUAGAUAUGUCGAGAGCGAACAAUUGAGUAGUAGUUUUUCUAUUCACACGCAUCUCUUCUUGCGAAUUAAUAUUUUGCUGAUGGUUGACGGUAAUUCGUUGAACUGAAACAUUCAUUAGUUGUAAUCUAUGCAACAUUCUUUUAGGUAAAUAAGAUUUAAUAAUUUCCAAAUCCGAGGACCAUAUGAACUAUGGGCUAAAACAGCAACCCAGGAAAUCACAUUAGGAGGUGGUUGCCUAACAAUAGGCCAUCCACUCCUGCAAUGGCCAAUCUACUUACUAACAACACGACUUUGGAUAAAUGAAUAGGUGGUCCAACUGUUAAUGUUUUAUGCCAAUCCAUCCAUUUAUCUAUUAACUGUCGUCAUUGCCUCAAAAAAAUAGGGGGGAACCAAGGGAAGGCAAAUGAAAAAAUUCUAACAUUUAAAAUGCAAAAGUAAAAAAUCCAAGAGGAAAGCAGGAAGCAAGCUAAGGGUGCAACUAGGAAAAAAACACAAUCACAACAUAAUAGAACAAAGAAUCUAAGUAUACAAACUUCCACAGGUGGUACUCAAACAUUUAACACGCAAAUGUAAAACCGGCAACCACCAUCUAAUGUAAAUUCAUGAGAACCAAUACUGACAACUUGAAUGUCAUAAUCCAAUAAUAAGGCAAACAUAAUGAGUUGUUUUAUUUUCAUGGCCAAAACCCAAUUAAGGUCAGAAAAUAAAUAUUACGUAAUCACCAAAAUACCAGGAUCAAAAGAAGUACAUAUUCUUAUAUGUCACACUUAAAAGCCAUGUGCAAAUAGCUUUGUCCCAAAAAGAAGUAUGGCAACAAAAUAGAAAGUGAGGUAAUAAUUAAGGUAAGUACAUAUUCUUAUAUGCCAAGCUCAAAAAGCGAUGUGCAAAUAGUUUUGUCCAAAACCAAAGCAUGGCAACAAAAUAGAACAUGACCAGCUAAAAGAGCCUCAUUAAUUGAGGCAAUUGAUUAGACAUGGCUUCAGAGGGAUCAGUCUCAGGAGCAGGUGUAACAGCAAGAAUGCAGUUUACUAUGACAUAGCAUUCCUCAACGGCACGCCGCAGCUAGAUUCGCUCAUUAACAUAUUCUUGUGCAACUGUACUUAUGUAGCAUUCCUUCAAAAAGUUAUAUUCACGUGAAAGGUUGCUGAGUUGUGCAAACACCACAGCAUAAUCAAUAGUUUGGUGGUUAUAUAAAUUCUUAUACAAUAGAGAGUCAUCAUAAUUAAUAUCUUUAAUUUGCAAGUCGCAUUCAUCUUUAAGCCUCUUAAGAGCAAGGCGUGCAUAUCUUGUUCAACACUAGCAGAAGUAGGGAAUUGGGAGCUCGAACAACGAACAGUUUCGACCAUAAUUUCGCUUUGUGGAAUCUGCAAAUCCAUAUAACCCACAAAUUUGCCCUCGGCAUCCACGUUUACUACAAUCUGCGGCACAUUUAGUUGGAGUUGUUCAUAAACCUCACUUAGCAACCUAACGUAAGAAACAUUAAUAGUCGUCAUUACCCCAACUACACAAAAAAAAAAGGAAGGAAGGGAAGGAAACAUUUUUGUUGUACAAAGUUUUGCAAAGGGUUAGAGUGAAAAAAGUUAGAAGGUAAAAAAUAAAAAAGCAAGAAGAUGAACAGCUAGUAUAAAGAUAAAAUUUCACAAAUUUAUUAUUAUGUAUGGAACACACAGUCAUCAAAGGAAAAAAAGAAAGGCACCUGAGAUAGAGAGAAGAAAUGAAGUUGAAAAGAAAAAAAAUCAAAGUUUGUACACACACACACACACACACACACACAUACACAAAACAAUCAGCUAGCUGUAAAGAGAGAAAAAAGAAGGUACUCGAGAGAGAGAAGAAAUGAAAUCCGAGUAAAAAAAAAAAGUAUAGAAUCGCUAAAGUUAAACAUAAGUAAAGCAAGUAGAAAUGUCAUGCAAAAAAAUAAAAAAAUAAAAAAAAUAGUGAGGCUCAGCUACACCACAAGUAAGCACCAUUGUUACUUUCUAUUUUUUUUUGUCAUAGGAAACAGAAGAAAUGAAAUUCGAGUAGAAAAAAAAAAUCAAACAUAAGUAAAGCAAGAAGAAAAUGUUAUGUACAAAAAAUAGUGAGGCUCAGAUACUGUCACGCCCCGGAUUACCCAUUUUCCGAGCACGCCGACAAAUCCACCGUAUACAAAGAAUUUUCCCUAUAUACGAAGCGUAACGGUAACCGUAGAACAUACGAUACUACAACCAGUAGUAUAGAGCUGUAAAGAGACUAAGCAGGUAGAACGAACAAAUCUCAUAUACAUACAAGAUAACUAAGUACAAAAGUACUCGCUCCAGCGAGAUCUAGCAUCAGUAUGUACAAAAGCUCAAAAGUAAACCAGGACUACCUACAGCCGGUGAUCCUCUAUCUCAGCAACUCGUAGGGUAGGCCUCUAAUUCGCGACGCCCUUGCCUCGAUCAGCCUCAGAAGACGCAGCAGCCAGAACAGCAGGCUCUACAAAACACAAAGUAACAACUGGGCGUGAGAACUACUGUAAAAAUAAAUAGUCCUCAGUGAGUACCGCCCUCAAAAUCAUCGGCUCACCCACUAAGACUACAAUAGGAAAUGAAAUUAGUAAGUAAAGCUGAAAAGAAAUCUACAACUACAUGCCACUACACUAUUCAACUGUGUCUAUUAUCAAUUCUGACCCAAUCUCAAUAGGGACUGUGCACGCACCCGUCCCGCCUGUCUAAGCCACGCUACCUCCACACUAAGCAGUCCGUGGAUAGCAAAACAAAAUAGCGACAUCAACGUGAAAGCACAAAGCCAGACUCCGGAGCGGCACUCGUGGGCGCGACCCACCCGAAUAUGCAACCGUAUCUCUGUCCAGCUCAAUUAGGCUCUCACAGGCUAAAGUCAAGAAAACAGGUCUAACAGUACUACCAACCACUAGUCACGUGCCCUCGGCACAAUCUGAUAUUGGAACGAUCAAAUCCGGGUCCGCUGUUAACCACUACGGUACCCACUAAUCCGGAAUACUGUAAACACUACUGUAAAAAAUCGGCUCGGCAUCCCAGCACGAGCGUAACUGAAAUUUAAACUACCUGGGAUACUCACUAUGUCACGCCCCGGGUCCGGCGGAGGCCCUCCCGGUAGCGUGCCCAGAUCCGCCAUAUGCCUACACAUAUAAGGCGUCUACCAGAAAAGCGGAAGUAAAAGCAAGAGAUGGAACAAAUAAGGGAAAUGAAAUAACAAACAACUAAUGAUAUCAGAGCGAGUAAAGUUCUAACAUCUAUACUAAUCGCAAUAGAACAUAACUAAAACAUAAAAGUAAACAUAAGUUAUGUAGUAUCAGCCUCUAGUACAAAAGUGGUGGUCUCUAGUACACUGGUAAAACUCUCAACCUCUUCAAAAUAAAGUACAAUGAGAGGUAGACCACCUAGCGAAUCGUCCUCGAAGGAAGCUAGCUCGAAGCAACUCCCUUCCCGCGGUCCCUAGCCUCUCCCGGCCUGGAAGGCUCUGAAAGAAAACACCAAACAGAGGGCGUGAGAACUAUAAUUUAUAGUUCCCAGUGGGCAAUUACUGACCUCAGCUCAUCGCACCACUAGGCCCCAAAAGAAACAGAGUGAGUAUAAAAAAAAACAACAAUAAGGAUAACCGUAACAACAGUAAGGAAGCAUAAUUGAAGUGCUAAUCUAUAUGUCCCAAGUAAGCAUGAUGCAUGGUGAUGUACAUCUACGCAAUAAUGAAACCGGCAAGUAUACUAAUUGUACCAAUGUUAUAUCAUGAGCAUGUCCAAGCAAUCCAACUACUAAUCCUAUCUAGUAGUGAUUGACCAUAUGUCACACCGUGUCGAUUUCCAUUUCCAAUUAGGGACCCACCCAAGGUAGUCCAGCUUGUGCCGCCUAAGUGCCUGUGGUAGCCCAACAUCCCUACUCUUGGAAUGUGUCUGUCCCACUCGACCCCGUAGGCUUCUCAAUACCGCACGAGCGAACAUAAGUCGCGUAGGCUAACUCCGGAGUGCCGGCUUGUAGGGAGCGACUCUCACAAGCAUGUGCGAAUGAGCACAAAUGGCAAGCAAGCAAGCAUAGUCCAAAUCUCAAGUAUCCAAUCCUCGUGUCACUAAGUGAUGUCCCAACACUCACUUGCUUAGUGCCUCUUUAUGACACUUAAGCAUCACAACAGAUCAAGCCCCAAUCUUGUUCUAUGUUUCCAUUAAAACGUCAAUACCAAUGAUUACCAUGACCCCGGGCCCAAUGCCUCUUCAUGACAUUGUCCCAAUUCUCAAAUAGUCAAAGUUCUCAAACCCUCUCUAGGCUUCUAACAUUUCUAGUGUCACAAUUGGCGUAUAGGUUAAAUACAUGAAGCAAGGUUCAUUUACAUAAUAAGGAUCAUGGUUCCCAAUCAUAAACAGAAUGCUAAGUCUCACAUGCAUGCACUCUACCACAUAGAGGUCUAAAAUUUCACUAUACAUAAUAUAUGCAGGUUAAGCAUUCGAAAAUUCAUAUUAAAUACAUUUAACAAGGAAAUGCAUGAAUUUCUAUUUUACGAAACAUAUUUGCCAAAUAUGAGCAUUUCUCAUAUCAUAGGCUAGGUCAAACCCACCGAACCGUCGCGUAGGGCCUCGAUUCGCCGAACAAAGUUGUCCACGAGCCCCAAGAUAACCUAAAAGUGAUCAGCGAAGAGAUACGAGGGCAUUACAACCAUCUUAUAAAAUCAAAUAUUAACCUAGAAGCAAAAAGGGCCAAAACUCAUCUCAAGAGAAGAAAUCUCUUCCAAAGCUCCAAAAGAGAGCUAGAACCCUUCCAAACCAAGCCCAAGGAAGGUUUUAAUCCAAUUAAUCUAGCCUCAAAAGCCCUAGAUCAAAAAGCCCCAAAAUCAACCCUAAAUCUCAUUUCUAGGGUUCCAUCUACCAAAUAGCCUCAAAUCAAGGUCUAGAGGGAGGGAAAGAGCAACAAACCUCUAAGAAGCUCCAAUCCAAGCUUCAAGGAUGAAGAUCUCCUCUUUGGUAAGCUCCAAGUCCAAGCACCAAGCACCAAGGAAGAAGAUAGGGUGAGGAAAAUGCUCCAAGUCCACUAGUAGCUCUCAAACUUCUUCUUCUUCCCUCCUUCUCCUUCUUCUUCUCCUCCUUCUUCUUCCUCUAACAAGAGUAUGGAGGGAGUGUGAGGAGAGAAAUGAGAAAGAGAGAGGGUGGAAGGGCUAUUUAGGCCAUCCAAAGUAACAAAAUCCCAGGAGGUCCCUCAAAAAUCCAAUAUUACAUCAGCCCGGUCUGGGCAGUUUUCGCCCAGAGGGACCGGUCUCUCCCCAACAGGGACCGGUCUCUUGCUGCGAACUCGAAAAACCAUCGUUCGGGAACCGGUCUCUCCCAGCGCGGGACCGGUCUCUCUCUGCGAAAACGCGCUCGGGGACCGGUCUCGCCCGCCAGGGGCCGGUUGCCUCAGGGCUGCCGCAACACUGUUCACUGGGGGACCGGUCUCUCCUUCCAGGGACCGGUCCCCGAGAGUAAAAACUCUCAGGACUUGUCCAGAAUUUCAGUUUUCGAACUUUUUAGGUCGGAAAACAUUCUACAACCCUCCACAAAGUGUGGAAAAGCUCGAAAUACACCCAUACACUCGAACCUCGCAAUUUGCAAAGGUCCAGUGUGUUACACACUAUGAAGAUACUACAACAGUAUAAAAAAAUACAACGGCCCCUAGGGCUAAAUCAGGUAGUUUAACAUAUGCCAGGUCCCGAACGCUGGUUUUCUCAUAUGUUUUAUCCAAGUCCAACAUGUAUGAUUAAUAACAACUAAUAAUAUGCUCCCAAUUCAGUUUAUAUCUCUAAAACAUACUUACUCAUGAAUUUGAGCUAAAUAAUAACAACUUGUAAUAUUAACGAUAUAUGUCGACGAACAAUACUAUAGGAGUAGGAUUCCGAUGAUAAACCCACCUCGUAUGCUAAAUCCAACGCGGGGCGACGUCGAGAACGGCAAAAACACGCCCUCGCCUAAGCUCCCUGCGACGCUACGACUGCAACCGUACCCUCGAACGGCUCCGCGGCGCGUCAUUGGUGUUGAAAUCGGCUCGCGGCAACUCCCCGAGCUCGUCGUUGCUUCGGCCGAAACGAAAGAGAGAAUUAAUUAAUGAAGUGCAUGCACACCCUCUGUACUUAAGUUGAUAGGUAUGCAUGGGAGAAGGGGAAGGAAAUUGAUGCAUGUGGCAUCCUUAUACCCCAAAGGCAAACCUAUAUUAUACCAAAUAAAAAUAAAAUAAUAAUAAUAAUAAAAAAAUAAGGAUACUACAGAUACACCGUAAGCAAGCACCAUUGCUACUAUCUUUUUUCGUGUCAUCGGCUGAACAUAAGAGGUGUUGGAGAAAAUCCAAAAUUUUAUUUAUUUAAUAUUUAUUUUUUUUAUUAACUUUUAAUUAUCAAUUAGCGAAACGGCCGCAUCAACUACGGCCGCUCCGCGCGAGGGGGGGAUCGUNGGUAAAUAUAAACCACUCAAUUUUUUUAUUAUUAAAUAUAUAUAUAUAUAUAUAAUUUGGUUGAUAAUUUAUUUGUAUGAUUAAUAUAAAAAAUUUAAAUAAAUUGGAGCUAGCUCGUGCUCAUCUUAUUUAUUAACGAUUUGAGCAUAACCUAGCUAGCUCCUUUGUGGUCGGUUCGUUGACAGCCUUUAAUGUUUCAGGCAAUGUUAAAAAGCGUAUCUCUCCUUCAUUUUACUUGUGAAGGGUGCUGUCAUGAUUGCCAAUUGGGGUGACACCUGAACUUAUUUUAUCUCGGCUUUUGAUUCUUGAUAAUGUGCAGAAGUUGAUUGAAAUAGUGGAUAUAUAAGAUGCAGUAUUGUUAAUCCUAAAAACAGCAUUUUUGCAUAUAUCUUUCCUUUAUAGCUGUUGAAACUACACAUUGUGGAAUUUUAGAUGGUCUGCACUUUCGCAGGCAAACCUGUCACAUGUUACUUUUUGCAGUUUGAUUUUUUUUUUAAUUGUUUCUCUACAACAUCAUUUGCCUAGCGAUCAAAUAGUGUCAAAUACAUCAUAUAUUAGAUUUUUAAAUCUAAUUGCAUAUAGUUUGCUUGCAAUUUUUAUUUGUCUUCUACUAUAAUUUUUUUUAAAAAAAAUACUGUAGCAUUACUUUGUUUUCCAAAAAACAUUGUACGGAUUAUUAAAAAAAUUGCUACAGUCAUAUUCCUAAAAAGAUAAACAAGUUUGCUACAGUAAAUUUUUUUUUUUUUUUCAAAAGUUUAAGUUUAAUUUAUACUGUUUUUCGGGAAAAAAAAAACAUAUAUUUUACUGUUUUGGUUUUGCUCCAGUAAAAUUUUGUUUGAAAAGAAAAGGAAAGAAAGAAAACAUUGCUAUAAUAUUUUUGAAAAACUAUUUCAAUUGGGAUUUGAACCCGCGAUUGGCCUAAAUAGCAUCUUCAAACACUACUCCCUCUAACCAGCACUACCACUUUUACUUUCUAUUUUUUUAUUAUUGCAGUAGAUUCUUAACUCUAUUUGCUGUAUAAAUAUUAUCUCAUUGCAUAUAUUAUCUAUUUAAAAUUAGUUAAUUGAAAUCAAAUAUUUAAAUUGUUUGGGCCAUUUGUUUGCUGCUGAACGAACUUUCAUAAGAGAUUAAUUUUAAACACUUAAGCCCUAAAAUAUUCUGGUUGACUAGGGUAGAAACCUUAACAACAUGUUUAUUUUUCUAAAAAGGGUUUUUGAACCUUUUUUGCAGCUCAUUUUUAUCAUCCUUGAUUUCUUUAUUCUCUCAACUAGAUUGUUUAGAAUGGCUUUCGAUGACACUUCUAGUCUUAAACCAGAAAAAUUUAAAGGGGUAGGAUUUUUGAGGUGGCAAGAACAGUUAGAGGCUUGGCUUAUCACCUUAGGCCUCAUAACUGCAAUUGGAAAAACACCUCCUUAUCCUACUUCUAAAAAUUCUUCUGGUCCUCCUAUUGUGACUCCUCCAUCUGAUUCUUCUAAAUCUGCUACCACCUCAGUUACAGAACAUAAAACUGACAAAUCUCCUGAGGAAAUUGAAUUUCACUGUAGAUUUAGAAUACUUAACUGCCUAUCUGACGAACUUUAUGAAACCUAUAGGAAAUAUCAAACUGCUAAAGAUUUAUGGUUUGCCUUAGAAGAUGCCUACAUUAGAGAUAAUGAAGGUGUCGCUAGAUUUACCAUUAUCGAUUUUAACAAUUUUAUAAUGGUAGACAACAUUCCUAUAAACGAUCAAAUUCAUCAAUUUCAGAAUUUUGUCCAAGAGAUUCAUAGGAAUGGAUCAACCCUAGAUGAAACCUAUCAGGCAACCUGUUACCCCCUUCCUGGACCAAAUUUGCCCAAGAUUUUAGACAAACCCAGGAAACUCUUAAACUUAGAUCGGUAAUCCAAGCCAUUAGGAUAGAAGACCAAUAUCGACUUAGAGAGAUUAAACCGUCCAACAACCGAUCAAACAUAAAUCUGACCGAGAUUCAGAACCAGAGCCAUGAGUAUAAACCUAAAGGUAAAAAUUUUAAACCUAAGGGUAAAGGCUUUAAAGGUAGGAACCCAAAUCGAAACCGGAACCACACCCAGAAACCCAAUACCAACCAGUCUAGUGGGAAUAAGAAGAAGGAUGGUUUCUGUUAUGUAUGUGGCUGUGACAACCAUUUUGCUUCAAAAUGUUUUUAUCGGAAGAAAGAGAAGGUUGUCUACAAGAAGGGUCAAAACACUCAGAACAACUAUCCUAAACCUCAGGUCAACAUGAUUGAGGGUGAACCUUCCAACUCCACUUUUAGGUCAGUCUCAUUUGUACCUAAUGUUAAUCUUACCUAUCAUGAUUUAGAUUGGUGGUUAGAAUCUGGAGCCAAUGUCUAUAUUUGCACUAAUAGGUCCCUAUUCUCCUCUUAUCAGGACACAAGUGGAGGAUGUGUAACUGUUGGAGAUGGAAAAGCUGUCAAUGUGUUGGGGAUCGGAACAGUCAAGCUGAAGUUAACUUCAGGAAAGACGUUAAUCCUUCACAAUGUGCACAUUCCCCUGAAAUCCGACGGAACCUGAUUAGUGGAUCUUUAUUAGUGCAAUUAGGAUAUAAGAUUGUAUUAGAAUCCAAUAAAGUUGUAAUUUCUAAGGGAGAAAUGUUCAUUGGAAAAUGUUUUGUAUCUAAGGGUUUGUUGAAACUGAAUGUACUUUCUUUUGUUGAUAAUAAAAAUUCUUCUUUUUCUUCUACUUCUUCUACUAUUGUUUUGAAUACUGAAUCUUGUGAUAUAUGGCAUGGCAGAUUAGGACAUGUAAAUUUUAGAUCUAUUAUGAAACAAUCCAAUCUUAACCUUGUACCCAAAUUCAAGAUUGAUCCUAUGUCCAAAUGUGAGAUUUGUACCCAAGCUAAGCAGCCUAGAAAAUCUUUUAAAUCUGUUCCUUAUAGGGAUACCCAGAUUCUUGAACUGAUUCAUAGUGAUGUCUGUGAUUCCAAUAGAGGUCCUACUCGUGGAGGAAGUCGUUACUUUGUGACUUUUAUAGACGACUACUCCAAAUUUUGUUACAUCUAUCUCUUGAAAACCAAAGAUGAAGUCCUCAAUAAGUUUAAAGCCUUUAAAGCAGAGGCUGAAAACCAAUUGGAGAAGAGGAUUAAAAUUCUAAGGUCUGAUAGAGAAGGCGAGUAUACUUCAAGUGAAUUAAAUCUGUUCUGCGAGGAAUAUGGAAUAAUUCAUGAAGUAACUGCUCCUUACUCACCUCAAUCAAAUGGUGUAGCUGAAAGAAAGAACCGAACCCUAUUAGACAUGGUUAAUGCUAUGAUUUUAAGUUCUGGUGUAUCUCAGAACUUGUGGGGUGAGGCUCUUUUAUCAGCUUGUUAUAUCCUCAACAGGAUUCCUUCUAAGGAUAGAACCGAGACACCUUAUGAACUUUGGAAGGGAAGAGCACCUAGGCUGAGUUACUUCCGAGUGUGGGGGUGCUUAGCUAAGGUGUCUAUUCCUGAGCCCAAAAGAAAAAAGAUUGUGAAAGUUUUGAGGAGCCCAAGGAUCUAUCUAAAUUGUAUAUAUCACCUAGAGGGGGGUGAAUAGGUGAACGGCCAAAAGCCACAAAUCUCGAUGCAAUAAAAAUAAAUGCGAAAAAUAAAAAGCACACCGAUAUUUACGUGGGAAAACUCCAACUUGGAGAAAAACCCACGGGACCAACACACGAAAAAAUAAUUCACUAAGAGAAAAGAUUACAAGGUGAUUACCGACUCCACGGACUCUACCUCUCUUAACCUCCUAUGAAUCUUCGCGCUACCCUCCGGGUUGUCCACGCCCUCACGUCCGAAUCCACGAACGCCUCCACUUCGAAUCCACGAAGCUUCAAUCACGCCAAAUCCACGACGCCACUCGAAUCCACGAGCCCACGAUCCGAAUCUACGAACCGCCGUCAAAUACGCCGAAUCCACGACGCCACCAUGAAGAAUAUCAUGAAUAUGGUGAUCCUUCGCUUUGGAGUAUUGUAGAAAACCAGGGAAUAGAACUCCAAGCGAAGCGGAGAUCAAAUCGACAUAUUAAUAUCAAAUUUCAAUAUCUCGAUUUGAUCUAAAAGAGGCUUUUUGUAGAAAAUAGGUUUUAGAUGAAAUUCGAGCCUCUAGGGUUUUUCAAAUAUGUAUUUUCGUGAUGCUUAAUCAGUUAGAGAACCCCUAUAGCUUAUUUAUAAACUUUAGAAUCAAACAGAGUAGGAUUAGAAAGUUUUUUUCCAAAAUCAGCACCUUGUACCGGAACAAGGAAAGCUGUCCAGGAUACAGCAUGACGGAAGUUUUUCUGCGAAGCUUCUGUACUCUGGACAGACUGCUUUUUGUUCCGGAAUAGGGCUUGUACCGGUACAGCCAUGAUGGUUGUACCGGAACAACCAUCAAACACUCUGCGCAAACACUGAUGGCUGUACCCUAGACAGAAAACCCUUGUACCGGUACAACAAUACAAUUUUCGCUGAAAAUGCAUUGUUUCGGGUUUUACAAGCUCUUAGAAACUUUCUAAUCAAUUACAACUUGAAAAUAUAAUUCUAAGAUCUAUAAAUAAGUAUGAAUCACCAUAAACAAGAUUUAAAGCUUACCUAAGCAUUGUGAUUCAAGUUUUGCGUGUUUUGCGUUCUUUCUGAUUCUUCGAAGCUUUGGAUUCUUCGAUCUUCAAUACGCCGCUCCGGACUUCUUCAAGACUCCGACUCGACCCACGAAACUUGCCAACACAUAGGACCUAACAGAUUGGUCCUAAAACAGUAGAUGUCAUUUUCAUUGGAUAUUCCCUAGAUAGCAACACCUAUAGAUUUCUUGUAACCAACUCUGAGAUUUCUGAGAUUUUCAAUGAUACCUUGAUUGAAUCUAGAGAUGCAACCUUUUUUGAAAAUAUCUUUCCUUUUAAAACCCAUAUCUCUAGAUCUGCACUUGAUUUUCAGCCUACAGUUGAUCAUGCAUCUACAUCUGAUCAUUUAUCUGCAUCUGAUUUAUCAUAUAGUUUAGAUCCUGUAGAACCUAACCCACCAACCGAACUAAGAAGAAGCAAGAGAACUCGCUUUGAGAAGAACUUUGGUGAAGAUUUCUUUACUUUCUUAGUUGAAAGUACACCUUCAUCAUACAAGGAAGCUAUGAGUUCUUCUGAAGCUUCUUUUUGGAAGGAGGCCAUAAACAGUGAGAUCGAGUCAAUUAUUGGCAACAACACUUGGAUUCUCACUGAUUUACCCCCUGGAAACCAACCUUUAGGAUGUAAGUGGAUCUUUAAAAAGAAGCUUAGAACUGACGGAUCGGUAGAGAAGUAUAAGGCGCGGCUUGUAGCUCAAGGUUUUCGACAAAAAGCUGAAGUUGAUUACUUUGACACAUAUGCGCCUGUUGCUCGUAUUGCUACGAUCCGAGUCAUUCUUGCAUUAGCAUCUAUUCAUAAGCUUUUGAUUCAUCAGAUGGAUGUCAAAACUGCUUUUCUUCUUGGAGAUCUUGAAGAAGAAAUCUAUAUGACUCAACCUGAAGGUUUCUCUGUGCCUGGUCAAGAGAAUAAGGUGUGUAAAUUAGUCCGUUCUCUAUAUGGACUAAAACAAGCACCUAAGCAGUGGCACGAGAAAUUUGACAGUGUUAUUGAAUCAUAUGGAUUUCAAACAAACGAUUUUGACAACUGUCUCUAUUUCAAGAGAUUUGAUGAUCGUUGUGUUCUUCUUUGCCUCUAUGUUGAUGACAUCCUGAUCCUUGCACCUGAUCUUGAUCUGAUCAACCAAGUUAAAUCCUUUUUAUCCACUCAUUUUGAUAUGAAGGAUCUUGGUGAAGCAAAUGUGAUUUUAGGAAUAAAAAUUCUUAGAUCAUCAGAUUCUAUUCUUCUGACCCAAUCUCAUUAUACCCAAAUGGUUCUUGACAAAUUUGGAUAUUCUGAUUGCACUCCUGUUUCUACUUCUUAUGAUCCUAGUGUUCAACUUGUGAAGAACACUGGUAAUCCUGUAAAUCAGGAGAGAUAUGCCCAGAUUAUUGGUUCUUUGANACGCACCAGAAGCCAACUCUACUCCGUGGCUUCCCCGGAAAACCGGAGUUACUAUUCACUUAAGUGAAAACUGAAAGUCGCGUAUCUUCUCCAUUUUAGCUCAUUUUCGCCCGAAACUUGACGAGUGCUUAUGUAAUUAAAUUACACACAUAAACAUCAUCAACAGAGAAUUUAGUAGCACUGUCAAAAAAAAAUCUCAGUCCUUACACUCUUUGUAUGGACUAAAACAAGCACCUAAGCAGUGGCACGAGAAAUUCGACAGUGUUAUUUAGUCAUAUGGAUUUCAGACAAACGAUUUUGACAACUGUCUUUAUUUCAAGAGAUUUGAUGAUCGUUGUGUUCUUCUUUGCCUCUAUGUUGAUGACAUCCUGAUCCUUGCACCUGAUUUUGAUCUGAUUAAUCAAGUUAAAUCCUUUUUAUCUACUCAUUUUGAUAUGAAGGAUCUUUGUGAAGCAGAUGUGAUUUUAGGAAUGAAAAUUCUUAGAUCAUCAGAUUCUAUUCUUCUGACCCAGUCUCAUUAUACCCAAAUAGUUCUUGACAAAUUCGGAUUUUCUAACUGCUCUCCUGUUUCUACUUCUUUUGAUCCUAGUGUUCAACUUGUGAAGAACACUGGUAAUUCUGUGAAUCAGGAGAGAUAUGCCCAGAUUAUUGGUUCUUUGAUGUACCUAACCAAUAGGACUAGACCUGAUAUUGCCUAUGCCAUAUCGAGAUUGAGUAGAUAUACUAGUAACCCUAGUAUGUCUCAUUGGAUUGCUUUGGAAAGAGUAUUUCGUUACCUUAAAGGUACUCUCUCUUAUUCUCUUUGCUUUGUUGGCUAUCCUGCUGUAAUUGAGGGAUACAGCGAUGCAAAUUGGAUUUUUGAUUCUUUGGAUAUUAAAUCCACUUCUGGUUAUGUUUUUAUUCUUGGUGGAGGUGCAGUUUCUUGGCAAUCCACCAAACAGACUAUAAUAGCCAGAAGUACUAUGGAGGCUGAGUUAGUUGCUCUUGAUACUACUUGUCUUGAAGCCGAGUGGCUCAAGAAUCUACUGUCAUCGAUUCCGUUGAUUUUUUCUCCUAUUCCACCUAUUUCUAUUAGGUGUGAUUCUCGAGUUGCAAUUGAUUUUUGUAAAAAGAAAUUGGUAAAUUCUAAAGCAAGUAGACAUAUUAAAUUGAGACAAAAGUCUGUUAGAUGGUUAACUUCUCAUGAUAUUAUUUCUUUAAGUUUUAUCAGAUCUGAUCAGAAUUUUGCAGAUUGCUUAACGAAAGGCCUGAAUAGGACUAAGGUCCUGGAGUCAUCGAGGGGGAUGGGACUUUGCCCGUAAAGGGCCUUCCUGCAGUGGGAACCCAACCUUUGUGAUAGGAGAUCCCUUGAAGAAGGUUCAAUGUGGUAAAAACAANNGUAUCCCUACCCUAACCUCGAUUUCGAGGAGAUAUAUUUGACAUCUGUCACGAGAAACCGGUUGGAUCGUCGAACAAAAAUGGUGUAACUUGGAAGAAGUUCCCUAGAGGAUAGUGUUUCCAACCCAAGGGUGACGUCCUUCCGGGAAAUGCCCGUUUCAGGGUAGGGGGAGCUACUGAGAUCUUGGAAUCAGGAUAAGUCCGGAAAGCAGUUCGUUAGACGUACAGUGCGGGGCCCUGGCCGCCUCCGGGAGGUACAUCGCACGGGUCUGGGCGGUAUACAGAUGUGUAUAUUCCGCAGAGUGAGUAGUGCUCUGUGUAGUGGUUGAGGCUGAGCUCAUAGCUCUUAAUGGGAUCCGAGGCGAUAAUUUUCGCGAGAUGUGACUCUACACACAUCCCUGGAGGAAACCACCUAUAUAAGAGUAUCCGUAUGUGGCCGCGGCUAUGAGAUGUGGGUUAUCCAUAGAAGCUCUUAUGAAAAAUCAAGGUACUGUGCACGGCCAUUAACGCACAGACCCGUGACAGAGAAUUCUGUACUGUGUGUGUGAUAGUUGAAGUCAGGGUCAAAGGAACGUAGUUCAAGACCUGGUUCACUCCGAUUCCUUCUGAUGGAAACUAUUUGCACUAAGUGAGGUUAAGUCUCUUAAAGACACCUUACCUAUUACAUAGUAUAAACACUCGGUGAUUAAUUGAUUUUCUUUAUUUGUUGUUUAAUUUUUAUUUUUAUUUUUAUUUUAUUUUAUCUUUAAAAUAAUUUUGAAUUUUGUGGGGGAUUGUUGGAGAAAAUCCAAAAUUUUAUUUAUUUAAUAUUUAUUUUUUUAUUAACUUUUAAUUAUCAAUUAGCGAAACGGCCGCAUCAACUACGGCCGCUUCGCGCGAGGGGGGGGAUCGUGCGCAGAUCCGUUCCACUAAUUAAGACCUUAAUUAGUGCUUUGGAACGUUGUGGGCUCCAACGUUCCAUACUUUAACCCUUUAUAUUUUGUUACCUCGUCCAUAGUAUUGGACAGGACAUAUAUAUACAUAUGAGGUGAACACUUUGAAAACAUAGAUCACAGUGAGAAGGAAUACUAUUUGAGAAUCAUUUGUUAUUUUCUUUCAUUUUAUUAUUUUUCACCGAGUGUUGAAAGAGUCUCCGUCAACCUCUUCCGCGAUCGUGCUCGUAGGAGAAGGACUUCCGGUCGUACCUUGGGGCGGUGUUUCCGGUUAAUCCCGCACGAAGGACGGGAAUACGCCUUAGGGCAGUGCUUCGCACGCUUCCGGAUCAAAUUAAUUUGGCAUUCUACUUCCACAAUUUAUUUUUUUUGGAAUUUAGUGAUUACUGGUAAGUUAAUGUUAUUAAUUUUAUCACUAAAUUAGUUAGAUUUUGUCACAAUCGGAUUAUUCGUUGCGGGUUUUCCCCAACAAGAGGCUGCUGUAAACUAUAGGCGAAAAAGGCAGCGAACAGAAGCCUCGAUUUAUACCAUCAAUAUAGAAAAAUGGCUGCAGAUGGUUGCUUUUGAAAAGGCCAUCCAAACCUGGAAUUCCAAUUUAAUUCACUAAAGUAGCAGGAUGACAGUCCAUCCCUUGGCGAGCAGCAAGAAGAAUGAAAGAAAGGCGAAUAGCAAGAGGAAGAAAUUAAUCAAAGUUAAAUUCAAGAAGAGGAAGGAGAAGGCGAGAAUUAAGAAAAGAAAGGACCCAGGAAAAAACUAUCAGCACAGUACAACGGAGCAAAGAGGUUAAGCAUACAAAAUUGAAAUGGAAAUUAUAAAAAAUAGUGCAUUCCUUGAAACCACAACAUUAAUCAAAAUAAAGCAGUGUUUUGAUAGAUCCAAAUUUGAGCAAAAAAAUAAUGGGAACGAAAGCUGCAAAUAAGAUUGAAAAAGGAGGCGAGAAGUAAGGGAAGCAAGUUAAAAAAAAAUUGGCUAAGAAGUAGAUAGCAAGAAAAUCUUAAUAGAAGAAAAGACACCAAAAAAAGUGUCUUUUUUCAAUCUCUAAAAAAUUUGAUGGCAACAUUGAUGACAAACUUGAAGCCUUGUGGGGAAAAAGGAUGCAAGUAAGAAAACUUUAAAAAAUUUGAACCAAAGUUAAAGCUAACAAGAGGAAGGAGAAGGCGAGGAUUAAGAGAAGAAAGGACCCCCAAAAAACUGUCAGCACAAUCCCUUGAAGCAACUUUAUAAAUCUGCCUAAGUAGUAAAUAACAAGAAAACUUUUAGAGAAUAAAGGACACCUAAAAAGAAAACAGCCUUUUUUGAGCCUUCAAAAAAUUUGAUGUUAAAGUUGAUGGCAAAGUUGAAUCCUCAUUGCAAACUUUCAAAAAUAACUGAAAGUAAGAAAACUUCAAAAAUUUUGAAUCAAAGUUAAAACCGAAAAGAGGAAGGAAAAGGUGAGGAUUAAGAGAAGAAAGCACACCGAAAAAUCUGUUGGCACAAUUCCUUGAAACCAUAACAUAAAUCAAAGAAAAGAAGCGAUUAGUUGAGCUUCAAGUGAUCAUGGCAUAGUUGGUUAGAUAGGUCCAAACCAAAGGAAAAAAGAUAAUGUGAACGUGAAUGUGAAGCCAACAGUAGUAGAUGGGUGCGCGUGAACAGGCCGUCCAACUCUGGCGUAGAUGCUUGCCUUUGAUCAGGCCACCCAAUCCACAACCAUCAGUUAACCGCAUUUGCAUUUUAAAGAAAUCACAGACAACUCACUGCCUAACAUGAAUUUGACACUGCAGAGUUUCUUUUUUAUCAGGUAUCAUCAUCGCCUCAAUAAAACAAUGAAAAUAGCUAUAAAAGUUAAAAGUAUCUGUAAAGCAAGGUAAGCAUUAACAGUGAAACAAAGCAAAAAAAAAAAGGAGAAAUCAAGAAAGGAAGGGUGAAACAUUGUCAAGAAAAAAAAAGUUAUAAGCACAGCUAUUAAAAGUGUGAAAUCAGCACCGGAACUAAAGAGAAUAAGAAAAAAAAAUUCGUAAAAAACAAUAGAACCAACCCUGAAGAUAAAAAGUAGUAAACAACAUCAAAAGAAAACAUGAAAAUGAAAACAAAUAAAAAACCUUCAAAUGAGACAGGGGAAGAAAAAGAGGGGAAGGGAGGGGGGGGCGGGGGUUAAGAGGAGGAGGGGGGCGGGGGUUAAGAAGCGAAAAAAAAAAAAGCGCCAAGAAAGCAAGAAAACGCAAACACAAUAGAUAGUAAUUUAUCUUAAAAAAUAGCUAGGCUCAGGUGAAAGUGUGAGAAAUAGACUAAUUUUAACAACUUCUUUCAUCAUUUGAGCAGGCAAACACCAACCGAACUGCUUGUGGGGACAGAACAGAGCACUGAAAAGAGUAUGGAAAAGCCUCAAGAUAGUAGAAUCAGGCAACAGACAACAGUAGAUGGUUGCGAUUGAAUAGGCCGUCCAAUCUGUUACAGAUGGUUGCCUUUGAAUAAACCAUCCAAUCCACUCCCGCCAACUAAAACAUUUUUUUCUGGAAAUGGUAGACAAUUUCAAUGUCUAAACUGAGAUAUGAGUUCACACUUUUUUGUAACCAAGUUCAUCAUUGACUUGGAGAAAAAAAUAAAAUUAGGUGUAGAAAUAAAGACAGCUAGGAAAGCCGAGGAAAAAAAAAAUACCAUUACGGGGUUGCCCGUCAACAGGCCAUCCAACCUGUUGGCAUUAUAUAUGUUGUAAAGAGCCGUUGGCAUCAUGCAAAGAAUAUGAAAAUAUGAGAACUGAUAAAAAAGCAAAAAAUACAACAGCAAUAUUCAAACUGAUAAAAAAACAGAUAUACGAAUCAAGGAGAUGGAACACGCAGAAACGAUAAAUGUAAACUACCAGUUAAAAGCAGAGAAAAAAAGUCAUAAAAAGUACAAAAAUAAUAAAAUGUCAAAAAUACAACAACAGAGCCCAAACUUAUAAAAAAAAAAAUAGAGAUAGGAAUCAAGGAGAUGGAAUAGUUUGAACACACAAAGAAAAAACAGUUAGUACUACAGAUUUGGGGAAUAUAGGGGGCGUACCUAGCAAAGUAUGCAGACAAUAACAGUAGUGAAAAAUAUAGAUGCCUAAAAUUGUGGGAUCAGUUAGUACUACAGAUUUAGAAAAUAGAGGUGUAGAAUAUUUGUUGCCACAAAUAUAUUUUACCUUAUAUAUACUGCAGAGAGAAGGCGGUUCAGAACUUUCUAAAAAAGAUUUCUAUUUAUAGCCUUUAGCAGAUAUAGUAAGUACAGAGAAGAAGAGUAGGCUCUAAUAUAAAUAUAUAAAAAUACAAAAAAGGCUAGCGUAGGGAUGAUAUCACCCAAAUCUUGGGAUAUCUUUCUUUUCUCCCAUUUCCUUCUUUGGCUCUGGUUAGAAUUAGGGGCCAAGUAGAUCUAGGGUUAGGGGCCACCACAGUGAUGGAUUCCAUCACAAUCGCACAAUCCGCGAUCGACCACAUCAACAGCAAAGAAUAGUAAAUCCGGAAAAUAGAAAUGCGAACUAGAGAGAGGGCUCACCUGUAGGCUCAAUGGGUAUAGGGGGAGACCCCAUCGGCAGAGAGUAGAAUAAGGCUCACCUGUAAGCUCCAUAGGUAUAGGGAUAGACCCCAUCAGGGCGAAUCCAACCUGAUGCCAGCUAAUCGGAGUAAAGAGAGAAAGCGAAGGAGAGAUGGCUAGAGAUGGAAGGCAGGCAGAAAGAGGAGAGAUGAGAGAGAAAAGGAGCGAAGAGGAUCAGAUUAGGGCACGAGAGAGAAAACCACACUGAGCCGUCGAGGAUCAAAGAAAGAGAAACUUGGAGGGAGGGGUGGGAGGGAUGGGCGUGAGGGAUGUAGAGAGAGAGCGCGAGAUAUAGACAGAGAAAGAGCACGAGAGAUAGAUAGAGAGAGAGAGCGCGAGGGGUAGAGAGAGAGAGGGAGAGAGAAGAGAUGGGUUGAAAGGGCAUCUGAAGAGAAGAGGAGGAGGGAGGGGAGAGAGAGGGUUUACGGUUAUAAUAGUUAAGGGUUUUUUUUUUUGUGGACCCCACCUCAUUAAAAACGUGCCACGUGGAAUAGGCUUGCAUCCUCUCGCCACGCGGUUUCGUUGUACUGCCAAAUUAAGUAUUGUUAGAUAUACUGCUGAAUAGGGUGGCAAUUCAGCUCGCUGUUCGGGAGUCGGCUUGUAUUCGGCUCGAAAUGAGCUCAAAAUCGAAUCGCUAAUUUAGUAAAUGAGCCAAAUAUUAGCUGAAUUUUUCAGCUUGUUUAGGGUCAGCUCGCUCGUGUUCGGCUUGAUAAGAGCUCGAAUACAUAUAUUUUAUAUUUAUAUAUAUAAAUAAAUAAUUAUAUAUAUAAUAUAUUUUUAUUAUUUAAUUUUUAGUCCAAUCUAAAUAUAAAGCCCAAAUUAAUUAUAAAAAGAUCCAUUUAUGUGUAAAAUUUUAACCAUUAAAUCAAAGUCUAAUAAGUAAAAUCUCGAAAAUUUAUAUCAUAUAUAUAUCCUUUCGGAUCUUUUAACUUAUUGUUCAUGAGCAAGCUUGUGUUCACUUUGUUAAUAAACGAGCCGAACACGAGCUGAAUUUUUCGGCUCGAUACUUUAAUUAGUUAGCUCGCGAACACGAGCCAACCCCAGCUCGUUCAUGUUCAACUCGUUGACAACCCUACUCCUGAAAAGUUUUUGACUUUCUGAUUUAUCUCUUUUAGAAGGCUAAUAUUAAAAAUUAUUUCAAAUAUAUCACUAGAGUUAAAAGUGUCCGGAUUUCAUAAAUAGCUUUCCAAAAAUACUAAUUUUUCAUAAAAUUUGGAAAAUAGAUUUCCAAAAAUACUAGUUAAGUUUUUCACUUUUUCUUAGAAUCAAGUAGACAGAAAACUGAAAAAGAAGUUUUUCAUAAGAAACUUAUUUUAUAAAAAAAAUUUUCCACACUUUUUUGAGAAACCUAACAGCCUUUAAGUGUCUGUAGUGCUGCAUACAUUACUCGCUAAUUUUUCUAAUGAUUUAAAAUUCGGGUCAAACAUGCCAAUUCGACUUGUUCGAUCUUACAUCAAUUUAUAAAAUGGUUCGGUUCAACCCUUUAAAUUGGAUAAAUCAAAAAAUUGCUUUGAAUCAUUCGACCUGACAGUUUAACUGUUGAACCGGUGAACUAGUUUGGUUUUAAUCAACCUGGCCGAAUUUUUUUGAUCAAAUUAUAUUAAAAUCCAACGGCUUGAAUCAAAUUAAUUGGUUUUAUUUUCUGUUAGGACAAAUUAGUUUUAUAAAAAGUAAAAUAUAAAAACUUAUAUCUCCUUAAUUUAGCUAAGAAAACAGUAUUUUAUAAUUAAAUAUAAUACUAGAAUAAUAAUUAUAUAAAUAUAUUUUAUAAAAUAAAUUUAAAAAUAAUAAUAAAAUAUUUAUAACAUACGCUAAUAUCAUUAGUUCAGUAAGUAGGUCAAGUUGAAUCAGUGACUCUUAACCCAGUAAUAUUUUCAGAUAUUUGUUUCACCCGAUUUUAAAAUAUUGAAUCUUUUUACAACAUUCUUGAGCCAUUGAAAAUCACAAUAGAUGGCUAAAGGAUGUUAAUGGGUAUGAAUACCUAAAGUUUUAUCCGAAUCCGAAUCCAGAUGGAGCGGACAUACUCGAUGCUAAACGGAUAUAAUUUCGAAUAUGGAAAUAAAAUACAAAAAUCCGACUAAUUUGUAUUCGGAUAUGGAUUUUGACUGUAUCCUACCCGAACCCGAAAUAAUCCGAAUUGAUUUUAUAUUUUAUAUUAUAUAUUAUAAUAUAUAUAUAUAUAAAUGUUGAUGUUAUAUUUGAAUUUAUGUUUUAAAAUUUUAGAUUUAAUAUAAUAUAUUUUGAGAUAUUGUAAAGAUAAAUAAUUAUUUUGGAUUUGAAUUCGCAGGUCUGGAUUUCUGAUCAGAUUUUUAUGAAUUUUUUAAAUCCGUCGAAUUCGAAUUCAAAAUUUCAAGCUUCGACGGCGGAUUCAAGUUCGGGUUUUUAAAAAAAACCCGCCCCGAAGCCGACCCGCUGGCAUCCCUCCUUCCGUCCAGUGAAUCACGAGAGGCCAGCGCUCCGACACGAAUCCACUGCUGCCUUCCCUCCCUCCCUCCCUUCCUUCCCCCGCCACCAAAAAUAUGAUGCCUGCAGCCCUCCCAAUUCCGCCAUCCACGACGCCACGCCCGGCCCUUCUUCCGCGCACCCGAAGAGCCGACGAGAAUGGCGUCGUCGCUCUGCCGAUCCACGCUUCGUCUUCGUCCGCCUCUCCUUCCUCCCACUAGGGUUCCUCGCGCGUCCUCUCGAUUCCAAACCCCACUCUCCCGCUCCAAUCCUCUUUACGGUGAGUAAUCAAAUUAAUCGCAUAAUCUAUGCAUAAUUUUAGGUUUCCUUGAAUUUACCACUCAUCAAGUUUCAAAGAAUUUGCUAAAAUUUAGGGCCAGGUUUAGCGCAUUUUCCUUUUGCUACUCUUGUGAUCUUGGUUCUGUAGAAGUUUCCAGUGUGAUUGUAAGUACUAUCCAUAACUUGGUAAAAAUAAUUUGAAGGGCGAAUAUAAUAAUUCUAUUCUAAACAUCUUUUUCGCACUCAUUAUCAAUUAACUUUAUAAAUUUCUCAAGUAAAAUAACGAACAAGAUAUUCAUGCAUCCAAUCAGGGCCUUAACUCAAAAGGUUUGUAGUAUAUGGUCGAAGAAACGAGCGGAUACCACGUUCGACCAUCAAGUUAUUUUUUCGGAAUAAGAUAAAAUCACGUAGUAGGUAAAUUAUGCUAUCUUACCAAAUUAUGAAUGCCAAGACCUUCGUAGGAGCAAAAAAUCAAACUCCGACCUUCCAAUCACACGGGGUAAGCUUCAUAUGGAAUAAAUAAUCAUUGGAUAUCGUACAGAGCCUAAGUGUUGAAUAAAGUUCUACUUUGCUCUAUCAUCAGUCAUUACAGUGUGUAUACAAGUUUUCUUAUUCGUUAUUACUCAAUUUACUAAUGUUUGGUAAUUUUUCCUAAUAUUUUUCUCUGGCAAUACGAUAUUUUUAGCUUUCAGAUGUCAAAUUCAAACAGAUGCCAACCCACAAUCGACGAUAAAAUUGAAGGAUGAUGAUUCGUCAUCUAAAACAUGGAAGAUCAAAAUGCUUUAUGACGGGGAUUGCCCGCUUUGUAUGCGUGAGGUCUGCUCUUUAUUUUUAGCAAAGGGUAUAUAGCAAUGAUACUAUUAUAUAUCAUAGAUGCUGCUAUAGUAACUUCAUCAUAAUGUUCUUCCGUAUGCUAUUUUUCUUUUUCUUUUUUUUGAAAAAAGGUUUUAUAUUUUCAUAUUUGGCCCGAUGAUCGAGAUUAAUGUUGGGCUCAUGUUUUGUUUGCAUGAAGAGUAGAGGGUUGGAACUAGAAGGAACUAGCUUUUUUGGAAAGGAAUCAUUUUUUUAACUCUUCAAAACUUGAGAUUGUAUGCUUCAUCUUGUGCUAAUUUAUUCAGAUUAUAUAUAUUUUACGUGAUUCAGAAGCCUUUAUUUAAAUUUCAAGUUAGGUAAAUGAUCAACACAAUCCUUGUUAAUGUUCUCUUCAUUUCGCUUGCAUUGCUAACCUGCACAAAUAAUAGUCCUAAUGGCACAUUGUAAUUCAAACUUUGUUGAUUUUAACGAACGAGUGUUUAGGACUGGGUUUUCAGUUGAGAAAUAGCCUAGGUGCCCUUAGCAAUGCUAAAAUUCAUCAUACUCAUAUGCUCUAUUUUUUUGUUAAGAUAUAGUGGGAAACCAGUACAUUUCAUCUCGGGAAAAUUUUGAAACUUGGAUUGCACCAUUUAUAACAUUGUGUGAUAUCUGUGGUAGUUACAUGUGCAAACAAAACUAUGCUAUUUUGGAUCAUACUCUCUUUUUUCUGAUCACUACUAACUGUUUGUCCUUUCACUCGAACUUACAUGUUAGCUUCGACAGUAUAGGCUUCCAUAUAUUUAGUGAAUACAAAUUUUAGUUUAAAUUUCAGCUCAAAUUUGAAUUCAAAAUUAUAUAUUGAAUUCACAAUGUAAAAUCAUGUUCAAAUUGAAAUUCAAAAAAAUUAAAUUUUAUUUAGCAUUUAAAUUUAUUAUUUAAAUUAGUAACCGAAUGAAUUUAAAUUUGGACUGACCAUUUAAACUUAAAGUUUAAAUUUGAAUAUGAAUUCACAAUUUAAAUUCAAGUUCAAAGUCAAAAUUUAAAACUAUAUCAAUAUUCAAAUAUUAAACUUAUAUAAAUUUUGAAAAAUUUAAUUUAAAUUUAAAUCCAUAUUUAUAUACAGAUGUGGAAUUAUAAUUUAAUCUGAUUUAUCUACUAAAAAAUUUAAAUUUAAAUUUAUAUCCAUAUUCAAAUACAAAUGAGAAUUAUAAUUUAAUCUAAAUUAAAUUUAGAUAUACAUUUAAAUUUAAAUAAUUGUUAUUAAGUUUGAAAAAAAUAUGCUGGUGGUGGGAAUCGAACUCCCCAUCCUUUAUAUGCAAGGCAAGCCUUCUAUCAUGUGGGCUACAUAUAUGAAUUUCCAGAUAUCCGGAUCAAUAUCCGAUUUUUUCGGAUAUCUAGGCAUUUUUGAACUCUUUGAGACCACAUCCGCAUCCGUAUCCAACAGGAUCCGGAUAUUUUCUAUUUGGAUGCAGAUGGAAAUCGAAUACAGGCGUGGAUACAGUUGGAUAUUAUCUGAUUUGUUUUCACCCCUACUAGUGACCUCAAGGGAUGUGAGUGAUACAACCAAGAGCACAUGGCACCAGUGUGCAAAUGCUCCGUGGAGCCUUUUUUUGAAGUAUAAUCUUGGAUUAGGCUCAUUUACUAUAUUAUGGACUUCAUCAUUCCUUAACUUAUUGCUGUAAAUUUGUUUUUCAUGCAUAAUUUCAUUUCCGCAUUGUCUUUAGACGAAAUCUAAUGGAGUCCCCCAACUAGAGGUCAUUUGGAAGCGGGAUCUUGAGCUUUUUGAGAUUUGAAACUGCUCGACUAAGAUGUUGCUUGAUUUCAGAUAAUUCAUUCAGAACUUAGCGAUCUUUGUAACUUUGUUUGACAUAAUAUUGGGUAACUUAGCAUUACAAUAUUACUAGGUGGACUAUUUUUAAACUUCUUUGCUUGAAACUACGAAGACCUAGCUGCUAACUGAACCUAAUGGAAUUUUCUUAAACCAAGCAAUAUUUUGGUUGAGUGGUUCAAACUGAAAAGAAACAAGUCCAGGAACAUGUGUUCAAACGGCCUAUGGAUUAAGGGGUGUUGUGUGUUUUUUAACCAUAGUAAUACUAUCAUAAAAUUUCAUUUCUAUGUGUAGUCAAUUUGUUGAGAAAAGGGCAUUUCUCCUCCCAGUUUAUUUGUAUGGUAUCUUUCUGUGAUGUUUUAUAUAUUAGAUGUGUGAGUUGUUGAUGGCGUAUUCAGUGCUUUUUAACCUUUUUUUUUUUUCUGUUAGGUAAACAUGCUUAAAGAGAGGAAUAAAUCCUAUGGAGCUAUAGAAUUUGUUGAUAUAAGCUCAAAAGAUUACUCACCUGAGGAGAAUGAGGGCCUUGACUAUGAAACUGUAUGUCAUAGCCUUGAAAUUCUGUUUUCAGUAUAUCUUUUUCGGGUUAACAAUGAAUGCCUACCUAUUUUGAAUUACUUUUCUUUCUAAAAUGUAGUAAUAAUCAAGUUACAAAUUUGUUGAGGAUGGAUACCCACCUAUUACUUUAAAGUGUAUAGUUGUAACAAGUAACAGAUUUGUUGCUGUGAUGUAUGUCUGUUGUUGAAAUUUUGACAUUCUUAUGACAAUUAGUAUUUGACAAUUAUUCUCUAGGUGAAAUUAUUAUAAUGUUUUGCAUAAAAUCCAUGGCUCGUCCUAAAACUUCAACAAGUCACAAUUUGUAUCUUGAGUUUUGACUUGAACAAAUCAGUUCCUAAAUGAAUUUGAUUUCUUGAAACUCCCUAGGUUUGUUCGCCGUUCAAUAUCUCUGUGUUUAUUGUCUUGAAUCCUCUACCCUUAGCAGAGCGAGGAGAUUUUAAUUGUUAACUUAAGCAGCUUUAACUAGAGGAAUUAUUUUCUUGUUGUCAAGUGAAGAAACAUAAAUUCAUAGUUUGUUCAUUCUGGGCCCAUCAUUUGAAUACUAUACAUGAACAUAAAUUCAUAAAUUCAUACACCGACCGUCCCUAGCGCAAGGUGCAAAGUGCUUGGUGGUUGGUACAUGAGGUCCCAAGUUCGAAUCCUAGUUGAUUCACAUUUCCAGCUAAGUUUAUUUCUAAAUGAAAUAAACGAAGCGGGUAGCAUGCUACCUAUCUCUCUCUCUCAAAAAAAAAAGAAGUAUUAACUAGUAACAUGGCAUGUGCCAUGGCACACCCUGCAGUCUACCCGUACAUACAGUUUUGGCUUUUAUAGGGUUUCUGUAAUACCAUAUAGAAGUAAAUUUUCUUGACAUUUGCCAUUAUUUAUUCUAAAAUCAACUAUCAGAAAAAGUAAAUGGCAAUUUUGUAGUAGUGCUAAGGAUGCGACAUACUCAUUUAUCAACUUAGCAUCCUUAUUAACCUUAAUAGAUAUAUAGAUAUUUGUGUAAUUUGAGAUUGAAAUGUCUUGAUGUCUAACGCUAUUUGUAAAAUGUAAAAUGUAGAAUCCCUAAGCUUCCUACUCGUACUUUUCUGCUCGUCUGAUAGUUUAUAAUGUGGUCUGAUUUUGUAAACUUAGAAUAGUGGAAGCAUUAUUUUAGAUUUGUGUUUUGCCACCAGAGCUACUGAAAACCUCCUGUCUUGUAGGUUAUGGGAAGAAUUCAUGCGAUUCUUUCAGAUGGAACUGUUGUUCGAGAUGUUGAGGUAUGACAUUCUAAUCCCUCCUGUAAAACGGAAAUGCUUUCUUUUUCAUCAUAUCUAAUUAUGACUUUCUAUUUUAUAUUUCUAUGUCUAACUUUUAGAUUUUCUUCUCUUUUAUUUUUUGAGCAUAUGUAUAAUUAAGGAUAUGUUGUUGUUGAUUAAGACAAUACAUUUCUUUAAUGUACUAAGUUGUGCUGCAGAGAAAUAUCAUCCGUAGAAUUAUAAGAGCAUGAGAAAGUUAAGCAGAAAGGUUUUUUUUUUUUUUUUUCAAAAAGGUGAUAAAUAUGAUUAAGGUUAUGUUGCAGUAAAGCACUAAAGUCAUUGCUUCGGAAUGAAUUAUUUAAGUCGCUGUUACCAAAAUGUGUUUACAGGCAUUUAGAAGAUUGUAUGAGGAAAUUGGGCUUGGAUGGGUUUAUACAGUUACAAAAUAUGAGCCUGUAAGUCUUUAAUUUUGGACAAUAAGCACCUUUAACUAUUCAUUUGUUUAUAUUAUGGGUAAUUGUGGAUGAUGCCACUUCAGCUAGCUACAGUAUGAGCAUUUUAUUAAAGACUUUUUGUAAGUGUAGCUUAAGCACAGUUUUGGUGCUUGAACACCUUGUCCUUUGUAGUUCAUCUCAUUUUGAGUGUUGUCGUUAUCAUUCUUUGUUGACUACAUUUUCCAAAAAACAGCUUAGAUAGAUCUUCUAUUAAAGGCUGAAGUGAAUGAAAGUUCAUAUUUUAUUUUUGAUAAGAUCAAUUAAUGUGACAAAAUGUAGAUUCUUUCUCUGAUAGAAAUGCCUUUAGUCAGAUCUAUUGUUAGGAUACAGCUUGGUUUAGGAUGAUAUGGUAGAAGGAAGACAGAAAAGCAAACCCUUAAAUAUUUAUCAACCUAAAACAAGUAAUCAAGGUUCGAACCGGGUUUGUACUGAGGAGAAAGUUAUCUACGAGCAUGUGCUUGUUGAAGAAUGAGCCGGUGACUUAUAGGCAGUGGCGAAAGGCUUUCUACCUUCCCCCUCUGGCGGAAACAUUCCCUCACUGUAGACUGAUGAUUGUAGGGCCUUCCUGACCACCUUUCCUAUGAGAAUGCAGCAAUUCUGGAACCUCUUCCCUUGUAGGUAGCAUCUAUAAUACCGUGCACUUAGUCUUCUAAUUUAGUAAUGAUUGAUCAAACCGAAAAUCUCUGGAGAGAGUGUUACAAGUUACAUAGGUUCGCAAAUUUGAAGAUUAACUGGAACUUCAAAAUAAAUGAACAAGUUAAAUGUUACUAUGUAUGGUUGAUAGAUUUGUGAAUUGUCACUUCAAAAUCAAUGUUUGGGCAUUUGAUUUAACAAUUGGAGCCAGUAGAAAUGUUUUAUAGCGUUUGAAGAUACUAAAAACCAAAAUUUAUGGAAUUUCAAUGCUACCUAUUUUUACAUCAAGUCAUCUCAAAUUUGACUGUUUUAACGGUUGAUUGGUUGUAACUGUACUUUUAACUGUUAAAAACGAUUCAAAAAAGUUGAAAGUUUGUUAGAAAAUUCUUUUCGAUAUCUUUUAUGGAAUUUUGUUUUAACUUCAUGCACUCCAAUCAAUACUUCGCCCUAUCAUUAUCUUAUAUAGAAUUUUGUUUGUCUUCAUGCAAGCUGGAAUUAACCGGCCUACUUUUGUAAACUUUAAUUUCAUGAUAGAGAAAGUUAGCUUUAUUAUCUUUAGAAGAUAUCUACCUAGAAUUGGUUUUUAUUAUGUUGACCAUGCUUAUAUUUCUAUGUUAUGAUUUAUUAAGCCUUAUAUGUCUUAAAGUACUGUGCACUUUAAUUCUUCUGUUGCUGCUUGGUUAAACAUAUCCUUUUACAUAUUUCAGGUGGCUACAAUAGCAAAUGCAAUCUAUAGCAUUUGGGCCAAAUAUCGUUUGCAAAUUACAGGUAUUUGAUGCAAUUUUGCGUUGAUGGCCAUUUAGGUAUUUAGAUUAUUCAGUACUUAAAAAAUGAAUAUUCCUCUCUCUAGGUUUUUACCUGUUCUUAAGAAAAUAUUUAAAUGACUCAUAUUAAUGAUCAACAGAUACAAAAAUAUUUACGGCUUGAAAAGAAAGAUGUUUGCCAUGGAAAUUAUAUCACGCGGUCUCGAUUUAAAAUUACGUACUUCAAGAAAAAGAUGACCUCCUCUUUGAUGACUUGUUUCUACCCUUUGUUUUUAUGGCCACUGAAGCUGCAUAUAUCUUAAAUUAUCAAGGGAAGCAUAAAACUUCAUACGUCAUAUGUGUGCUAUCUGUUAAAAUAUGUGAAAUAACUAUUGUUCUCUGAGAGCUUAAGCUACCAGAGAUCUGUGUUUUCAAUAUUUAUAUUCAACACUCCCUCGCAUGUCUAGGCUGGAGACGUUUUUGAUAGGUCCAAGACAUGGAACUAAAUUAAAUGAGAGGAAAUUAAAUGAAGCGAGGAGCUUGGCGGGACUCGAACUCAGGACUUUUUACUCUGUUAUCAUGCUAAAUUAUACGAAACAACAGUUGUGCUCCAAAAACUUAAGCUACCAGAGAAUGAUGUUUUUAAAACUUAAAUUUAACACUAUCAAUUAAUAGAACUGCAAUGAAGUUUGUCCUGAUGGAGUUGUAAUCAUUCUUGAUAAGGUUAGGUGACAUAAAUGAACCUCCAUAUGCAAGUUUAUCUUUAAUUAUGAUAUAUGCGUUUUGAUUGCAAAUUGAAGAUGGAUAUUUCAAGCAAUUUGCAUUUAAAUUGUUUGAAUUUGAAGGUUAGAUUACUUCAAUUGUUUAUUGUUGUCUUCUUGUUAUCUAUAGGACGGCCUCCGCUGGAAGAAAUUUUGGAAUCAAGACGAAAGGUAUGAAUUAAUUUAUCGUACUUUUGGCAACAGACAUCUAUACAUAGUUGUAUCAUGUACAAUUAAGAUGUCAUAGCUUGGUUGUUAGUUAAUUAUCUUUUAUAAUGACCUGUUCCAAUAAAUUAGAAUUCGUCUUUUUGGCGUAGGACGGCAUGACUGCCAUUUUAUGGAAAUUCAUACUAUUAAAAGAAUGAACCUAUUUGAUAACAUAGACAUAUUUACAUAUGUCUCAGAAAUUCUCUAUUUAGGUAGAAACCGCUCCAAAUCUCAGUUUUUCCAUGACCUCCAAAAAAUUAAUUUCUUAAAUGCUGUACUUUGCAAAAAUGCCCCUCAAAAAAAAGAAAAAAAGAAAAAAAAAAAGGAUAAAGAGAAACCUUUUCCAAUUAGUAACCAGCUUCAUGAUAAGCUGGGUGACCGUCCGAUUUAAGAUAAUGGUAUUACUAAGACAUCAUUUUCAUGGGGUGUUUAUACCAGAGUCCGGAUUUUACAGGGUUAUAAAUCAUAGAUGAUUGGCAAGCCGGUAAAUUCAUUUGCGAAAGUGUUUUGGUUGGUUCUCAAAUUGGCAUAGUUUGUAGUAACAUUUAAAAUUGCUUGUGCAACGACGAGGUAUGAGCGUUGCAUAUGUAAGACUCGUUACUGCGGCUAUUUCAGAAGCAACAACCUUGGGAACAAACAAUAGAAAUUUCUUCUAUUUUUGCCAACCUCUCUUUCCUACCCCUUAGCAAAUCAGUUUUAUUAAAUCAUUUACCCUGAUAUAUAUAUAUAACCAGGCAUCUUUGUACAACUCUACUGAAAUGCUUUUGACUAUGUCUGCGCCGAAUGUGGAUUAAUAGCAUUAGAAAAUGCCUUUGCCACCAUUGUCGGCCGAAAAAACAAAAAGUUUGCUCCACCUUUUUGCUUCAUGACAUUGUUUGUGUUCUUCUCAUGCAGGAUGGAUGCAAUGAUGAUAAGGUCUGCAAGACGCAAACUACGUCUCGGUAAGUUCUGAUAACAUGGAUAGAUAUGAACUGCAUACGGCUUUGGAGCUCAGACGUUCAUGCCUGCAGUUCAAGGCCUGCGGCAGCGUCGAUGGCGGCUGUUAUCUUAAUUUUUCUCUUUCCUUAUUCUCACUCUCAUACUCACAAAGUUGUACUCUAUGGAAUCAAAAAAUUCGAAUUGAAGCGCAUAAUGUAGGAGUUGAAAAGUAUUAUCUAUGCAGAAAACAUAAUGUAUGGGCUGUUCUUAUACUAUCUUUGACGGGUCUUCUGUCUGGGCUCGUCGGCACUAUGCAAUCAUCUUUUAUCCAGAUCGGUAAGCCUGUCCGAUCUCGAAACUAAAAUAGUUUGGCUCUCGUUUUCUUGGUAAUUCAGAUGGAAAAUUCAGUGUAGGUUCUUUUCUCGCUCAUGUGUUGUGACUUGUACUUGAAAUGUCUAUAUAGGGACUAACUUCAAUUUGCUCUCCAGUUGUUAUUAUCUUGAAAACACCCUAAAUCAAGGAUUUAAGUGUCCAUAGUUAUGGGCCGUAUUUAUCGUGUCGUUUCGUGCUAACAAGAUAUCGGUAUGAUAGAACCUCCAUGGCAAUGAUACAGCUCAAGACUUUUUAUUUUUUAAAUUAGUAAGUAAUUUUUUCAAUAAAGUUAAAAAGAUUUGGUAAAAAUAUAUAAUAAACAGUUAGAAUACUUUGUUGUUAAAGAAAAUAAAUAUUUCAUGAUAUUAUGUGUCGGUAUACAUGAAAUUUUUGUGAUUGGUACGUAUCGGCACGACUCGGCACGUAUCGUGUUGUACCGUAUUGAUAAGUUUUCGAUAUGAUUCUAUAUCACGGCAUUUAAAUCCUUGUCCUAAAUAACUCACAUAUCUUUACAAAUUACANCGUAUCGUGUUGUACCGUAUUGAUAAGUUUUCGAUAUGAUUCUAUAUCACGGCAUUUAAAUCCUUGUCCUAAAUAACUCACAUAUCUUUACAAAUUAAAAAAAAAAAAAAAAAAAAAAAAAACUAUUACUACAAACUUUAAAAUUUUGGUAAAUAUGCUCUUUGACCAGACAAUUUCGUCUAACUGUUUGUACUAUUGAUUAUAAGCUUGCUUAUUGUUAUUUUGUUUAUUAUUAUUUUGUUAUUACUCUUUUUUGUUGCAAGAUUGUUAUUAGCUUGCUUAUUACGUCGUUUAUGUUUGGUUGGUAGGAAAAGAAAAAUAGUUUUCCACGACGCUUGUUUGGUUGAAAAAAAAAUAUAUAUAUAUAAAUAAAAAUUAUUAUAUACAUUUUUUUAUUUUAUAUUUUUUAUAUUAUUAAUAUAUAAUUAUUAUCAUAUUAUAUAUAUUAGUAUUAUAGUUUAUAUUUAUAAAUAAAAUAUAUUUAAAAUAUAUUAUACAAUAAUUAAAUAUAUAAUAUAAUAUAUAAUAGUAUAUAUUUAAUACUAUAAAAUAAAUUACCAGAUAUAAAAUAUUAUAUAAUAAAUAUAUUUAUAAAUAAAAUAUUAUUUUUAAAAUAUGUAAAUAUAUAUAAAUAUAUAUUUAUAUAUAUUAUAUUAUAUACAUUAAAAAGAAGUUGGGGAAGAGAGGUAGACCGCACCCCAGUGGACCUUCUACCUCGAACUCUGCGAAAAAACUGUGCAAAAAAUGGUGGACCCCUCCCCCACCUCGUGGAAAUGGUGGACCUCCCCCACCUCCUGGACUGCGCGCAUGUGAACUCCGCCUCUCCGAAAUCCGUGAAAAAUGGUUUUUGUUUUCGGCUUGUUUCGAGCGAAAAAUAAAAACUUCCGUUUUUCUCAGAUUUGUAAAAAGAGUUUUUCAAAAGAAAUUUUUUACGGACAAAUAAAUGCUCGGAAUCAUAUUUUUUUAUUAAAAAUUUAUUUUUCGGGCGAUUUUACAGGUCACAUUUAAAAUUAUACAUUUAUUGGCUCUUUAGUUUCCUCCCAUAUUUUAAUCUUACCAUUCUUGAAUUACAUUUUCUUUCUAUAUAUAUAAAAAAUUUAAAGUAUGAGAUUUCCGAGAAACAGAUUCAUUCCACACUGUACAUAAAUACACAGAUAAAUUAGAUGCAUGUAAUAAUACUUUUUUUAUACAUAUUUAUAAAAAAGUCCGGCUACUAUGCUAUUAAUAGCACGAAGCACUUGGUGCUAUCAAGUUUUUCGCCAUUAGAUCUACUCUUUUGAUCAUUUUCACCCGUUAGAUCAUACUAUUCAACCAACCACCCACUCAAUUCUAGGGGGCCCACAUCAUCCUAACCGCACAUAUUUUAAUCCAAUGGCCAAAAACUUGGUAGCACCAAUGACUUGGUGCUAUUAAUAGUAUAUUAGCCUAGUUCUUUAUUAAAUAUAUAUUAUAUUAUGAGUAGCUAUUUGGAGUACAGCAAUCUUUGUGCUCUUAACUUUCUAGCCACCCAUCAGUUUGAUGGGUGGCUAGAAAGUUAGGAGCACAAGGGCUGCUGUACUAUUUGAUGAGUAGUUAGAAAGUUAGGAGCACAAGGACUACUGUGCUCCUAAUAGCAUAGUAGCCAUGCUCAUUAUAUUAUUAUAUUAUUUUUAUAUUACAAGUAAAUUAAUAUUUAGUUAAUUAAAUUAGGUUGCGCUGCUUGAUUAUAAUAAUUUAUAAAGAUCAAGUCAAAAACUAUAAUAAAUUAAAAUUUGAGAAUUAAAAUAUUAGGCGGCUCAUAAAUUUAAGGAUCAAAAGUAUAAAUUUACUUAAUAAAAAAUAAAUGUUAGUUUGGCAUUCUAAUAUUACAAUUUAUUUAUUUAUUUACUUUUUCAUUCUUAAGCUUUUCUAAUCCCAUCUCUCUUAUUCAACUAAGGGUAAAUUAUAUGUUUGGUCCUCAAUGUGAUGAGUUUGACACUUUGGUCUAUAAACUUGAAUUUAUUAUAAUUUUGGCCUAAUUUGUUUUCAGAAUUACUGGCAUUAAGUUUUCUAACUUAAUUUAGUUGACUAAAUAUUGAUAUAUGAUUUGUAUGAAAGUGAUGUAGCAGUGUUGUUGUUGGUUCUGUGCCAAUAAUUGAGAUGACACAUUACUUUUACAUCAACAACGCGUUAAUUUUUAAUAAACUAAAUUAGAAUGUGGGACUUGAUUGGAAUAAUUUUGAAAGUUUAAACAAAAAAUUAUAAUAAAUUAAAAUUUGAGGACUAUAGUGUUACCCAGUGUAAAUUGUAUGUUUGGUUCUCAAACUAUAAGAUACGUGACACUUUUUUGACUUAAACUUUUAGAAUUGUUGUAGUAAAGUUCCACAAUCUAAUUUAAUUGAUUAAAUUUUGACGCAUCGGUGAUUUAAAAGUGAUAUAGUGUUUUAAUAUUGUCACAUUAUCUAUCACAAUUCUGUGAUGUUGCUUUUAUAUUAACGGUACAUCAAUAUUUAAUUAACAAAAUUAGGUUAUACGAUUUAAAUUGUAAUAAUUCUGAAAGUUCGUUCAAGAAAUUACAACAAAUUAAAGUUUGACAACCAAAAUGUCACUUAUAUAGUUUAAGUUGAACAUGAUGAUUCAGUCACUGUGUUUAAAUAUGGUGGCUGAAUUUAUAUCCACAUCCUAAUUUCUGUUUUUCAAAUUAACAGUGAUGAAAAUUAAAGAGAGGCGGUGACUAGAUUGCCGUAUUCAUAUCCACACUGUAACCUUAUUUUUCUAUUUAGGAGUGAUAGGAACAAAUAGAAUAUGGUGAGAAUACCAAAAGAGCACACUAAUUUGGUCGCCGUAUCUAAACAUAAUGACUGAAUUAUUAUGUUCAGCUUAAAAAUAUCAACAUAAUUUUGGGUUGUCGAGCAUGACAUUCGUAGGUAGGGAUGUCAACGAGUUAGAUUCGGGACAGAUUUUCAAAAACUCGAACCCGUACCCGAAUCCAAUGGAUUUUAAAAAUUCAUAUCCCAAUCCGAACCGAACCAAAAAUUCAAAACCCAAUACCGAGUCCGAACCCGAAAAUCCAAAUCCGAAAUAAUUAUUUCUCUUUACAAUAUUUCCAAAUAUAUUACAUUAAAUCUAAAUGUUUAAAAUACAAAUUUAAAUAUAACAUCAAAUAUUUAUAUAUAUUAUAUAUAAUAUAAAAUAAUUUCGGGUUUGGAUUUAGGUCGCGUACAAUUAAAAUCCAUAUUCAAAUCCAAAUCCGUCGGAUUUUUAUUUUUUAUUUUUAUAUUCGAAAUUAUAUCCCUUUAGUAUCGAAUAAAUUUAUUUCGUUCGAAUUCAUAUUCGAAUAAAAUUUUGGGUAUCUAUAUCCAUUGACAUCCCUAUUCGCAUGACCGAGACCAUUUCACUAACUAUAAAUUUAUUAGAACAAUUUGUUACAAAAAUCGAAGGUUUGAAGAAGAUAAAAAAUUCGAUUUAAUUUAUCCGUACUCUCUCUAAUCUAUAUCUAUCUAUACCUAUACCUACACAUUAAUCCCCAAAAGAAAUGCCACGUGGCUGUGUUUUCUUCAUUUGGCUUUCAUCUUAUGAAACCAACCCUUUGUCUUCCCUACGCACAUAACGUCUCAUUUAAGUAGCAUGAGGCAUGGGAUUUAUUUUUUUUCUUUUUUUUCAACUACUACUUUUAGUAUUUUCUUAUCUUCUCAACGUCCGCCGCUACGCUUCCUCCCAUCCCCCUUUUUUUUCUCCUCCCCAGCCCACUCUACCUUCUCUUAUUUUUUUGUGUCGAGUUCUUUAGUUGUUUCAGGUCAUAGUGGUGGCGGAGGCGGUGAAUGUGAUGGCAAUAGAGACCAAAGCGGCGGCGGCUGCUGCGGCUGCGAAAACAAUAGUAAGUCUCAUCCUCUUAGAGACCAAUACCAAUUAAUCCCCAAAAGAAAUGCCACGUGGCUGUGUUUCCUUCACUUGGCUUUCAUCUUAUGAAACCAACCUUUUGCCUUUCCUACGCAUAUAACGUCUCAUUUAAUUAGCAUGAGGCAUGGAAUUUAUUUUUUUUCUUUUUUUUCAACUUCUACUUUUAGUAUUUUCUUAUUUUCUCAACGUCCGCCGCUUCACUUCCUCCCAGUCCCUUUUUUUUCUCCUCCCCAGCCCACUACCUCCUCUUUUUUUUGUGUCGAGUUCUUUAGUUGUUUCAAGUUAUAGCGCUGGCGGAGACGGUGAAUGUGAUGGCAAUAGAGACCAAAGCGGCGGCGACGGCUGCGGCUGCGGCUGCGAAAACAAUAGCAAGUCUCACCCUCUUAGAGACCAAUACAAAGUGAGAGUUUUUCUAUUUUUUUUCACUCUUUUAUUUUCUCUUUGUUAUUCUAUUUUUAACCUAUUUUACAGUAUUUUUUGAGAUUAUUUGAUAGUUUUUAUUUAACAUGGGUUGGAUUAGAUUAAAAAUAUAAUAUUUUCAUAAUACCAUUCCCGCAUCGCGCGGUUAACGACACUAGUCUCACAAAAAGGUCUAUAUAUAUAUAUAUAUAUAUAUAUAUAUAUAUAUAUAUAUAUAUAUAUAUAUNCAGUGAUGAAAAUUAAAGAGAGGCGGUGAGUAGAUUGCCGUAUUCAUAUCCACACUGUAACCUUAUUUUUCUAUUUAGGAGUGAUAGGAACAAAUAGAAUAUGGUGAGAAUACCAAAAGAGCACACUAAUUUGGUCGCCGUAUCUAAACAUGAUGACUGAAUUAUUAUGUUCAGCUUAAAAAUAUCAACAUAAUUUUGGGUUGUCGAGCAUGACAUUUGUAGGUAGGGAUGUCAACGAGUUAGAUUCGGGACAGAUUUUCAAAAACUCGAACCCGUACCCGAAUCCAAUGGAUUUUAAAAAUUCAUAUCCAAAUCCGAACCGAACCAAAAAUUCAAAACCCAAUACCGAGUCCGAACCCGAAAAUCCAAAUCCGAAAUAAUUAUUUCUCUUUACAAUAUUUCCAAAUAUAUUACAUUAAAUCUAAAUGUUUAAAAUACAAAUUUAAAUAUAACAUCAAAUAUUUAUAUAUAUUAUAUAUAAUAUAAAAUAAUUUCGGGUUUGGAUUUAGGUCGGGUACAAUUAAAAUCCAUAUUCAAAUCCAAAUCCGUCGGAUUUUUAUUUUUUAUUUUCGUAUUCGAAAUUAUAUCCCUUUAGUAUCGAAUAAAUUUAUUUCGUUCGAAUUCAUAUUCGAAUAAAAUUUUGGGUAUCUAUAUCCAUUGACAUCCCUAUUCGCAUGACCGAGACCAUUUCACUAAAUAUAAAUUUAUUAGAACAAUUUGUUACAAAAAUCGAAGGUUUGAAGAAGAUAAAAACUUCGAUUUAAUUUAUCCGUACUCUCUCUAAUCUAUAUCUAUCUAUACCUACACAUUAAUCCCCAAAAGAAAUGCCGCGUGGCUGUGUUUUCUUCAUUUGGCUUUCAUCUUAUGAAACCAACCCUUUGUUUUUCCUACGCACAUAACGUCUCAUUUAAGUAGCAUGAGGCAUGGGAUUUAUUUUUUUUCUUUUUUUUCAACUACUACUUUUAGUAUUUUCUUAUCUUCUCAACGUCCGCCGCUUCGCUUCCUUCCAUCCCCCUUUUUUUUCUCCUCCCUAGCCCACUCUACCUUCUCUUUUUUUUGUGUCGAGUUCUUUAGUUGUUUCAGGUCAUAGUGGUGGCGGAGGUGAUGAAUGUGAUGGCAAUAGAGACCAAAGCGGCGGCGGCUGCGAAAACAAUAGCAAGUCUCAUCCUCUUAGAGACUAAUACCAAUUAAUCCCCAAAAGAAAUGCCACGUGGCUUUGUUUUCUUCACUUGGCUUUCAUCUUAUGAAAUCAACCCUUUGUCUUUCCUACGCAUAUAACGUCUCAUUUAAUUAGCAUGAGGCAUGGGAUUUAUUUUUUUUUCUUUUUUUUCAACUACUACUUUUAGUAUUUUCUUAUCUUCUCAACGUCCGCCGCUUCGCUUCCUUCCAUCCCCCUUUUUUUUCUCCUCCCUAGCCCACUCUACCCUCCUCUUUUUUUGUGUCGAGUUUUUUAGUUGUUUCAAGUUAUAGCGCUGGCGGAGGCGGUGAAUGUGAUGGUAAUAGAGACCAAAGCUGCGGCGGCGGCUGCGGUUGUGGCUGCGAAAACAAUAGCAAUAGCAAGUCCCACCCUCUUAGAGACCAAUACAAAGUGAGAGUUUCUCUAAUUUUUUUUUUUCACUCUUUUAUUUUCUCUUUGUUAUUUUAUUUUUAACCUAUUUUACAGUAUUUUUUGAGAUUAUUUGAUAGUUUCUAUUUAAUAUGAAUUGGAUUAGAUUAAAAAUAUAAUAUUUUCAUAAUAUUUGUCCCCGCAUCGCGCGGCGACACUAGUCUCACAAGAAGGUCUAUAUAUAGUACUUACACUUUAUCAUUAAUAAUAUUAAUUAAUUAUUUUUUUAUUAAAAUAUAAUAAAAAUAUUUUUUUAUACAAUAAAUAUAUUUAAUAAGGAGUGUCAGACCGUGAAUAAUAAUGGGAAAACUUCAAAAACCUCCCCUGUGGUUUCGUGCAUUCUCACUUUGCUACCCUGUGGUUUAAAACGUAUCAAUUUGCCCCCCUGUGGUUUCGUUUUUAUCUUUUUGUUAUCAAUUUUAUUAUUAUUAUUUUUUAAAAUCAGUGACAAAGUUAAAAUUAAAGGAUACUAAAGUGACUAUUCGAUAAAUAUAGAUGGUUAUCUGAAGUUUUUUGUAUAUAAUUUAACGAAAUAUUAACGAAAAAGCUUCCGAAAAGAUAAAAAUGAAACCACAGGGGGGUAAAUUGAUACGUUUUAAACCACAGGGUAGCAAAGUGAGAAUGCACGAAACCACAGGCCGGGGUUUUAGAAGCUUUCCCAAUAAUAUAUAACUUAAUGCAUUCUAUACUUUUUUUUCCGUGAUCCCACGCGACAGCGAGUCUCCGUCCACCCCACUUUCCCCGUCUCGUACUCUUCCCUCUCUAAACCCCCACCCUUUUUUUUUUUUUUAAUAUCAUUAUUUUUUUAUUUUUUUUCAUUUUUGGAGGGAGGGAGGGAGGGAAACGGGGGAGGGGGAGAGAGGAGGGUUGUGCAGCCAUGAACAUCAAGCAAUUCCUCGGCCGCCUCCCUCGCAAACCCUCCUCCUUCUCCUUCGAGCCGCUUUCAGCCUUCCGCGACGUCCCCUCCUCCGACCGGCCGGCCCUCUUCCUGCAGAAGCUCUCCCUCUGCUCCGCCGUCUUCGACCUCUCCUCCGCCCCCACUCCCCACAACGACGUCAAGCUCCAGACUCUUCUCGAACUCGUCGACUACCUCGGCCCCGCCGGCAGCAGCGCCAAAUUCAGCGAGGCCGCCGUCCAGUCCGCCGUCCGCAUGGUCGCCGCCAACAUCUUCCGCCCCCUCCCUCCGUCCUCCUCCGCCUCCGCCGCCGACAGCCCUCUAGAGCCCUGUAUUGGCAUUGGCGCCGACGAUGAUUUCGAGCCCUUUCUCGACCCGGCCUGGCCCCACCUCCAGGCCGUCUACGAAUUCUUCCUCCGAUUCGUCGCAUCCCCGCAGACCGACCCCAAGAUCGCCAAGCGCUACGUCGACCACGCCUUCGUCCGCCGCCUCCUCGACCUCUUCGACUCCGAGGACCCGCGCGAGCGCGAGUACCUCAAAACGAUCCUCCACCGCGUCUACGGUAAAUUCAUGGUGCACCGCCCCUUCAUCCGCCGCGCCGUCGCCGACGUGCUCUGUCGCUUCGUCUUCGAGACGGAGCGGCACAACGGGGUCGCCGAGCUGCUGGAGGUCCUCGGCAGCGUGAUCAGCGGCUUCGCGCUGCCGCUCAAGGAGGAGCACAAGCUGUUCCUGGCCCGCGCGCUCGUGCCGCUCCACCGCCCGCGCUGCGUCGCCGCGUACCACCAGCAGCUGGCCCGCUGCGUCGCGCAGUUCGUCGAGAAGGACUGCAAGCUCGCGGACGCGGUGAUCGCGGGGAUCCUCAGGUACUGGCCUGUCACGAACAGCGCGAAGGAGGUGCUGCUCCUUGGAGAGCUCGAGGAGGUUCUCGAGGCCACGCAGCCGCCCGAGUUCCUCUGCUGCGCGAUCCCCUUGUUCCGGCAGAUCGGGCGGUGCAUAAACAGCUCGCAUUUCCAGGUACCGGCCCAUUUUGCAUGAUUCAACUGCUUAUUGUGUCGGAUCGUUGGUGCUAACCAUUAAGUCCAAAAGCUUGAGCGGCUAGAAAUACACAAUCAAUUCACUUAUAGCGUACACAUACAGUGCUCAUGAGUCUCGAUUAUGAUUCGGCCCAACCUCACACCACUUCGAACAUGACUGGGCCCACCUAACUUCAUGCCAUUUCGAACAUGACUUGGCCCAAUAUAGCCUCCCGUCCCCGCCACAGGGCAGGCCCAUUUAAGCCAACAUAUUGUUCAUCCAAAAGCCUAAGGAACUAGAAGAAGAUGGUCUUGUUAGUGAGUUGGUAAAGGUAGGUGCUUUGGCUAAAGGUUUCUUAUUUAUUGUUUGGAUGAAUGUUGGCGGGAUCAUUAGAGCACCUCGAGUGAUUUAUCUUGCCAUAGUGUAGAACUCUUGGAUGAUUCAAGCGAAUGAGCGGAUAUUAUUGUUAGUUUAUCAAAUGUCGUCAUUGGAAUAAUUUGGUGCCUUCGAAGAGAAGAAAGAAAGAAAGGGUAGAAAUCCCAUUGUUGUUAAAGCAGACUGUGAUGAUCGAGAAACUAGUGGAUGGUUUAGGGUUUCUAGAGUAAUGCAUCAGCUAAGUAAUGCUCUUGAAAAAAAAAAAAAAAAAAGAGAUUUAAAUCUCAAAUUGGUUCUUUAUCCACAACACAAGCAAAGAGAAUAAGAGUUGCCGACAUUGAAGAUGUGUUGUUUGAUGCAGAUGCUCUAGUAGAUGACUUCGGUACUUCUAACUCUAAAGAUGAACUUUAAGGGCAUUGGAUUUGAGACUUAAAAUGAGAACCAGAAUGAUCAAUCCCUAUUGUGUUGGUGUUUGGCUUGAGGGAUUAGCAUUCAGAUUUCCAUCCCUCCAAAAUAAUUCCCGCCAUGGAGGUGGGAAUCAAUUUUGAUUCUAGAAGGGAUUCAGAAAAGAAUUUCUUUCUUUUCACCAACAAUUAUUUAAAUUCAAAUAUCAAUCUAUAUUUAAUUUUAGAUUAAAUUUGAAUUUGCAUUAUGAAUUCGAAAUUUAAGUUUUUAAUUUCUUGUUCAAGUUAAAAUUUUAAUAUAAGUUUGAUAUUUGGAUUUAGUUCUUAAUUUAAUUUUGACUUUAAAAUUGAAUUUGAAUUUUUAAUUUAAAUUUUAAGUUCAAAUUUGGAUUUAAAUAUGGAUUACGAAUGAGAUAGUAAAUUUUAAUUUUAAUUAAAAUUAAAUUUUUUUGAAAUUCAAUUUAAACAUGAUUUUGAUUCUGAUUUUUAUUAUAAACCAAACAAAUUAGGAGUUUUCAUCAUUCUGUUUUUUAUUCCCGUCCAUUUCCAUUCCUAUUUCUAUUUUUUAUUCCUAUUUUGAACCAAACGUGUCCUAAAUUUAAUUAGAGACCAAGGUAGAGUUUUAGACAACUUCUUUUGGGUCUUCUCUUCAAUGUUAUGGAACUUAUGUCAAACUUUGGACACUUGAUAUCCUCAGUUUGGUGUCUUUAACUAUGUAUCUUCAUCUUAUAUGAUCUAUGCUUGUUAUAACUACUGCUUUUUGAAUGGAUUUAAAAUGAAGUACUGGGUUAAGUUCUUGGUGCUUCUCAUUUGCCAUACGCCAUCGUUUCUCCUUGCUGCUUUGUACCCAUUGCAUGCUUCAAAGACCUAGAUUUCUAGCAACUAGCAGACACCUAUUUAAUAUUUUCAUUGUGUGGAAACUCAUGCUUCAAACUUGUGCCGUAGUUCUGGGCUCAAGGCGGCAAGCAGGGUGCCUUGGGGCCUACGUGCAUGUCAAUAAUUAGGCCCUUGUUGCCAAGAUAUAGUUUUUUGAGUUCUAAAAGCGAGUUCAAAAUAUUUGUGUAAAAGGAUUUAUAAUGCAGGAUGGGUAUUGAAUGUUUCUGUAUAUACUAAGAUGCAGGCCCCUAAUGCCCCUAAUAAAUUUGCAAUUUAUAGCAUUCUUGAUGUACCAAUUCGCAUUAGUGAUUCAAUGGAGCUGUUUGUUUAUUAUGAUAAUUCAAUGCUACAACUUUUCUUUUUUCCUCUUUUUUUUUGAAUCUUACCUGUGAUUUGUUUAUAAUAGUAAUAUAGAUCUUUUGAUGAGUAUUUUAUUUCAUGAUAAUUUAAGCAAAUGUGUGCUUCAUCUUCUUAGGUGUGUGCCUUGCGCAUAGGAUCAAUUAUUCUUUUGUGUGCCUUGUAUGGUGCCUUUUAAAACUAUGAACCCUUUCCAUCCUAAAUGGAGAAUAGUUGUCAAUAGUGACCAUACUACUGUAAUAAAAUUUGUUGAAGAUGGUAUUAGCAUCCUUAUCAUACCACCUACACGUCAAACUCUUCUAAUAGAAAAAUAUUUUGGUAGGUAUCAAAAAACCUAUGCUCAAAAUUUGCCCUCUCCGUCAAGAAGGAAACUUCAAUUCAAAGCAAGAGAACUUAUAUGCUAUGCUGGCAGUUGGUAUUGUAUUAUUGUAGUUCUCAGGAAUGAACGAAGAGCUGCUACAGUAUCUUCUAGCAAAUCUGCAUUAAUGCAUAUCUGACACUGUUAGCAUAAAGUCACGCCACCAUGAAUCUAUUGAAGUUCACGCCACCAUGAAUCUAUUGAAGUCACUAGAUUGUGAAAAAAACUGAAAUAUGUGACAGAGUUUUGAAUCUGGAAGUAACAAUAAUUAUACAAAGUUAAAUUAUGGAUUAAAACUAGAGCAGCCUAUCAGAAAUCAAAGUCAGUAACUAUCGAGAAAAUAAGCUUCUUAUACUAGUCGAAGUACUUCUAAUUAAAAAUGUUCUUCUUGAAGUCAGUGGACAAAUUUUUUAAAUUUGUGGAGAGACAACUGCAUGCAACUGUAACUAAUUUGAAGAACAUUAGCCAAUGUCAUGAAGUGUUAGCUAUGGAACAGGCAGUUAUAUUUUGAUUGGCGAAGAGUGAAUCAGUAUUUUUCUCAUGAUCAAAGACGUUCAAGUACGUUGUUUAGCUGAAAGUACAAUUUGGUGUGUGGCGAUCAUAGCAAUGGUUGAUUAUUGUUGUCAAUGUCAGCCUGAAUUAAACCACUGCAGCAAAUAGGUCCAGAAAUUUGGGAUGAUUAUUGAAUUGCAAUGCGAUACUUUACUAGAAUGUUGAUAUGUUACAUCUGUCCUAUAUCUAAACAUUUAUUGAAGUUGUAAUAAGAGAUCCCGCCUUGGUUUUGCUCCGCAUGCAUUAAGUUUUUUAGUUGAGGAUAGUAAUAGCACAUUUCUUUCUAUGUUUAAGCCAACUUGUUCAUGCACAUCUUUUUGAAAGCAUGCUGUGCAUUUUCAUGGUUUAUAUUAUAUUAUGUGUCUAUUCUCUAUUAGCAUGUCUUCAAUAUAACCAGGUACAUGCAUAUUUCUAGAACAAACAAAUAUACAGACAUGUUUCAGUGAGAGAAUGAUAUAUGCUACAGUUAAUGGCAUAUUUUCUACGAAAGAAAUUUCCUUUUGCUGAUUAGAUUGUCGGUUCAUUGCGCUUUUACUAUAUUUCUGAUUGAUCUUACUCGCAUCUUGCUUGUUUUGUAUCUGUGGUGUUAGAUGAAAAUUCAUACUGCUAGAGAAUAUAGAUACAUUUUCUGCUUAUUUUGUAUUAUGCAGUUAUCUCCCGAAUGGUGUACAGUGUAGAUGGUGUAGAAGUCGAAACAUUCUAGAAGGUAAAAAUGUAUGGAGAUCCCCUCAACUAUAUAGGACAGUCUGAAAUAGCCCCCACAACCUUUUUUUUCUUUUUCGGAUUGCCACCCUUUAAUCUAUCAUGACCCGGGGUCCCUUUUGGUUUUAAAACCGAUGCGGAAGUGCCCAAUUUUUUUUUUUUUUUUUGCUUGUGCCCAGAAGACGUCAGACCCGCCACAAAUAUAGGGAAUUCACUGUUCACACGGAUAGAGUCUCCCUUGUAUUUGCACGGUGUCGCACAAGUACAAGAUAUAAUCACACAGUAUAAUAAUCCACAUAUAAUCACCACAUCACAUUCAUUCCAUCAUAAGUUUAUCAUAUGAUAUUCACAAAUCCACAUCUAUCAGUUUAAAACGUUUUCCACUCGGAAACUCAAUUGAAACACUAAGAAUCAUGAAAAACCAAGGAAAACCUUUUUAAAACCGUUUUCCACACGGAAAUUUUUUUUAAAAAAAACACGCUACCACAAGGGGUAGAGAGCUAUUUUCAUAAAGCUUAAAUUAAAGCUUAAAAUUUUAUUAGAUUUAAUGAUUCUAUUAGUUACUAAUUAUUGAUUGACGCAGUUCUGUUUGUAAAAAAGUGAUUAAAGUCAUUAAAUUUGGUGAAAGCACUAGUGACUUAGACAAAAUCCCCAUUUUUUUUGACUGAAUCAUUUAAUUCCAAAAAAAAUUAGGAGUUGAAGGGUCUUGAUCCAAUGAGGGGCCUAUUUCAGAAUGGCCUAAGUCGAGGGGGUCAAUAUAUAUUUUUACCUCUAGAGUAAUUAACUUUUCGCAUGAUUCGGUGCCGUUCUUUUUGCUUUUUUUUUUUUUUUUUCUCUCUCCAGACUCAAAUUCUGUUACUGUCUGUGCGAAGUGAUGAUAAAUUGCUGCAGCCUACACAUUUGUGAUGUUUGUUUGGAAACAAAAAGAAAGAAAAAAAAAUAGUAAUAUUUCGAGUAUUGACUCUCUUUUUUUUUUAAAAAAAUGAUGAAUUUGGAUGCUGCCCAACAAUAACAAGAAUGGAGAAGCGUAUCUGCCAGCAUCUAAUCCAUAAAGUUUGAGUUUCAAAAAAAAAAAAAAAAAAAAAAAAAAACAGUAAAUGGGACCAAGCAAGGCCUUAUUUUCAUUGUUAUGAUGCAUUCCCAUUUUGUGCUGAUUGGAAAUUUUUGAUAAAUUUAAUCUACCAUCUUUCAGGUAGCGGAGCGAACUCUAUUCUUAUGGAACAACGACCAUGUUCGGGACCUCAUCAUUCAAAACCGCAAAGUCAUACUCCCGAUAAUCUUUCCGUCUUUGGAAAGGAAUAUAAGGAGUCACUGGAACCCAGCCGUCCAAAGUCUAACCCUAAACGUGCGGAAGCUCUUUCUCGACGCCGACCGCGAGCUUUUCAAAGAAUGCUCGGUUAGAUUCCAAGAGGACGAAGCCAGAGAAGACGAAGUACGAAAGAAGAGGGAAUUCAUUUGGAAGCGGUUAGAAGAAGUUGCCGCAUCGAAAGCGGUUAGUAACGAGCCCGUUCUAGUCUUUCGAUUCGCCUCUUCCCGUAGCCUGGGCAAGUCGAGCCCGAGAGCAAAAUCAUGAUUCGGCGGAGGUGCGUAUGGGACUGUUUCAUUAUACAUAGGUCCAUUCCUUUGUUUUUUUCCGUUUCUUUUAGUCGUAUUCAUCGUGCUCGAAGAAGAGUGGCGUUUUGGGGCGCUUCUCAGGAUAGGCCAUCAAAAGACGCAUGUAUACAAUCACAAAUUAUUACAGAGACGGGUAAAUUAAACCGACGGUCGCUGAAUUUGUUUUGUAGGUUUCACUUACAUCUCCGAACUUCACUUUGUUUCAGUUGAGGCCUUGAGGUUCGAAAACUAUUUCAAUAGGAUGAGUUCAGAAAUCGACGUUCAGUGCCCGAAUCGAAACUAUAACUGAGGUUCGGAGACGGAAGUGAAACUUAACUGUAAGUUCAGUGACCAAUAAGCGUAAAUUUACCCUCACAGAGUUGAUGCUUUUGCCGAUUCGUUGUAUUGUUUUCCUGUUAUAUUUAUUACCAGCAUACAUGCAUAUGCAGUAUUUUGGGAGUGAUUCGAAAACUCGUCGGCGUCGGCUCGACAAUGUUAUGCUGUUAGUAGUUCUGCAUUGCAGGUUUUGUAUGAGUAUCAGCAUUUGCUUUUCUCUUAUGUUGUGGGAUUCUGAAGAGGCUUGUUUGUUUUGUGGCAGUAACUCCAGGUUUGGAGGUAUUUGGUUUUUUGAAAAAUAUUUUAGAAUAUAGUUUUUGAUCUAGAAAAGUAUUUUUCUUUCGUUCGGUUAAUCGUGGAAAAGUUAGUUUCAGAUUUAUGAAAAUUUAGUAUUUUUGUUUUUCAAAUCUUUUAUCUGGAAAAUUAGAAACUCUCAAAAAAGUUGUUUUUUAUGAUUUUUUUUUUUUGAAAAUAAUUGUUCGUGUUUUAUUUUUGGAAAAAUAAUUGUUCAUGGUUAUUUCGGAUAUGCCAGGAACCCCUCUCUCUAGGCUGCAUUAAUGGGUAUGGAUCCUAGUUAGUUAAUUCGCAAAUUAUUUGUAAAUUAUUCACGAAUUAUUAAAAAUUCGAAUUAAACGGUCCGUUUAUAAAUUUUUCUUAAAAAAAAUGAAUUAUUCGUGAAUUUUUGGGCCAGCCGAAUUAUUUGCGAAUUAUUUCCGAAUUAUUAAAAAUAUGAAUAAAAAGCUUAUAAUUUUUAUUUUUAAAUAUAAAUUAUCUUAUAUUUUAUAUCUUAUAUUUUAUAUUUUAUACCGAAUCCGUUUUUUAAGCCGAAUUUUUCAACGAAUUUAAAAAUAAGAAAACGAAUUUUAUGCGUAUUAUAUCUGUACCGAAUUUUUGCCGAAUCUGAAUUCACUAAGUAUGGUAUGGAUUUCCAAAGUUUUACCCGAAUCUGAAUCUAAACAAGGCGAAUUUAUCCGAUGCUAAACAGAUAUGAUUUUUGAUACGGAUAUAAAGAAAACUUGAUGGAUUUAGAUUCNUCCAAAUUAAUUGAAUUUUUGUUAGAAAAUUUUUUAAACUAUUUAGAACAAGAUCUAUCCUCUUGAUUUUAAUUACAAGACUCCUAUUAUCAUUUUUUAAAGAAUAUUCAUUUUCAGCUGUUAAUUUUUGUGUCCACUCGAUGGAUAAGAGAACAGUAUUGAAAAUGUAUAAAAAUUGAUUUCUAAACACUUCAAGUGGUAUAGAUCAUGUUCAACGAUGCCGAUCGUCGAUUCAGAAGCUCCAUCAUCGAAACAAAUGGGUGGCAACGGAGUCCGUUUUCUUAUCGAUGAUUUCUAGCAACUCUCUCUCUCUCUCUCUCCUUCUCUUUCUCUUCUCUCUCUCUUUAUUAUAUAUAUAUAUAUAUAAUAUAUUAUUAUGUUUGAUGCUGUAUUCAAGUUGUAUUAAAAAAAAAUAGAUUUUAAUAUAAUAUUUUUUACAAUAUAGUAAAGAACAGUUAUUUUGGAAUGGUUUCAGGUCCACAUUCGGGUUUAGGCGGUUUUAUGUCAGCUCCAGUUUAAAUAUGUUUUCAAAAUUCGCCAUCGGAAUUCUAUAGUAUCCUUGGGUUCUGCAGGCUGUGAGAUUUCAGAUCCAUACAUUAAUAGUAGGUAGACAAUAUGCUGUUAUACUGUUACUUGUAACUUUGAGGACUUUCGCUUACUACUUAGGGUGAGAGACAGAAAAAUAAAAAUGAAGGAGAAAUAUAUUGAAAUUUAGAGCUCUGUGAAAGAAAGAAAGAAAGAAACAUAAUAUAAAUUUAGUGAAAUUUUUCUUUUUUAUUUGCUAAUUAAUUUGUUUUUGAUGCGAGCAACAAUAUUGGCGCCAAUUUUAACAAAACUGAAAAUCAUUCACUCAGUUAUAUAUUAAUGUAAAAUUAUAUAAUAUUUAUAUAUUUUUUAAUAUAUAUAUUUUAUAGUGAUAGACUACUAUGCUAUGAAAAUAUAGAGAUUGAGUUAUUCAAAAUUUUAACUUUUGAUUAAGAAUUGUAUGGUUGGCGAUGGAUUGCGUCCUCCCUAGAGUAUUAAAAAUUACUCUAGAAUUGAGUGGUCCCUAUAAGGUGAUAAUAGUUUAAUCUAAGAUAAGAAAUGAUAACAGGGAUAUAUUAAGAACAAAAAAUCGAAGCACCAGAUUUUUCUAUCACUUUCGAUAGUUAGUAGUUCUAUUAUAUAUUAUAUAAUAUAUCGAGCCUUUUCUAGCCUAAUUCGAACAAGCCGAGUAAUCUCAAGGCUCGCGCUCAUUUAAUUUUGAAGUCGAGCUCGAGCGAGCCAAAUAAUCGAGUCGAACGCGGUCAACUGCGAGCUGGCUCGUCAUUUGCCAGGCCUACAGGAUAGUAUGCAGGGGCUGUUUGAUCUUUUGACCGCCUCGUUGUUGUCACCUUAUCCGUCAUCGGAUUUGGGUUCGGAUUCGAAGAUUCGAAUUUCAAGUUUGAUAGUCGGGUUUGGGUUUGGAUUUUUGAAAAUCUGUCUGAAAUCCGGUCCAAUUGACAUCCCUAGCUCGAAUGUAAUCAUACUUGGAACAAAAAGUGUGUGGGGGUGUAAUCUGCAGACAUUUCAGAAAUGAAAAUGAGAGACAAUACUAUUAUCCUGACCACAAAAGAAGUAUAGCAGUGCAAAGAUAGCGGGCCCCUCAACUUACUUUCUAAUUCUUACGCAUAUUUCUUUAACAGAUUUUCCUCACAGCAGAAGUACAAUAAAUGGCAGAAUUUUAAUUAUUUCGCUACGUCAGCAGUGACAAAUUGUCCUGUUUACCAAAUACUCUAUAAGACGUCUGAAAACAGAAGUGGAAAUUAGACUAAAUAAGUACUAACAAUUAGGAAAACAUCAUCUUUUGAAGAAUGCAUUAGUCAACUACUAGGGUUUAUUCUAUCAAGGUUAGCAGAUCUAUCAAUGCUUUUUUUGCUGAACAGUGAGUAUGCAGCUUACUUCCAGCUGUAUCUCAUUACUAAAUAUUCUUUUCAGAUGCCUUUUUAAAUAUGACUACAUGUUUGUGUCACAAUUCCUUGAUUUAGACUUACACAAGGUCAACAUUAUCCAAUUUUCUUUUCACAGGAGCACAGAGGCUUCCGUGUUCCUGAGCUAUUUUCGAUGAUGAAAUUUUCGAAUCGACGAUCGGCUCCGUUAGACUUAAUCUAGUGCAUUUGAAGUUUCUAAAAAAUAAUUUUUGUAAUUUUUUGAUAUCAUUUACCUAGUGAUCGAAAGGAUUCAAAAUCUAUAAUUUUUAAUGGUUGAUAUCUGCCAUUUUCAAGUUUAACGGUGUAAAAGUAUUCAAAUCAGAUGAAAUUUUGAUACAAAAUUUUUUAUACUAUCUACAACAAGAUCAAUAUUUCUGAUCGCAAAUUUUAGUGCUAUAUCACCACUUUUUAUAGAAUUUUUAUAAUCAGCCGUUAAAAAUUAUUGAUUUUGUGCUAAUUACAUGAUAUCGAAAAAUCGCAAAAAUUAUUUUCUAGAAACUUCAAAUAUGCUAGAUCAAGUUUAACGGAGCCGAUCGUCGAUUUGGAAACUCCAUCAUCGAAAACGGCGACGGAGGCCUCUGUGCUCCUCAGAGAACAGCAGCCCUGCUCUCUCUCUCUCUCUCUCUCUCUCUACAUAUAUAUAUAUAGAUAUAAAGUGUAGCAAAAGCUUAGAUGCAAAUAAAACAUUUUGAGUCAUAAUAAGUUUCAUGUAGCUUAAUUGAUCCUUCUUCUUGAGCAAAGUAACUAACUGAACAAUUGUAAUAGCGACAUAAUUUACAGAUGAUCGAUCUUGUAAAACUUUAAAAUAGAAAAAAAAAAAAACUUUUCUCUUCUCACGAAUGAAAACAAAGCAUCCGUAUCGACGAAUCCGGUAAAUUCGCUUUGGAUUCCUAUUAUUUUUUAAAGCACUCAAAUAAGAAAAAAAGUUUCGCUGUGUUUUUAACUAUUACCCAAAAGGUCGAUCUGAUUUAAAAAAUGGUCAAAAUUUUAUCUUAGCACCGCCACUCAUAAACAUGACAAAGAAUACUGGAAUCAAAUCCAGAAAACCCUAGAACAAAGCGGGUCUAGGACGUUUUCUCCAAUACCACAUUUACCUAAAGGAUCCAUCCAAAAUAGAAACUUGCGUAGAAUUUAUCUUAAUAGAAAGAUUCAUAAGAUCACAUAUAAAACAUUUGCCGAAAUUGAUAACUUUGUUUGAAAAAAGAUUAAUUAAACCAUUUAAUACACUUUAGAGGGUUUAAUUGUCAAAAAUGAAAGCUCAGACGUUACUUGCCAAAACUCUAAGAGGCUGUUUGGUUGCACGUACAUUGACAAGUUAAUUUGCAGUCUGGUUUGAUGCAUUUGAAUUCAACUAUUACUAAGUGUAUUUUUCAAUUACAUAAAACCAAAUAUAUAACUUAUAGUUGCAAUUCAUUCUAAAAUAUAAUUUUAAUAUUUUUAUUUAUAAAUGUAUAUAUUUUUAAUUAUACUAUAUUUAUUUAUAAUUACAUUAAAUCAGAUCGAUUCCUAAAAUUUGGGAAUUGUUUCCACAUUUUAUCCUUUUACUUUUCUUUUGGAUAAAUUUCAAAUACCACCCAUGUUUUUUCGCAGUUUCUCACUUUAGUACCUUGCGGUUUAAAGUGUUUCAAGUCAGUGUCCUGUGGUUUUAUUUUUGUCUUUUUGUCAGCUUUUUUGUUAAUAUUUCGUUAAAUUAUAUACAAAAAAAUUUCAGAUAUCCUAUUUAGGUUUAUCAAAUAUUCACUUUAGUACCUUUUAGUUUUAAACUUUACCACUGAUUUAACGAAAAAAAUUAGUAAAAUCAAUAAUAAAAAGAUAAAAAUGAAACCACAUGGCACUAAAUUGAUGCUGCGCUUUAAAACACACGGUACUAAAGUGAGAAGCUGUGAAACCACGGGGUGCUAUUUGAAGUUUUUCUUAGACAAUAUGGGAUGAGGUAAGCAACACGCAAUGGUUGCGUCAUGUGGGGAUCUACGUUAACGUGAUUGUGUUGUUGAUAAGGUUUUGACUGAAACAACAAACUCGCUCCAGCUGUAUGCCGCUUCUCCCAACACCACUUUGACUGCAUGCUUCCGCGCGAGGAUCUCUUUAAUUUUUUUUUUUUUUUUACUAUUUAUUAAGAUAUAAAAUUUAUUUAAUUAUAUUUUACAUUUUUAUGCUCAUAUUUAUUAUUAGUAUAUGCUUAUAUGCUUAGUUUUUGCAUGUCUUAUAAUAUUUAUUAUUUUUAUAUAUGUUAAGCACGUUGAGUCGUUCACCAACUCUUUAAUUUGUAGCUGCCAAAUAUAUAUAUUAUAUUAUUAAAAUAAUAACAACACUACCCUGAAGUAUUUGGGGGGAAAUUGUUUUAAGUAGGCGAGAAAAAGACAAAUGCGUCUAACAUGCACUGAUGCAUCUAACAUGCACUGCUUUUUUUUUUUUUUUUUUUUUUUUUUUUUUUUUUUCUUUUUUCUUUCCUAGAGUGAGUUGUCAAAAUUAAGCGAGAGAGAGGGGGAGUAAGGUAUCAAUGGAUGCUAAUAUUUGAAAUUUUAUCAAAAUUCGAAUUUGAAUGGAGCUGAUUUAUCUGAUGAUAAAUUGAUAUGGAUUUUGUCUUUAUCUCAUGACCUGAGCCGAAAUCCGACCUAAAUCUAAAUAGAUUUUAUAUAAUUAUAUUUAUAUAUAUNUCUGGAUUCGGAUUUCAAUUGCUGGGUUUAGGUUUAGAAUCAAAUUUUUAAAAUCCGUUUCAAAUCCGACCUUUUGACAUCCUUAAGAGAGGGAGAAAUCUGGAGAGAGAGAGAGAGAGAUUAUUUUCUUGGACCUGGUCUACCAUGUUAUUUGUGAACCGCUUGGUGAAUCUGUCAUUUAUUUAAUUAUCUCUUAAUAAUUCUAAUAAUAACAUCAUUUAUGUUAAACGGGUCGGGCUUAGCUUAAAAGCUUAAGUAAAUUGUUGGACAAAUUUCUCACAUUAAAUAUAGCCAUGAUCCUAAGUUGUAUAUAAUACAAAGCUAAUGGUCUUAAUAAUCUAGCGAGUUGCCAACUGUCCCUAGAGCAAGUGGCAAAGGGCUUGGUGGUUGAUACCCGAGGUCCCAAAAGUUCGAAUUCUAGUUGAUUUAUAUUUCUAACUAAGUUUAUUUCUGAAUAAAAUAAACGAAGCGGGUAGCGUGCUAUCUAUCUCUCUCCAAAAAAAAAAAAAAAUCUAGCGAGUUGUGGUCGUUAAUUUACUAAAACCAUAGUUGUACAUCAGAAUAAGUUAUUCAAUAAUAAUUUAUUCAUAUGAAGAUUUUCUAAUGUAAUCGUAAGAAAUAACUUUAUUUUUUUAUUUGUUGAAAAGUUUUAAUAUUCAUGAUUUGUUAGGAUAGUAUAUUUCAUUAAUGACGUGAUUUAUCUUAUUUUUAAAAAAAUGAUUUGAAAUUGAAAUAUGAUAUUUAAUCUAAACAUUUGAUCACAAUUUGCAUCCACCAAAUAUAUAAGCUUCUUGAGUAAAUUAAGAAGAUACGGUCCUGUUUGGAUGUCGGAAUUAUCUGUACAAGAAAUUUUUAGUGCGAUUGUAAAAAAAAAGGAGUUUAAUCUUUGCUCUUUAAAACGUCUUGAUAUUAAUAAUUUGGUAGUAAUGAUAACAUAUUUUACCUGCGAGGCAAUUUAUCUUAUAAAAAAAAUGACUUGAAGGUCUAAUAUAUAUCUAAUUUUAAUUUUGAUCAUAUUUUUUAUCUACCAAAUAUACAAACUUCUCAGAUAAAUUAUAGAGAUAUAUCGAAUAAUAUAUUUUUGCAUCCAAAUAGGACGAUAUAAAAUAAGAUAUUCCUGCAUUCAAACAUUGACAAGUCAAAUGGGUGGGAUUUGUUUACUUGUGGCAUAAUGUGAUUAGUAAAACAAUCCCACCCAUAAGAUCAGUAAGGUGUGUAAUAUAUACAUCUUUUGGGGUGUGUGAGUACCAAUACUCAAACAAAUUAUAUUAUUAUGGUACCAUGCUAAACCUAAUACUAAAGCUGAUUAGCGAAAAAAAAGCUCCUCAUAUUAUAUACAAUCUCUACAUAGUACAAACUAAUCAUAGUACAAAACUAAUUAAUACUCUUCACAUGGUGGGCUUAGUUCUAAGCAAUGAUUUUGUUUAUGUUUAAUUGAGAGAGAGAGAGAGAGAGAGAGAGAGAGAGAGAGAGAGAGAUUGAUUUUUUUUUGCUCAAAAUUGAAGUAAUUGAGAUGGCUAACCAGCAAUGGGCACCAAACUCAAAUCAAAUGUUUCCUCAUGCCUAACUUUGUCUUUGCUCCUAUCAUUGUUUUUGUUCAAUUGUUUUUGUUCUUUUUGGCUCCUUUAUUACUCCUAGUUGUGAGUGAGACCACUCCAUACACUUUUUCUCCCACAAAGAAAAAGUAAAAGGUGACACAACUAUAUAGACCACUCACCAAACACUUUUGUCUCUAACUAAAUUGACUUGUGAAACAGUGUAGUGUUUGGGAGAGAUAGAUAUGAGUCUAUCCACUGAUUCUAGGGUAAAUAUAAUUUUUGGUUCUCAAUGUGAGGAGCCUGAAAUUUUAGUUCUUAAAUUUUAAUUAAUUAUAAUUUUUAAUUUAAAUUAUAUUUUAGUUUUUGAAUUAGUGUAGUAUUUUAGUGGUAGUUAUAUUAUUAAGUAAGAUAUUACUACAAUUCAGAAAGUUCAAGUCAGAUAAUACAACUAAUUAAUAGUCAACGACUGAAAAGUCACACGCUUUAUAAUUCGAGUCAGAAAUCAUAAUGAAUUAAAGUUUGAGGACUAAAGUGCCACAUGUUUCAUAGUUUGAGAACCAAAAUUGUAAUUUAUUGGCCUUGGUUUUAUUUUGUAAGGUAAAAUGUAUCAAAAUUAUUUAAAGGGCUUUUUUUGCAUUUAGCCCCUUGGUAAAUUUUAAUUUUAAAAAUAGUCCCGUCAAAAUUUAAUUUACAAAAAUAGGCCUAGGCCUGCCACGUAGACGCCACGUUAGCGCCACGCGGGCGGGGCUGGGGGCGGUAGUUAAGUUAAACACGGUGAACCAUUCACCGUGUCUAAACACGGUGAAUGGUUCACCGUGUUUAAUACGUAUUUUUUGUAUAUUGAAAAGAGGAAUAGGGAAUUUGUAUUCCUUUUCUUUUCUUUUUCAAAAAUCCGAACCCGAAUCUGAAAAUCAAAUUAAAAUCCAAACCCGGAUCCGAACCCGACGGAUUUUAAAAAUUCAUACCCAUAUCCAUAUUUGACCACUCGAAAUCCAAACCUGAACCCAGCGGGUUUUAAAAAUCUAUACCGUUGGAUGAAGAUCUAAGAAAUACAAAUUAUUAAAUAUUUUAUAUAUUGUAUAAAUAAAUAAAAAUAAAUUAUGUAUAUAUAUAUAUAAUUUAUUCGGGUUUGGAUUCGGAUAAUAUUUCAGAUAUCCAUACCUAUUGACAUCCCUACUUCCUAUUCCUCUUUUCAAUAUACAAAAAAUACAUACUAAACACGGUGAACCAUUUACCGUGUUUGAACACGGUGAAUGAUUCACCGUGUUCAACUUAACACACGGGUCCUACUCGUGUGGCGCUGACGUGGCGCCUGCGCGGCAGGCUCAGAGCCAUUUUUGCAAAUUAAAUUUUGACAGGACUAAUUUUAAAAUAAAAAUUUGCCAGGGGGCAAAAUGCAAAAAAGGCCCUUAUUUAAACUAUUGACAAUUUUGAGUUGGCUAUCCAACAUUUCAAAAUUUUAAUUUUAUUACACAACUUUUUAAUUUAUUUGAUUUGAGUCUGCCAACUGUACUUUGACUUUAAAAUUUGAAUGCAUUGUUUAUUUUUACAUGUUAAAUUAAUUAGCAUACUUUAUACAAUUCUCGUAAUUAGUUUAAAAUUUAAAGUCAAAGUAUCGAUUGACUGACUCAAUUCAAAUAAAUUGAAAGGUUGGAUGGUAAAAUCAAAACUUCCCAAGAUUAGGGCCAAUUCAAAGUCGUCCAUAUAUUAGGUAAGUUUUGUAUAUUUUUACCUAUUUUGUAUUUAUGUGAUCUUUGGAGUCUAAUAAGGCCCUAUUUGCUACAAUUCUGUUUUGACUUUUACCUUCAACAGCUUUUAAUAAAAUAUUUAGGUUUCGUUUGGGAUUGAGAGGAGAUUGCGUUACGUGUGGUGAGAAACGAUGAAGGAAAAAUAUCCUGUUUGUUUCCGUACGUAAUAUUGCGUUCCGCAUAUUGCAGUUAGUGGAUUACAAUAUAUUUUCUACGGUCCCAUCGGAAAACGCAAAUGCAUAUCCCUAUAUGCUUUUUCUCAACUCCAUUCUAUUUAAAGGGCAUGUUUGGUUCGCCGAAAGUGAAGCAUCGAAAGUGGUACUUUUAGAAAGUGACGUCUUAUCGGUUGUUUGGUUUACGAAAAUGAAUUUGAAAGUCACUUUACGAAAGUGAGCCGAUAAAGUGAGUUAUAACUAAAUUUCACUUUUUUGACUUCGGCUCAAAAAAUUCGGAAGUUAUCGAAAGCGGUGAGCUUAGCUAAGAGGUUAUAUAUUUGGUCUUAACUUUAAUAUUUAAAUUUAUUUUUAAAAUUCAAUUUCACUUUAAAUUUGAAUUAAAAUUAUGAUCACAUUUUGAAAUUUAUUUAUAAAUUAAAAUUCAACACAAAAUUUUAAAUUUAAAUUUGUGAUUUUAUAUUUAAAUUUAAAUUUUUAAAUUUUAUUUUAUUUAAAUUUGAAUUCUAGAAUUUAAAUUUAAAGUCUAAAAUAUAAAUUUUAAUCAAAUUAUUUUUAGUUAAGAACUUCAAUUUGAAAUUUGAAUUCAAAUUGUUCCAACUAUAAAUUCAAAUUAUUGACUAAUGAAUUUAAAAUUUAAAAUUUCAAGUUCAAAUUCAAAUUCAAAUUUCAAUUUGCUAUUUACAUUUAAUUUCAAUAAUGAAAUUCAAUUUGAAUUUGGAAUUCGACUUCUGAAUUCAAAUGUUUAGUUUCAAUUGUGAUUUAAACUCAAAUUUUAAUUUUUAAUUUAAAUAUUAAUUUAAAUUAUGAAUUCAUAUUUAAAUUCAGAAUUUAAGAUCAAAGAGUAAAUUAAUGUAUGUUUCAAAUUGUAAAUUAAAAUUAUGGAUUCAUAUUUGAAUAAAUGUUCUAAUUUUGUGUUGAACUUUUAUUUUAAAAUUUAAUUUCAGUUAUAAGUUAUAACAUAAAUUUUAAAUUCAAAUUGUAAAUUAAAUAUAUGUCUUAAAUUUUAAUUAUAAUUUAAACUCAGAUAUAAGUUUAAAUUUAAAUUUUAAAAUAUAACUUUGAAUUAUAAAUUUAAAUUUAAAUUUAAAUUGCAAGUAUAAGUCGUUUAUUUAUAUUUUUAUCUCUUUAUAUAUAAUUUAAUAAUUAAAAAAAUUAUAAAAUUAUAGUUUUAACUUUUAACUUUUUACUUUAUAUCAACCAAACAAUCGAACUGAAAAGUCACUUUUGUAAAAGUCACUUUUGUAAAAAUGAUUUUUUUCACUUCGCCCACUUUCGAGCAACCAAACAUGCCCUAACAGCGUUAGAUAGAUCUCAAUAUGAAACUAAGCCUUAGUUGAAAAGAUAUAGUGCAAAGUAGAAAUAAAAUUUUGAACUUGAAAAAUCCAAGCUCAAUUUAGUGCCUUUUUAUUCUGGCUAUGAAGGAAAGAUGCUCUUUCUAAUGACACUGCUAAAAAAUUACUGUAUCAAACAAUGUUAUAAAUGGGGCUAAUUAAACAUGCCCUAAAUCUAGAACCCUUAUAGGUUCAAAAUAAUUAGGGUUUUAAUUCCACCCAUGGUAGAUACAUAUGUGCUUAUCUUGUCCUUGAUCUUGUAGCUUUAGUUUUGUAAGAAAUUAAACUAAUCCCAGAUGAUUAUUAAAAUACAUGCAGUUCACUCCACCUGUUAAGAAAUUUUCUUUCAUUAAUUCCAUUCUCUUGAGUCCCUAUGUCACGCCCCGGAUUACACUUUCCCCGGGCACGCCGACAAAUCCGCCGUAUACAGAGGAAUUUCCCCUGUAUACGAAGCGAUAGCUGUACCUGUACAUCAAACACUACUACAAACAGUAGUAGAGAGCUGCUAGAGAAAACUGAAGCUAAAUAAAACAGAGUUUCAUAUACAUAGUUCGGAUCCAAAAUACAGAGCUACUCGCACUGGCGAGUUAAGUCAACUAUGUACAUAAACUCGAAACAAAACAUCUACCUGCAGUAGGGCACCUCUAGCUCAGCACGUCGGGUAGGGCUCUAACUCGCGACGCCCUUGCCUCGAUCCUGGUCCGCAGACGGUGCAGCAGCCGGAACCUGUGGCUCUGCAAAAACAUAGGUAACAACUGGGCGUGAGAACUACUGUAAAAACAAGUAGUCCUCAGUGGGUACCGCCCAAAACAACAUCGGUCACCCACUAAGUCUACAGAAGGGAGCAAGGAUAGAAGGAAAGCAGGAAGCAUACUCUACCGCUAUCAUCCACUACACUAUCAUGCUCUACACUAACCAACUGUAGGAAAUGUCAAAUCUGACCCAAUCCAAUCGGGACUGUAAGCAUACCCGUCCCCGGGACUGUGAAUACACCCGUCCCUGCCCCGUUGCGACUAUCGGGCUCUAUCCACUCUAACUGGUCCGUGGAGAGCAAGUCCAACUGGCAUGAGCGACACCAACGCAAAAGCACAAGCCUGACUCCGGAGUGGCACUCGUGGGCGCUACCCAACCGAGUAUGCAGCGUAUCUCUGUCGAGCUCAAUCAGGCUCCAACUAGCCAAAGUCAAGUAAUCGACUCAAACUGGUCUAACAACCAACAGGUAACGUGCCCUCGGCACAAUCUGACGCCAAAAAGGCGAUACGGGUCCACCGUCAACUCUGACGGCACCCAACAGUCCGAAACGACCUGAACGACCCUGUAAAAAUCCACUCGGCGAACCAGCACGAGUGUAAAUACAUUCUAAACUACCUGGAGUACUCGUCUCGAAGAAACUGCGACAGUACAAUUUUCUAACGGCUCCUAGAGCUAAAUCAGGUAGUUAAAACUGGUGACAGGUCCAAAUCGCAGGUUUUCUCCUAAUUCAAUUUCCAAGUCCAACAUGUAUAAUCUAUUUAAAUUAUGAAACAUGCUCGAGAAUUCAGAUUUUACCAAUCUAGAAUCAUUCAAGAAUUUGAGCCAAACUAGAUUACCAAAAUAGAGAUCUAUACAUGUCGACGAUUAUGAACUUAGGAGUAAAACCGAUGUAACCCACCUCGAGUGCAAUUUCCUGGCAGCGAACUCAGCCUCGGCCACCCGCGAUGCUGCUGGAUUCCUCAGGGACCACCUAGACCGGUCGCCGAGCUAAAACGACCAUAACAUCACAAAUCAGCCUAAGUUCACAGCAGCUGAAAGAGACCAAGUUUCGACCAAGCUAACCUCGUCCAAAAAUUGCAAGUGAGGGCUCCGUGGAAUCCUCUCGCAGUCUAGAAUCCAAUGAACCAAGUUUCGUCGCGAUCCGACGCUCCUACGCGGAGAACGAGCCGAAAUACUAACAGUCGACGGUAGAUUCUGCGAAAACAGCACUUAAGCUCAAAUCAACGAUACCCGAAGUACUCGGAGCAAUUGCGACCAAAUGCUCACCUCAACAGCAACAAUCCUCGGCGCGAUGUCCAGGACGGCGAAGACGCACCCUCGCCCGGCCUCCUCGCAAUGCCCCGGCAACAAACGCUCGCUCGAACGGCUCGCGGCGCGACGUCGGCGAAUCCCCGGCUCAACCGUGCUCCACCUCCACCAAGCUUAGAGUGAGAGAGAAAGAAGUAAGCACAAAAGCCUUCUCUCUCUUCCUCUGUUCGGUUUCCAACUGAUAUAGAGAGAGAGGGAAGGAAUCGUUACAAACGAGAUAGAAAAAUUACGGAUUUAGCCCUUACCAACUCCCUUGUACCGGUACAUGGAUUGCUGUACCGGUACAAGGCCAAACCCGAGAGCAACUGAGUUCUGUCGCACGCUCUGUACCGGUACAAAUGGACCCUUGUACCGGUACAGCAAGCGACUUUCCAUGAUGGUUGUACCGGUACAGCACUAACCUUGUACCGGUACAAUAGAGUAAAAAUCCUGCAAUUUCGCAGAUUUUCACACAGAAUGCUGUCCUCGCAUCGCACGGAGUCCGCUUCGCGUCUAUUUGACGCCAACGCGACUCGGGCUUGUCUCGACACUCUCCAGAGCUGUCGACAAGUCCCCACUGACAGAAACCGGGGUCUCACACCCUAGUGGAGUGUUAAGAAUAAGGGCAAAAUAAAUGCCUAAGUUAUCUAAAAUUAAUGCCUAAAUUAGUGCAAAAUUAAUGGCUAAAUUUGGCUAUCAAUUUCUUAAAUUAAUGUUUAAAUUAGUAGAAAACGCCGCAACUACAAAUAAUUUGUUUGGUUGUAUGCAGUUGAGAAAUAAUUUUUAAAAUUUUAUUAUUUUAUAUAUGUAUGAUGAUGAGAUUACCUCCAAUGUAAAAAAAUUUAUUUUUUAUUUUAAAAAUAAUUAAGAAGGUAAGCUUACUUUUUGUUUAAAGUUACCCUCUCCAAUUACUGCAGUUGGAACUGUGGUUAAUUUGGGCGUAGUUCCAACUACUGCAGUUGGACCUCCUUCUGCAAUUCUUACUGCAGCAGUUAGAGUUAAAUAUAUCAAACCAAAUACCAAAUUUGUAUUUGCAUGCAGUUACAAGUACUGUGCAAUUGCAACUACAAGCAACCAAACGGUCCUAAGAGUAAGUGAUUUAUGCUGAAAUAAAUACUAGAAAUGUCGAAAAAUUAUUUAUAGUCCAUCUCAUUUUCUGCAAAACAAAUAACAAGAAGUAACCAAAUAUCCCCUCUUCAUUAAUGCCUUAACUUUUUGAAAAUAUUUCUGAAAUUUUAAGAGAUCAAAAAAUAAAAUUUUGAAAGCCAGGAUAAAAAAAUAAAAAAAAUAAAUAUUUAUAGAAGGUUUUUCUAUAUUUUAGCUAUAAAAAAAAAGUUAAUAGAGGGAGAUCCUUCAUAGAUUAUGACUCAGUAACCACUCAGUUUUCUAGAAGUAAAUUAUUUAGGCAUUUUACAACAUAGAGAACAAUGAGAAUAGCAUGAGAAGAGAAUAAUUCAAUUUUAUUUUGGUUGAAAUAAGUAAAAAAAAAAAAAAAGUAAACUUCAAUUUUUUCCCCAUAGUUUAUUUUAUUUUCACUUUGACGUCUUGUAGUUCAUGAAAGUUACACUUAACUACAUGUCAGUUAUUUUUAUUUCUAUCAACAAAAUUUAGUAUAAAAUAAAAUAAUAAAGUAAUUUUUUUAAUAACGAUAGAAUAGUAAAAUAUAAAAAUCUGAACAACAAGAUGAUAGAGUGAAAAUAUGUUGAUAGAAUAGUUAAAUGUAAUUUUUUUGAAUCAUAAGUUGGAGUGAGCAUUUCCGUGGUGUUAUGUGUUAUUUUGUUCUACUAGAUUCGAUUUCAAAAAAUAAAAAAUUAAUAAUUUAGUACAUAUUAGUCCUAAAUUUUUAAAAAAUAUAUAUCAAUCUUAAAUAAGAACCAAAUAAUUUGAGAUUUUCAUUAUUAUAUAUUAUCUUUAAAUUAAUAGUUUUUAAUGUAAAAUUAAUCAUAAUUAUAUCUUAUUUUAAGUAACUUAACAAAAUUAUUUUAUUAAAACCAAAAUAAAUCGAACUGAAUUGACAGAAUUAUUUCGGUUCGGUUCACGCUUCUAAUUCGGUUCGAUUUGGUUUAAAAAAAAUUUUUAAAAAAAAAACAUGAAGAGCCGUAUUAUGUUAAGUUAUUGAAAAGUUGACUUGUUCUUAUAGUGACAAGGGAAUUUCAUUUUUGUCCCUAAUUAAUUAAUUAAUUAAUUAAUCACAAAGGAAAAGGCACAUGUACUUUGAAAACCAUUUUUCCACCAACCACAUGUAUGUAUUAAAUAUAGUUAAUUAAACAGGAAAAAUGUAUGGGUGGCUCCCGUAAUAUGUCAAUAUUACAAUUUAGCCCCUAUAGUUUUAACUUUCCUAAUCUAUUUUAGGCGAAAAUAUAGAAAAUUUCUUGUAAAUAUUUAUUUUUUCACUGUCUCUCUUGACUUUCAAAAGAUUGCAUUUUGCCGCCUCAAAAUUUUAAGUUGAUGGAUUUAGACCCCCUCCCCCCUCCCCCAAUUAGAGUUCCGUUAUUAUUCUGUCCAUUUUUUUUAAUUUAUAUAAAAAUUACUCUUAAAAAUAAUAAAAAUAUAUUAAAAUUUAUUUUUUUCUUACCGGACAAGUAAUGAUAAUUUAGUCAUUUCACCCUCUCUAUUAACACCGUAAUUUUUUGAAAAUAUUUUUAAAAUUUAAAGGAGGCAAAAUAUAGGUUUUAAAAGUAACGGAGAAAAUAUAAAAAGACGAGUAUUUAUAUAGAGGUUUUCUAUAAUUUAGCCUUAGUCUAAGAACUUUUACAUAUUGCGUACUUUAGUUUUCCACUAUUAAAAAGUUGGGGUUUGUUGUAAAUAAUCUUUAAACCUUGUUUAAAAAAUAAAAGAAAAAUAUUGAUAAGUGGGAUCUUUUAUGAAGGGUUUUAUUGUACCAUUGGUUUCCAAACUUUACACUGGUUUUUCAUUUUGGUCCCCAACUUCUUCUUUCUAUAAUUUAGGUCCCUAUAUAUCUUUAGCAUUACUUACAAUUUAGUCAAACAUAAUUAAUUGUAACAAAAGUUUUCUGAUGUGGUACUGAUGUAGUAAUUAUUGGUUGGUAUGGGGGUCACAAUUCUAAUGGUUGGACUUAAUUGCAACAAAUAUGAAAGUUUAGUAAUAUAUAUGAUUGAAAAAGAAAAAGGCUGAGGACCAAAAUAAAAAAUUUGAGGAAAGGUAGGGGACCAUAUGCGAUCCCAGGUAGUCAUAUAUAUAUAUAAAAUAUAAUAGGGAUAAACUUUUAAUUUGGCUUAAGUUUUUUGAGUGGUGACUCGGCCUAAGAGGUUAAAAAAGUUAAGCGUGCUAGAACAGAGUAGUCCUAGGGUGAGUGACCUCCUGAGAAGUUGGGGCGUCACAGUUGGUAUCAGUGCCAAUUACCAGCCGGAAAUCAGAAUUGUACAACAGGGAGAGAGAGGUUCUCAUGUUGUUGACUAUUGUGGGUGAAGCACAGCUCACCACAAGGUCAGCGAGACGAGUCUCACAUCGCUUGAUACUUGUCAGUCUGACCCUGACGAGAACGUCAUGACUUAAAAGGGAGGAGACUGUGAGAUCUCAGAUAGUCCUAUAUAUAAGAUAUAAUAGAGCUAAACUCUUAAUCGGGCUUAAGCAUUUCGGGUGGUAGCUCGGUUCAAGAGGUUAAGAGAGUUAAGUGUGCUAGGAUGGAAGUAGUCCUAGAAAGGGGCGGAGAUUGUGAGACCUCAAAUAGUCCUAUAUAUAAGAUAUAAUAGCGCUAAACUCUUAAUAUAUCUUAAGCAUUUUGGAUGGUGGCUCGGUCCAAGAGGUUAAGAGAGUUAAGCGUGCUAAAACGAGAGAAGUCCUAGGAUGGGUGAUCUCCUGAGAAGUUGGGGCGUCACAGGCAUGGUAUCAAAACCAAUUUACCAGCCGAAAGUGUGAGAUGUCGGCUAAGCCAGAAUUGUACAACGGGGAGAGAGAGGUUUUCAUGCUGUUGACUAUUGUGGGUGCAGUACAGCUCACCACAAGGUCAAUUUAGACUAGCGAGACAAGUCUCACAUCGCCUGAUACUUGUGAGUCUGAGCCUGACGAGUACGUCAGAGUUUAAAUGCGGAAAGAUUGUGAGACCCCAGAUAGUCCUAUAUAUAAGAUAUAAUAGGGCUAAACUAUUAAUUUGGCUUAAGCAUUUCGAGUGGUAGCUCGGUUCAAGAGGUUAAGAGAGUUAAGCGUACUAGGACGGAAGUAACCUUAGCUAGAAUGGAUGACCUCCUGAAAAGUUGAGGCGUCACAGUAUAUACUACAUUCCACUCUUAAAAAAUAUUUCGUCUGCGAAACUCAGAUCAUAAUUGAUCUCGACAGAUUAGAGAGAUGAGGAUACAGUUUUCACAUCAGAGUCUUGAGUUUCCAACUUUCCAGGGGGUCACCGACCAUGGUGCAAUUAAUUCUUUAUUAGUCAAUUAAGAGGAUGGUUACAUUAUAAAGUUUUUAAGUUAAAAGUACGUAAACCAAGUUGCAAUAUCGAGAUUGCACAAGGACCCUUUCUACAUUGUACCCAAAUUAUUAUAUAAUUAUAAUAUAUAGAGGAAUUGGUCUAUUGAAAUAAAACAAAAAAUAAUAAAAAUAAUAAUUCAUGGACUUUUUUUUUUGAAGCUUCUUUACGUUAGUUAGGAGAACAAAUUAAUUAAAAAUUGCAUAGAAGACCCCAACAAUUAUAUUAUAUAUAUACCGUACACUAUUUUUUUAUUAUUAACGCGUGCGAUUAACCGUGUAACAUUAUUUUCAAAGGCACGUUAUUAAUUUAGUACCAUGCUAAAAUAAUCUCGGAUUUGUUUUCGACAAAUUAACAUUGACACUUUGGUUGACAAUUAAUUAAUGUAGGGUUAGAAUAAUAGUGUCAAUGGCUAAGUGCUUUUAUUAUCUUAUUAAGCUAUUUUCUAUUUUAGCUAAUAGUGCUUUUCUAAAAAAGCACUUGUUGUGAUGUUUUACCCAAAAAAAAAAAAAGAAAAAAAAAUAAAGAUAGUUGCUUCCCAACAAAGCUAAGGUGGUGGGUUAAAAUCAAUUAAACAAAAAAAAAAAGGAAAAACUUUAAAAAAAAACCUCUUGUGGUUCCGUAUUUUCUCACUUUAGUAUCCUGUGGUUUAAAGUGUAUCAAUUUAGUGCCUUGUGGUUUCAUCUUUCUAUUUUUCUUAUCAAUUUUACUAUUUUUUUUCUUGAAUCAGUAACAAAAUUAAAAUUAAAAGAUAUUAAAGUGAAUAUUUGAUAAACCUAGGUGGGUAUCUGAAGUUUUUGGUAUAUAAUUUAACGAAAUAUUAAGAAAAAACUGCCGAAAAGAUAAAAAUGAAACUACACGACACUAAAUUGAUACACAUUAAACCACAGGAUACUAAAGUGAGAAAGUGCGAAAACACAGGAGCGUUUUUAUGAAGUUUUUCCAAAAAAAAAAAGAUUGGAAACUCUUUUUUGGGCUUUGCACACAAGCUAUAAAGAAAAUGUAGAUUAAUAUUUUAAGAAUAAUAUUUUUAGGGAAAACUUUAAAUAUCACCCCUCCUUUAGUAUCUUGUGGUUUAAAUUGUACACUUUGGCAUCCUAUGAUAUCAUUUUUUUUUCUUUUUGUUCUCUUCUUCACUAUUUUUUUUUUUUUUCGUUAAAUCAGUGAUAAGGUUAAAACUUAAGGAUACUAAAGUGAAUUUUCGAUAAACCAUAUGUGGAGUAUCUGAAGUUUUUUAUAUAUAAUUUAACGAAAAGUUAACAAAAGGGCUGAUGAAAAGAGAAAAAUAAAACCAUAUGGUAUUAAAUUGAUACACUUUAAAUCACAUGGUACGAAAGUUAGAAAGUGCAAAACCACAAAAUUGGUAUUUGAAGUUUACCCAUAUUUUUAUAUUGAAUUAAAAAAUAAUGGAGUUAUAAAAUAAUCUAAAUCACUGAUUAAUGAUUAACACCAUUAGGUAUAAUAUAAGAUUAUUUAAGCCUUUUAUAAAGUAAUUUUAAUGAUUUUUCAACAUUAUUUGUCAGAAAACUAAUAAUUUUUAACAGCUGAUAUAAGAUAGAUUUAAAAUACUUUAUCACUUUGUAAAUAAUGUUGCAAAAUUGAGAAAUAUUCGACAUUAUUUGUCUAAAUAGUAUUUAACAGUAUCAAUUGUAGAUUUAUUUUUAAAACAUGGUAAAAAAUAAUAAUUUUUUUCAUUUCUGCUAAUAGAAUAAAAAAUCUAAACUGGAGAUUUUUAAAAUCAUUGGAAGUUUUAUUUACCAAACGCCUAACUUUCGGUUCUGAAAAUUAAAUUAUUAUUAUUUUUUUUUUCUAAAACUAUAUAAAUUGAAGGGAUCAAAUUUAGAGCACGAUAUACAUAUUUAUUGUUGAAUAUAAUUUGAUUUAUUUUUGAAUAUUUGGAAAAUGUGGGUAGUGACAAAUUUUUGACGUUAAAAUUGAAAGAGACCGCACGCGUAAGUCACGUAAUUUAUACAACGUGAUUUAAGCGUAAAAAAACAAAUUAAAAAGAAAGAAUCCAACACGUUUCUAAUAAAGUUGCUCCUUCCACAAUAAAUAAAAAUAAAUAAAAUAUUUUAAAAAAAAUCUCAAAUAUAAUAUAUUUUUACAUCGCUAUUCUAUUAUAUAAAUGUGAACAAAAUAUUUAAUGCGAAGAAAUAAACGGUACGAAUCUAAAAUGCAUGAACAUGAAUGAAUAAAACGUUGACGUUGAAAACCAUCCUCGUAAUCUUUUUUUUUUUUUUUUUCUUUUUAAUAUUUUGAAAUUACUAUUCUGAUUUUUCUUAAGAAUCUUUUGGUGAAUCCUAUCAAAAUUCAUUCGAAUUUGAAUUCAAAUUUCGACUUUGGAUUGGGUUUAAUUACAUAAAAAAACCUGUUCUAAAAUACUUAAAAUUCAAUCAAAAUAUAAAAUUUGCAGGCGCCAUCGUAUAUAUAUAUAUUUUUUGAAAGUACAUCAGUGUAUAACUUUAUUAUUAUAUUACAGAUUGACAAAAUAAAAAUACACUAAGCUACAGAGAAGCUAAUUAAUAUUUACUCCCUAACAUUUUGAGAAAACUAUCCAACUUUUCAAUUUAUUUGAUUUGAGUCGGUUAACGGUAACCUGACUUCAAAAUUUAAGCUAAUUAUUUAGUUUAAUAAAUUUCUAGUUACGAAUAUUAUAUAAUAUAUGAUAAUUAAACUUGUAAAGAUAAACGAUGAGUUUAAAUUUUGAAACAGGCUGACAGGUUGGGUUUAAAAAAAUCAAAAUUUUAAAAGAUCAGAUAGUUGAAUCAAAAUGGUCCAUAGUUCAGAUAAGUUUUGUAUAUAUCUUUUUACCUAAAUAAAAUCAAUUAAAUCACUCCCUUUUUGAAACAAAAAAAGAAGAAAUUUGACUUGAAAAAAAUGAUUUAUAGUAAGUUGUGGUUUGAUUUGAAUCAUUGGGUCAAAAUCAAUUUGCCUCUCAUGGAAAGAGAGAAGUUACCCACCACAUUGAUUAAGACACCACCCACACCUAAUAAUAAUAUUUUUUUGUCAUUGGUUUGUUCUCCAAUUUGUGAUGUUGAACACUCCACUAACAUAAUUUUUUGGGGUUUUGUGCUCACCAACUUAUGUCAAAAUUUCAAAGGUAAAAAUGCAUGAGUACCCCCUCAACUAUAGGAUAUUUUGUGCUGGCCCCGUCAAGUUUAGAUUUUUUUUUUUUUAAUUCUAUCAAAUGUAGUAGGAGUUGAGUUGGAAUGCUAUUGAUAGCAAAUAGGCUCCGUUUUUAUUCAUUUGGUUUUGAUAAUGGAGCCUCCAAAUCGACGAACGGUAUCAUUGAAUAUGAUCAAUACCACUUGAAGCAUUUAGAAAUUAAUUUCAUAAUUUUUGAUAUUAUUCUUUUAUCCAUCAAAUGGACACAAAAAUGAACGGUUGAAAAUGAAUAUUUUUUAAAAGUGAUGAUAGGAAUCUUGUAAUCAAGAUCGAUAGUAUAAAUCUUGUGCUAAAUAGUUUAAAGAAUUUUCUAACCAAAAUUCAAUUGAUUUGGAUAUCUUUACACCGUUAAACGAAAAAACGCUCAUAUCGACUAUUAAAAUUAUAAAUUUUAAAACCCUUUGAUCAUUAAGUUAAUGAUGUCGAAAAGAUUUGAAAUUUAAUUUCUAAAUACUUCAAGUGGUAUAAAUCAUAUUCAAUGAUACUAAUCGUGGUUCCAUCAUCGAAAACAAAUGAGUAGUAAUGGAGCCCGUUUGUUACCGAUAACAUUCCAGCUCAACUCAAUGCAAUAGUUUAAAUUAGUUUAUAAAAAGUUAAAUAGGAUUAGAUUUUUUUAAAGUUACUUAGAUACUAAAAUUUAAUUUAAAAAAAAUUAGAAGGUAGAGAAGUGUCAAUUUAUAAAAUUAAAGUUGAGUGGUCUUUUCCAGAAUUGACUAUAGUUGAGGGGUCUCCAUACAUAUUUGCCAAUUUCAAGCAAAAUAGUGGGAAAGGUGUGAUUGUUGUGUGACAAAUGUAUGGCUUGUUUUAGUUCAGAAGCCACAACUCCAUCCCAAUCAUUUUAUUGGGUUGAAAUUGCAUGAAGGCCCUCCCAACUUUAGAGUGCUUUGAAAUAGAUCCCUAAAUUUUUUAUGCUUUUGAUUGAGAUUCUUUCAACUUCUAAUUUUUUUUUUAUUUAUUUGAGUCUUUGUAUCUAGUUAAGAUAAAAAAAAAAGUUAUCCAAUUUUAAUGGCUCUAUUAGUUAUCCAACUAUUAAUUGGUCUAGUUUUUCUACUAAAAAUUAAUUAAAGUUCUUAAAUUUGGUGAAAUCGUUAAUGAAUUUGAUGAAAUUUCUAAUUAUUUUAUACUAAAAUCACUUAAUUCUAAAAAAAAAAACAAAAAAGAAAAAGAAGUUGAGGGCAUACGUACAGUUAAACACUUUGUUUAAAUUUAUAUCCAAAGAGCCAUUAAAUCAGUUAAAUCAAACAAAUUAAAAAUUUCGGUACUAAAAUAAAAAAUAUUGAGAGUUUGGGUAAGUAGAAUCAAACAAAUUAAUGUUCUUCGUGGUGAUCGAGCCUUUGAAUCCUAAUUUCUUACUAUAGAAAGUGUGGUAAAAUUAUUUCUGAAUGAUUUUCUAAUUAUCGUAAUAAUAUUUUGAACAGCAUGAUAUCAUAUAUUUAUCUUAUUCUAAACCUAUACGUGAAAUGACUCAAUUGAGCUUCACAAUUCUUACAAACCGAUAUGUUUGAGCUAUUUCUGAGUGAUUUAUUUAUAUUUUUUUUCUUAUUUCUCGUCAUGAGACCGUGUUAUCUCAUUUCUGUAAUUAAGUUCACGGACCCAAUAAAUAAAGCAGAUAGUAUAGUAUCUCUUUCUCACCGAAAGAAAAAAUAAAAAAAAUAAUAUGAUGCACCUACAGUAAACUCAAUUAAAACAAUAUAAAAGGACCCAUCAAUGUAAGGUGCAAUAUCUCCUGUGCAAGUAACCAAGCCUAGCUACCUAAUCAAUCUCUUGACCCAUUAUAGUCCCAAAAAAUGUUUGACCUAGUAAUGUUACACAUCACACAAAAAUGGUAAAAUAAAAUAAAAUAAAAAGAAAAUUAGAAAAAGGGAAAUAUACAAAACGUUGCCAAGUCCCCAUACUAGAAUUUUUCCAUCUAUAGAUAGACCCAAUCAACUUUUCUCUCCACCCCAAACCCAAGAAUCUUUUGAUCUUUUCCACUUUACCCCCAAUAAAAUAAUAAUGUAUCAUUUUGUUUUGUUUUUUUUUUUUUUCUCUCUCCAACCCCAUAAACAUGUAUGAAUUUUUCAGUAUGAAUCCUUUGACAUUUCCCCCCCACUACUACUUGUUGGGCUUCUAAGAAGCUCCCCUAUCCCUCACCCCCCCCUCUUAUUAAGCUUAAUUCGUUUGUUAAGGAGUCUAUUUUAGAAGAGACACAGGAGUGGGUGUGUGAAUCAUAUCUCCCCCUCCCCUUAGUAUUGGUAGAGAAAACUAUUUGUCACCAUAAAAAAAAAAAAAUAGUAAAUGCAAAGGAAGAGGUUGCAGCAGCAGUAGUACUCAUCUUUCCAUGAUUGGUGCAUGCAACAAUCAUUAUUUGUAUUUGAGGCCUCUCAUCUCUUUCUCUCUUAUUCCUAAAUUUUGGUGGGAAUGGGGAGGGAUCAUAGGGGGAAAGAGCUCCCCCCCUUUGCUCUUUUGAUGAUUCGGCUACUCUGCUGUUUUGUUGUAUUAUAUGCUGUUGUUGCUGCUGCGGACGCAUCUUCUUCUGCGGCAGCUCUCGACUACGCGGGCGCGCUGUCGAAGAGCCUGCUCUACUUCGAGGCGCAGCGGUCGGGGCACCUGCCCUACAACCAGCGCGUCGCGUGGCGCGGCCACUCGGGCCUCACCGACGGCCUCGAGCAAGGCGUAUGUUCCGAACAUAUAUGCUCGACAAAUCUCUCGAUCGGGUCAAUCUUGCUCCUCUUCGCUCCGCUCACCGCACUUACUAGCGCCUUUUCUUUUCUUGAUACGCAUGCAGGUCGAUUUGGUCGGCGGGUAUUACGACGCGGGCGACCACGUCAAGUUCGGGCUCCCGAUGGCCUUCACGGUGACGAUGCUCGCGUGGAGCGUGCUCGAGCACGGCGAGCACGUCGCCGCCGCCGGCGAGCUCGAGCACGCCCUCGAGGCCAUCAAGUGGGGGGCCGACUACUUCAUCAAGGCCCACACCGAGCCCAAUGUCCUCUGGGCUCAGGUACAACAUUUACGCCCGAGAGCAAAAAUAAUAAUAAUAAUAAUAAUAUGUCUUUUAUUUCUCGUUGGUCUUGAAUUUUGGAGAAUUGUGAUUGGCUGGGAAUAGGUAGGCGACGGCGGGACCGACCACUACUGCUGGCAGCGGCCGGAGGACAUGACGACGUCGCGGCAGGCGUACAAGAUCGACGCGGAGCACCCCGGGUCGGAGCUCGCCGGGGAGACCGCGGCCGCCAUGGCGGCCGCCUCGAUCGUCUUCCGACCGUCCGAUCCGCAUUACGCCGAUCUCCUCCUCCGGCACGCCGAGCAGGUAUAUACCAAGUACCAAAAAUGGAUCAAUUUUAUCUGAACUAUAGCGCAUUUUUUUCCCUAACAUACAUAUAUGUACUUAGAUAUUAAGAUACAAGGUUUGGUACAAUUGUCAGAAUUUUUUAAGUUUCAGUACCAAUUUUAGGGUGUUUUGCAUUUAAGUCCCUGAAAUUUUUGUAUUGACAAAUAAUGUGUGCAGCUGCUGGAGUUCGGGGAUCGGUACAGGGGGAAGUACGACGCGAGCGUGAGGGCGGUGAAGGGGUACUACCCGUCGGUGAGCGGCUACUAUGACGAGCUCCUGUGGGCCGCGCUGUGGCUGCACCGCGCGACCGGGCGGGCGGAGUACUUGGACUACGUCGUCGCCAAUGCCGACGGCUUCGGCGGGACCGGCUGGGCUGUCACUGAGUUCAGCUGGGACAUCAAAUAUGCUGGAGUCCAAGUCCUAGCUUCCAAGGUAUUCAUUUACGGCUAUACCCCUAGCCAAUUAUUAUUUUACGCUCUUAUAUAUAUAUAAAUAUAUAUAUACACACUAAUACUAUAGAAUUUCGUAACUAAGAUUCGAACUUAAGAACUUUCGGUAUUUUAAAUCUAAAUUUUCACAUUAAUCCUUAAAUAAAACUUUGGUUCUUGCAUCUCCCCACUUUUGAGGGCAAUGUAUAUAAAUAAACAAUUUUGCAAGGGUACAUGUGCAAAAAUGACCAUUGAUUUGAAGCCUCUUCUUUGGUAGUUUUUAAUUUAUGAACACAAAGAUGCUGUGCCAGCAUUAUUAACUAAGAAAUUAUUUAAUAAAUUUGCUUAUUUAUUUAUUAAAUUACUUGUGUGCAUGAGAUUAUAUUAGCUGUUUCUUAAAGUAAGGAACUGGUAAAAGCAUAUUAGAUAUUGUUCAUGAAACUGACUUUUUCCCUACUUUGGAUUUGAAUCUUCUAACCACAUGAUUAUCAUUAUCAUUAUUAUAAUUAUCGUGUUUGUGAGAAAAUUAGGCACUUCCUCUACCUUCUAGUGCUAUAGUUUUAUUUCCUUAAUUUUAUCGUGUGGGUUUAUAAGGCACAUUGCGAGUGUUAUUUAGCCUACGUCUGCUUCUGCUUUUAGCAAUACUCAGUUUCGGUAGUAACACUUAUUCUUUUAUUAAACACAUCGUUAAGGUAAUAUUUUGUUCGAUUACACUGCAUCGUCUAAAAAUAAUUAUACUAAUUAUAUUUUUUAGAUAUGACUCGAACUCAAAACUUUCUUAAACCCAACACUAUUAUGCCUUAGGCACUGGGUUUCCAACAUUUUUUUUAAAUAAUAUUUUAAUCUAGUGUUUCUGAUGUAAAAGAAAUUAAGCUUGAGAAGAAUCUUUCUAAGAUCCCAACUAAAACCAAUAUUAUUUUAGUUAUAAAUGCGUGGUGGGUAAAACGUCCUAAUUGUUUUGUGUUACCCUUUCUUUUUCAUUGAUGAGGAGACCUUCAAAAAAGAAAAAGUAUAAUCAUUAUUAUAAAGGUUUUUUAGAUGCAUGCAUAUCUUAUUGGUGUUUUCUUUUUUUUUCCUUCACUCAAUAGGCAUUGGAUAUAUAUUAGGUUGAGGAUAAAUAAGAAAAAAAAAAGAAGCCUAUAAACCCUCUAAAUCUUUCCUUUUUUAUUCAAGAAUAUGGUAAAUUAUUACUAUGAUAAGAGAUAUUAUUGGGACAUCCAAAUAAUCUGAAAGUUAGGUUAUAACUGUUUCACAAAUUACUAUUUUAGAAAUAAGACAAUACACAAAAUUGCUAUUCCAGUGACCAUAUGUUACCUGAAUUACUGUAUCUAAGGUUUAAGAUUCGAUCUCUGCAUGUGUAGUUACAAAUACGACUUUGCUAAUAUUCUCGGAGUACGUAACUAUUACUAGACAACCAAAAUUCGUCGAAUUCUGAUAGUAUUUGGUGGGGGAUAGUGAAAGUGAUUAGCGACCGUCUUAGAUCUAUUUUUCCCAACCAAACUAUGUCUAAAAUUAUUAGUACUAGGUGAACAACAUGAUGAAUUAAUAAUCACACCAACAAUAGUUCCCUUCAACAAGGAGUAAACUAUAAUAUUUAUUCUAUUAUUCUAGAUUUGUCCAAUAGUAGCUCGAGAUAAGAACAGCUUGGAAUUGUCAAAUCCAGCUCAUAGAUUAUUGUUGACCAAUCAGACACAGUUCUAACUAAGGAAAAUAUAUAAUGUGGAGUCAACAAAUUGCAUCCAUGCAUGCACCAACUCACCUCUCUCUCCUUGUUUUUUUUAUGUGACUUUUUGGGGAAUGAAUCAAUGUUAGUGAGGUGGGUUAACCUAAAAUGACCCACCUUUGACAAUAUGGUACUUUCUGAUAAAGCUUUUAUCUGAAAAAUGCUGUAGGAGAAGAGCUGUUUCAGAUUCUGGUCAAUAGUUCUUGCUAUAAAACAAUUAGAAAUUUUAAGUUUAAACUUCUACUUCUAAACAUCUGUAAUCAUAUAAUUGCAGAUGAAAGCAGCGGUGGGGCCAAAUAGGUAACUAACUGAAUGCAUUGGCUCAUUUAUUUUAUGACUUAUUAGGGAGCAAUGUACAUGCUAGUGAGGUGGGCAAACCAAAAUUGACCUAUUUUUGACUGUACAUAGGCAUUGGUUUGUUUGAAAAUGUAGCACAUUAAGUUCUCCCCAAAAAGUUCCCUAUAGCAAAAUCAAAAUUGCAAAUUGGAAUCUUUGUUUCUAAUCCUUCAAAAUCAUAAUUUCACUUCUCGCAACAGCAAAAAUAUUAUUAGAUCUUUUUUAGGCAAAACUUCAAAUACCACCCUUUGUGGUUUCACACUUUCUCACUUUAACACCCUGUGGUUUAAAGUGUAUCAAUUUAGUGCCAUAUGGUUUCAUUUCUAUCUUUUUAUUAUCGAUUCCACUAAUUUUUUUUGUUAAAUUAGUGACAAAGUUAAAAUUAAAGGGUGCUUAAGUGAAUAUUCGAUAAACCUAGGUGGGGUAUCUAAAGUUUUCUGUAUAUAAUUUAACGAAAUAUUAACGAAAAGGCUGAAGAAAAGAUAAAAAUGAAACCACAUAAUACUAACUUGAUAUACUUUAAACCACAUGGCACUAAAGUGAGAAAGUGCGAAACCACGGAGAUGGCAUUUGAAGUUUACCUUUUUUUUAUUUAUGAAAAAUUUUGGUUAUUGUUAAUUGCAAUUAAAAGCAGAAAUGGACGUAUUGUCGAAUAGGUAAGGUUUACGUGCAAUCAGUUUUUUGUGUAGAGAGCUUUGUUGAGAUAGGUAGGAAAUUAUAGGUAUGUGGGACCUAAAUUAUUGACUCCUUAAAGUGGGGUUUAAAUAAGUGGAGCAAUUAUACCAACAAAAUAAAUAAAUUUAAAACUCAUAGUUUAGGGUUUAACUCUGAUUUGAAUUUGACUCAUAUAUAACACCAGAUAUUUUCUCCUUUGUAGUUGAAGAGGCAUUUAUGUGUGAAAGGGGCCUUCACAUGUUUGUCUCUUUCCUUGCCCAAUUAUUAUUUCCUUCUCACACAUAUCUCAAUUGUGAUGCACUUAUUUGGUAAAUGUCCCCUUCAAUUGUUACACCUCCCUUUUGCUUUUAGUCCUUAAUUACAGAUCCAAAAUAUAUGGAUUGAAUAUACACAUCACAUUUAUUGUGUGUAAAAACAAAAUUUGUAAUUAUUUACUACUUAGAACCACAAGAUCAUGCACAUAAAAAUAAAUACAAAUGUGUAUAAGUAGGAGCACAUGUGUGGUAGAUUAUUUUACUUAGUGUUUGGGACUCACUCUUGAAAUAAAUGCACGGAGUUGCGCCCAUUGUGCUCUGCUCUUUACGUACAUUUUUUUUUUUUUCUCUACUCGUAGUUUUUCAAUUUUACAAUUAUGUACUAACUUUUCAGUUAUCUCGCCUCUUUUCAGUUGCUAAUGGAAGGAGAAUUCGAAGUCGAUGAAAAGCAGGAGAAAAUACUAAAGCAAUACAAGUCGAAAGCCGAGCACUACUUGUGCUCGUGCCUUAACAAGAACACGGCCGGCAGCAACGUGCGGCGCACCCCUGGUGGCCUCCUCUUCGUUCGCCAGUGGAACAACAUGCAAUACGUCUCCGGCGCCGCCUUCCUCGCCACCGCCUUCUCGAACUACCUCUCGAAAUCCUCCAACCAAGAGCUCACUUGCCCAACGGGCUCACUGGGCGCCCAAGAACUACUAUCUUUCGCAAAGUCACAAGCGGACUACAUCUUGGGCUCGAACCCUACGGGACUCAGCUACUUAGUUGGCUUCGGGUCCAAGCACCCCAGAAGGGUGCACCAUCGAGCUGCUUCGAUUCUCCCCUACAAGAAAGACAAAGCUUUUAUUGGAUGCGCUCAGGGUUACGAUGCAUGGUUCGGCCGGGGGAAGGAGAACCCUAACAUGCUCGUCGGCGCGAUCGUCGGGGGGCCAAACGCAAAGGAUGAGUUCCGAGACGCCAGGGGGAACUACAUGCAGACAGAGGCCUGUACAUACAACACCGCGCCGAUGGUCGGUGUGUUUGCGAGAUUAACACAAUUGCAAGGACAACAUACUCAAGGGUUUAAGCCUCCUCAAAGUAUAUCCUCAUACAAGUAGGGCACUUAGGCACAAUAGUACUACAAGAUUGAAGUACAUAUUUUUUUUGUCCUUUUUUUUUUUUCUUUUAUUCAUUAUUGGGGAUCAUGGAUGAGAUUAUUCUUUCUUAUUUUGAACAUAAUGUAUAGCAAAAAGAAAGAGAGAAAGAGAGAGAGAAAGAAAAUAAAAAGCAAAUUCAACAUAAAUUACUAGCUACCUCCUCUUCCUUUUCUUUUUCUCUUAAUUGAUUCAAUUGUUCAUUCCAUUUGUAGCCAUCUACCCCCCUUUACUUUGUCCCCGUCUCAAUUCCCUCCUUAUACAAAAUUUUGAUUCGAUUUAAACUUGUACUUUAUUACUGUCUCAAAUAGAUCUCAAAAGUUUUGAUGAUUGCUGGUACAGAUCGCGUGUAAAACUUUAUGAAAACGAGUUAUAAAGUGGUGGAUACAAUUGAAAACAAAAUUUAUGCAAGGGGGUGAUUAAAAUACGGCGCAAAGUGCAAGGGGUGUUUUAUAAUUCAGCCUUAUGUUUAGUUAUGAACUUCUAAUCAUCAGAAGCAAACACAUCAAGUUAAGAUAAAUAGUUAUUUUCAUUUUGUUUAUCCUAGUAUGCUACACCUUUUGAAUUAAUUUGAGCAGGCUCACGUUCAGUUUGAAAUUAAAAUGAGUUAAAACAAAAUCUAAGUCGUUUUCGACUCGAGCUUAAUCUGAGCUGGCUCAAAUUUCGAACAGAUUUCAACUGACCUCUAAGAAAAUAUUAAUACUAGCUGUUAUUAUUAUUAUUAAUUUUUUAUUAUAGAUGCUUGCUUUUUUUUUUUGUAGUAUUACUAAUUAGUAUUACACUUUUAAAAGCCAUCUAAUAAAAACAAAAGGUUAAAAAUAGUAUUUGAAUUUACUUUACAUGUAACGACUGAAUCACCAGCUCAAAAUAUUUAAUCUCAGUUAUUAUUAUUAUUAUUAUUAUUAUUAAGACUUAUAGUUUUUUAUCUACCUAAUCAUAAUUCUUUUCGUCCAAUGUGGAAUUAUUGGGUGUCACAGACUUCCGCCGUUUAGGCCUUGACGUUUUUGUCAACUCAGUCACGCACACAGCCUAAAAUUAUUAGGCGGUGGUGAGCCCCACUCAUAUUUUUGGUGGGUAAAUCGACUCUUAUACGUACCAAAUGUAAUGACCCAAUCCGCUGGUAAUAAUAAUUAGUUGGGUCCAAACCAUCACCCAAAAUGUUUAAGCUAGUUAUCUACCUAAUCACAACUCAGUUUCUAUUUGAUAUAGGACUAUUGGGGUGAAAAUAAUAUUUAUAUAUAUUAUUUUAGUUUCAAGCUAUAUCAAGCCGAAACACGAGCGAGCUGGGUCAACUCGCAAAUUUAGCUUGUUUAUUUUCUUGGGUUGAGAAAAGUGAGCUCGUAAUCUGCUUGUUUAUUAAACGAGCAAGCCGAAUUCGAGCCGAUUUCGAAUCAAACAAUGGCUCGCUUGUGAACGGCGAGCUGAAUUGACAGAGCAACUAACAUUCUAGCUACAACCCACCUAAUUAAUACCCUAACAUCAACAACUUAUUAAUGGGUAUAAAUCACAUGAUCCAAAAAUGCUUUAUAACUAAGCCACCAACAAUUAUUUAUGUGUUACUUACAUCUCAAUUCUUUUUCUUUUUCUUUUUCUUUUUGACAAAAAUGACAUUAUAUAGCUAAUGUGAAAUUAUUGUGGUGCCAAACAAAUAAGUUGAGAUUAAUUUCAUAUUACACUGAUUGAAUUUGAUCAAACAACUUGAUUUAGCCUAAAAGACCAGGUUAAGGCUCUAAUUAAACAAAUGGGAUUUUAGGUGUUGUGUUUAUUUGUGGGAUUUGUGGAAUAAUAUUUACAUACCAACCAUGUGUUUCACAUGUAUUUAAUUAUCAUCUUUAGAUAAGCUAUUUGGAAUUACAGUCAAAAUGCGUACAUUAUCCAUUUUUUAUAUUAAUUCGAUUAAGAUAUAAUUUUUGCGUUUCCACUCAAAAACAGAAACGUAUAUCUCUGCAUGCUUCGACCCCAACUUUUCUUGGUCCAAUAAUGAUAGAAAAAUCCUGAUGUCAAAUUUGAAAUAAUAUAGAAAAAGUUAUAGUAAAUUUAGUUAAGUUCUAUUUUUUUUUUAUUUAAUAUAAACUACUUUGAAAACUUAAAGCAUGUCGACUGAUAAGUUAAAAAAUUAUUGGAGGAUAAAAUCGAAUGAUUUUUUUUAAUAAUACUGUAGUAUAAAUUUAUUUUAGGAACAUAAAGACAUUUUGAAAGAAAAAUUUACAUACUUAAACUUUGGAUUAAUUUUAUACAGGUCGCUGCAAUUGUAUCAAAUAGCAAAUAUAUNGAUUCGAUUUAAACUUGUACUUUAUUACUGUCUCAAAUAGAUCUCAAAAGUUUUGAUGACUGCUGGUAUAUAUAUAUCGGGUGUAAAACUUUAUGAAAACGAGUUAUAAAGUGGUGGAUACAAUUGAAAACAAAAUUUAUGCAAGGGGGUGAUUAAAAUCCGGCGCAAAGUGCAAGGGGUGUUUUAUAAUUUAGCCUUUAUGUUUAGUUAUGAACUUCUAAUCAUCAGAAGCAAACACACCAAGUUAAGAUAAAUAGUUAUUUUCUUUUUUUCUUUUUUUUCUUUUUUUUUUUUUUGAGAGAUAGGUAGCACGCUACCCGCUUCGUUUAUUUCAUUUAGAAAUAAACUAAGCUAGAAUUGUGAAUCAAUUAGGAUUCGAACUUGGGUCUCCGGUACCAACCACCAAACCCUUUGCCACAUGCUCUAGGGACGGUUGGUGAUAAAUAGUUAUUUUCAUUUUGUUGAUCCUAGUAUGCUACACCUUUUGAAUUAAAUCGUCAACGAACCGAACAUGAGCUAGCUAGAGCCAAUAUGAGAUCCGCUCAGAAAUAAUUUGAGCAGGCUCACGUUCAGUUUGAAAUUAAAAUGAGCUAAAACAAAAUCUAAGUCGUUUUCAACUCAAAAUUAAUUUGAGCUGGCUUAGAAAAUUUUUCGAACAGAUUUGAAUUGAUCUUGAAUAAAAUAUUAAUACUAGCUGUUAUUAUUAUUAUUAUUAAUUUUUUAUUAUAGAUGCUUGCUUUUCUUUUUUUUUGUAGUAUUACUAAUUAGUAUUACACUUUUAAAAGCCAUCUAAUAAAAACAAAAGGUUAAAAGUAGUAUUUGAAUUUACUUUACAUGUAACGACCGAAUCACCAGCUCAAAAUAUUUAAGCUCAGUUAUUAUUAUUAUUAUUAUUAUUAAGACUUAUAGUUUUUUAUCUACCUAAUCACAAUUAUUUUCAUCAAAUGUGGAAUUAUUGGGUGUCACAGACUUCCGUCGUUUAGGCCCUGACGUUUUUGUCAACCCAGUCACACACUCAGCCUAAAAUUAUUAGGCGGUGUGAGCCCCACUCAUACUUUUGGCGGGUAAAUCGACUAUUAUACGUACCAAAUGUAAUGACCCAAUUCGCUGGUAAUAAUAAUUAGUUGGGUCCAAACCACCGCCCAAAAUGUUUAAGCCAGUUAUCUAUCUAAUCACAACUCAGUUUCUAUUUGAUAUCGGACUAUUGGGGUGAAAAUAAUAUUUAUAUAUAUUAUUUUAGUUUCAAGCUAUAUCAAGCCGAAACAUGAGCGAGCUGGGUCAACUCGCAAAUUUAGCUUGUUUAUUUUCUUGGGUUGAGAAAAGUGAGCUCGUAAUCUGCUUGUUUAUUAAACGAGCAAGCCGAGUUCGAGCCGAUUUCGAAUCAAACAAUGGCUCGCUUGUGAACGGCGAGCUGAAUUGACAGAGCAACUGACAUUCUAGUUACAACCCACCUAAUUAAUACCCUAACAUCAACAACUUAUUAAUGGGUAUAAAUCACAUGAUCCAAAAAUUAAUGCUUUAUAACUAAGCCUCCAACAAUUAUUUAUGUGUUACUUACAUCUCAAUUCUUUUUCUUUUUCUUUUUCUUUUUGACAAAAAUGACAUUAUAUAGCUAAUGUGAAAUUAUUGGGGUGCCAAACAAAUAAGUUGAGAUUAAUUUCAUAUUACACUGAUUGAAUUUGAUCAAACAACUUGAUUUAGCCUAAAAGACCAGGUUAAGGCUCUAAUUAAACAAAUGGGAUUUUAGGUGUUGUGUUUAUUUGUGGGAUUUGUGGAAUACUAUUUACAUACCAACCAUGUGUUUCACAUGUAUUUAAUUAUCAUCUUUAGAUAAGCUAUUUGUAAUUACAGUCUAAAUGCGUACAUUAUCCAUUUUUUACAUUAAUUCGAUUAAGAUAUAAUUUUUGCGUUUCCACUCAAAAACAGAAACGUAUAUCUCUGCAUGCUUCGACCCAACUUUUCUUGGUCCAAUAAUGAUAGAAAAAUCCUGAGGUCAAAUUUGAAAUAAUAUAGAAAAAGUUAUAGUANACGAUGUGUUUUCGGAGAUUUUUCAUUAUGAUAAUAUGAUGAGCUUUUUAUCCCCCGAACUUAAGUAAAAAUGUUUUAUUCUUAUUCCCCAACUUAGAGACUGGAAUAACUAUCGUAAAAUCUAUCAUUAGUUAUAGGACCCGAUAGAUUAAUAAUUUUUCCUGUUAUUAGACCACGGAUGAAAACAAUACCAUCAUAUUGUAGUUGAGGAGAAGAAAAGAGAAAAAAAAAGUUAAUUAUACAAACAUUUAAAAUGUGUUCAUGAAUUGGUAAAGUACGAAACGUGUUUUCAUAUUAAGUAACAUUAUUAUAAUUUACCAGACAAAUAAGAUCUCUAGAGAAGAUCAACUUACGUUCUUUUUGAUUACAUACUUCUGUUAAGGUAACGUGUAUUAAGAUUUUAUUUAGAAAAAAGAACUAAAAAAAAUGAGGUGACUUGUAUAGAUAACUUAAUAAUAUAUAUAUUCUUACUUUGCCUUGCCCGCCUGCUGUGCAUUGGGAAUUUUAUCGAGUUCGCCCGCCCCGCGCCCGCACCGCGUCGCGUACGGCUAGACUCGGCUAGAUCCCCCCUCUCUCCCUUGCCUUGCCCGUCCGCUGUGCAUUGGGAAAUUUGUUGAGUUCAAAAUUAUAUAGAUAACUAGCAAUUUCAAUCUAUAACGACUGUUUCUUUUAUUAAGGAGACCGGGUUAGACUGUUUGGAUACCCGUCCGACCUAAACCGGGUUAGAUUAUAUAUUGUUCACAAAUUUGAGAUUAGGUAAAAAUAAACAGAGAACCCUUUCUCUACAUUGUAAUCAAGAGGGGUAUUUUUAAAAUCCCUAUUAACGUAUAUUGAUGGAAUUUUUUAUAAUUUAUUAUUUAUACAAGGAUGUUUUAAAUUCAAUAAUCUAAAUAGAGAGGUUUUCAGAAAGGCAGACGUUUAUAUAGGAAGACAAUGGUUUUAAAUCUAUCGGUACUCAAUUUUUUCGAUUGGUGUCAAUGGUGUCAAUUGAUUUAUUAUUUUACUGAAAAAUUAGGAUAUAUUAAACAUAAGGUUACAACUCGGGCCAAUAAAAAGAGUGAGAGAGGAGAAAUAAGUACCGCUACCGCUCUGAAUACCGACGUCGCUGCAGCUUCCGCUCCGGGAGCCAACGUCGUUUUUAUUCUAUGCGCCGUGCACGGGGCCGUUUUCGCUCCUCUUUCUCUCUUUUUUUAAUCAAAAAAAAUUCAUGUUUAAACAUUCCUAUUUUACCAAUAAAAUACGUGGAUAGUAAUUUUUUGAUUGCCAUUUAGUUGCCGUAUAUAUAUAUAUAUAUAUAUAUAUAUAUAUAUAUAUAUUAAUAAUGGACAACUUCAAAAUAUUAAAAAAAAUAUAAAAUAAAGAGUGAAGUUCAAUUUGUCACUAUGUGGGUUAGCGCAUUUUUAUUUCACUAUUCUAUGACUCACGAAAUUAGACUUUACUAUGUAAUAUUAAUUUUGUGUCACUUAAAGACUACUUUUAAAUAGGUAUGUAUAAAUCGCAAGAUGGCAAAACAAAUUUUGCAACCAUAUGAUUUAUGUAUUGUCUUUGAAGGGACCGGCUGAGGGGUUAUCGAGCACUCUUCAAACCCACACGGUACAAGUAUAGCAGAAAUAGUAUCUUUUGGAGAUGAAAUAAACGAGAACGAUCAUAGAAAACAAGCACAAAAAUAGCACAACAACAAAAACAAACAGGAGAACACAAGAACACAUGAUUUACAUAAUUCGGCCGAUAAUGUGUCAACCCACGUUCACGGGUAAGAGCUCAUUAAUGCGUUCUUUAAUUAAUCACGACACAAAAGUAAGAAGGAAUAAGAUUAUAUUACAAGAAUCUCUUUCUGAGGAGUUCCUCACAUUUUACUAUCAACUACGGUAUAUACAAUAAAGCUGUAAACUCUAAAACAUGAAUUAUAAAAGUUAUAAUCCUAAAACCUCAAUUCUAAUAGGAAACGAACUACACUAUCCAUCCAAGUCCCUUAUUCACUUCUAGUCAUCAAUUUUUUCCUAGAAAUUAUCUACAAAGUAUAUCUGAAUCAUCCGUAAUCUUAAGGCACAAGCUUAGAGCAAAUUGGAGUUACCCACUGUAUACGUUAUUGAGUUGAGUUUUUGAACCCAAAUUGGAGUACCAGUACUAAAACACAUUCAAAAAUUUCAAUACCAUACUCCAAAUCUCAUAUAGAUACUAAAUACAAAAAAAUAGGCUUCAACAACGUUGAAUUUUAGGGAACUCAGAUAGAAACUUUUGAGGUACUCUGGUACUUAAACUUUAGAUUUCGGUACUUAAUUUCCAGAAAGCUCAAAUAUUCAAUUUUUUUACUGUAAUAUCGAUUCAGAAAAUGGCUUCGUAUAAUCCAAUAGUUUUACGAUCAAUUUUUAUGACAAAACAGAAUAAAAUUACAGAAUAACAAAGUGCAACUUUUAAAUCUCUAUAUAGAAUGUAAAAAUAUGCUAAGCCACAGAGGAGAGGUUUAUCCUAAAAUAAAACUCAAUUGUCCCCAUUGGCACUAAAAGAGCACAACAUGUGUCUAAAUUAUAAGUAGGGGAGGAUGUGAGAAAGAGAAGGAGAUGAUAAAUAAGUGUGUGAGAAACAGAAGGAGAUGAUAAAUAAGUGGGUUGUUUUCAGGUCCACCAUGCAUGAUGUAUCACAUUCAAUAAAGUGUUGUUGCUCCACUUGAGUUGCUAGUUUAGAAACCCAGGAUAGAGUCAAAAAUUAAAAAAAAACAAAACAAAACAAAAUUUGGAGGGAAAACUUCAAAAACCCCCUCUGUGGUUUCGUGCUUUCUCACUUUAGUACCCUGCGGUUUAAAACGUAUCAAUUUGCCCCCCUGUGGUUUCGUUUUUAUCUUUUUGUUAUCAAUUUUAUUAUUAUUUUUUUUUAAAAUCAGUGACAAAGUUAAAAUUAAAGGAUACUAAAGUGACUAUUCGAUAAAUAUAGAUGGUUAUCUGAAGUUUUUUGUAUAUAAUUUAACGAAAUAUUAACGAAAAAGUUUCCGAAAAGAUAAAAAUGAAACCACAGGGGGGUAAAUUGAUACGUUUUAAACCACAGGAUAGCAAAGUGAGAAUGCACGAAACUACAGGGGAGGUUUUUGAAGUUUUCCCAUAUAAAAAUGAAUAUAUGUUUAAGAUUUGGGAUAAAAUAUCGUGAAUUAACCUUGUAGGUUUCUAAUUCUAUGUGUGCAUUUGGCUUCAAGAGGUCAAAUUUCGCAUCUGGUGAUUGCAAUGCAUUUUUUUUUUUUUUUUUUUUUUUUAAANNNNNNNNNNNNNNNNNNNNNNNNNNNNNNNNNNNNNNNNNNNNNNNNNNNNNNNNNNNNNNNNNNNNNNNNNNNNNNNNNNNNNNNNNNNNUAUAUAUAUAUAUAUAUAUAUAUAUAUAUAUAUAUGCCGUUGAUUUACCGUUAGUUUUUUAAUGAUAGGCGCAUAAAAUAACAAUUUUAUCCUUACAAAUUUGUACUUAAAAAAAAUUAAUUUUUUUCUCUCUUUCUCCUCGCUUUUGCCGCGGCACGUGCCGCGUAUCUUAUUUUUGCUGCAACCGAGGGCCUCGCCUUCUACGUCGCUGCAGCCAUAAGUCUCGCCGUCGCCAUGAAUAAAGGGGAGAGAGUGAGAAAAAUUACCGGGCUCAACAUUGGAAUACAAAUUAUAUAGGAUUAAAAAGUCAUUUUAUUAUUUAGUUAACUGUGGUUAAUUAGCUUUUUUAACUCAUGACUAUCUAAAUUUUGAUAACAGAAGGAUAUAUUUGCAGACGGAAAGGCUUUUGGAGAGAUAAAUCUAAUAACUUAAAUUUUGUAGGAACAUAUUUAUUAUUUAAUAUUUUUUAAGGUAGUUAUAUGCAAUUAUCCCUAAAAUUUUUAUGGGGAGAACUAAUGUUACAUCUCUUUCCCAAGAGACAAAUAAAAAUGGAUUAGAGUUUAAACACUUGUUAUAUAUUAGAUUGGGCCAAAUCCAGCCUGCCCAUAGGUUUGUCAGAUUGGGCCAGAGGAAUUAUUUUCUUUGUCAGCAAUAUCUAACUUUAACAAUCAAUAGAUAUAUUAAAGCUUGAGUUGUUUAAAGGAUUACGUGUCGCCUGCCCGUUUCGUUCCCUCUCUCCCCCCUAGAUCGGCUCAGAUCGGCAUGCGCCGGGCCACGCCCGCGCCCCGCCCGCUUAAGCUAUUUUAAGGGUUACGUGUCGUCCGCCCGUUCCGUUUCAUUCUUAUAUAUAUAAUAAUUCAAUAGAUAUGUUCAGAGGAGUAAAAAAAAUCAAGAAAAAAGAUUUAUUUUAGAAUUAUGUGCAAUGGAAUUGUCUUCAUACAUUAGUUUUUCUUGCAUUCAACUAGAAGAGAUCUCUAGAAUAAACAGACCAUUUAAUAUUAUUACAAUGAAUUAUACUUUUGUGCAAAGCAUGAAAUGGUUAAGUACUUGUGUAAAAUUUACAAACAUAUUAAUUGAAAUAAAAAAAAAAAGAGGAGUUGAUGCUAUACUACCAUAACUAAAGUAGGCACCAGAUUAUUGUACUUUUUAACAAUUAGAAAGCGCAGGAUAUUGAUUACUAUCGAAAAUGUUACCAAUAAGAUCAGAGAUUCAACCCUCUAUUCUCAUUUCGUAAAAAUAAGUUUUAAGCCCCCUAUUUUUUGAGUAGUAUAAUAGUAUUAAUUUUUAGAGAUUUUUGUGUAGCAACUAAUUACGGACAACUUCAAAAUAUUCCAAAAAUAUAAAAUAAAGAGUGAAGUUCAAUUUGUCACUAUGUGGUUUAGCGCAUUUUUAUUUCACUAUUCUAUUACUCACGAAAGUAGACUUUACUAUGUAAUAUUAAUUUUGUGUCACCGUAAAGACUACUUUUAAAUAGAGUAUAAAUCGCAAGAUGCUAAAACAUAAUAUUUUACUACCAUAUGAUUUAUGUGUUGUCUUUGAAGGGACCAGACAAAGGGUUAUCAAGUACUCCUCAAACCCACACGACACACGAGUAUAGUAAAAGUAAUAUCAUGAAAAUAAACGAGAAUAAUGAUAGAAAACAAGCACAAAAAUAGUAUAGCAAUAAAAAUGAAGAGAACGCAAGAACACAUGAUUUACAUGAUUCGGCCAAUAAUGUGUCAACCCACGUGAACGGGUAAGAGCUCGUUAAUGCAUUCUUUAAUUAAUCACGAUACAAAAGUAACAAGGAGUAAGAUUAUAUUACAAGAAUCUCUUUCUCUGGAGCUUUUCAUAUUUUAUUAUCAACUACGGUAUGUACAAUGAAACUGUAAACUCUAAAACAUGAAUUAUAAAGGUUUAUAACCCUAAUAGGAAACAAACUUCACUAUCCAUCCAAGUCCCCGAUUCACUUUUAGUCGUCAAUUUUCUCCUAAAAAUUAUUUACAAAGUAUUCUUGAAUCAUCCAUCCCUAAUCUUAAGGCACAAGCUUAGAACAAAUUGGAGUUACCUAGUAUGUUAUAGAGUUGAGUUCCUAAACCCAAAUUGGACGACUGGUACUGAAACACAUUCAAAAUUUCAGUAUCGAUACUCAAAAUCACAUAUUGAUACUAAAUACAAAAAAUAGGCUUCCACAGCGUUGAAUUUUAAGAAACUUCUUAGAAACUUUUGAGGUACUUUGGUACUCAAAUUUUAGAUUUCAAUACUUAACAUCUAGAAAGCUCAAAUAUUCGACUUUUUUCACUGUAAUAUCGAUUUAGAAUAUAGCUUGGCAUAAUGCAAUAGUUUUAUCAUCAAUUUUUAUGACGAAAUAGAAUAAAAUCACAGAAUAACAAAUUGCAACUUUUAAAUCUCCAUAUGAAAUGUAAAAAUACGCUAAACCACAAAGGAGAGGUUUAUCCUAAAAUAAAACUCAAUUGUCCACAUUGACAGUAAAAGAGCACAAUAUGUAUCUAAAUAAGUGGGGGAGGAUGUGAGAAAGAGAAGGAGAUGAUAAUGUCACGCUCCGAAUUACCACGUUUCCCCGGGCACUCCAACAGAACCGCCGUAUAUAUAGAAAUUUUUCCUGUAUACUAAGCGAUAACUGUACCUGUAAACAAAACCAAACUACAACCACAAGGUAAAGAACUGCUAAACUGAAAAUAAAUAUAUAAAUAAACCUCGAGGGGUUCCUGUACAUAUAAAAAGUCUACAACAUAACUCGCUCCAGCGAGUAAUCCGACAACAUCACAGUAUGUACAAAAAAAGCCUAAAACUACCUGUGGAAGGUACUCCUCUAGCACGGCAACGAGACGGGUAGGGAUCUAGCUCGCAACUCCCUUCCCACGGUCUGAAUCAGCGACAGCAGCAGCCGCAGAAGAAGUCUUUACAAAAAGGGGGUCAACGACUCGGUGUGAGAACUACUACAAAAUAGAUCUAGUAGUCCUCAGUGGAUACCGCUACCGACCUCAACGGCUCACCCACUAAGUCUACAGAAAUUAUGCAUAAGAAUAGUAAAAGAAGCUGGUAAGAUUUUACAGCUACAUGCCACUAUACUAUCGCUAACCACUAUUCUGUAGAUAUAGAAAUGCGAUCUUUGACCCAAUCUUAUUAGGGACUGUGAAUACACCUGUUUCGCCUGUCGAAGCUACACCGAACACCACCCCGAGGGCUGCCGGUGGAGAGCAAGUCCAAACCGGACAACAAUAACAUCAACCCAAAGCAAAAAGUCAGACUCCGAAGCAGCACUUGUGGGCGCGGCCCAACCGAGUAUGCAAGCGUGUCUCUGCCAAGCUCAAUCAGGCUCUCACAGACUGUAAUCAAUCCAAAUGGAUCUAACUAGUCUAACCACCAAAGCUCACGUGCUCUUGGCACAAUCUGAUACAAAAUACAGAAAUCUGGGUCCACCGUCAACCGUGACGGCACCCGACAGUCCGAAACAGUCUACACACUACUGUAAAAUAAGCUCGGCAUCCCAGCACAAGCGUAAACUCACCCUACACUAAUCUCGAUAUCCACCGCAUACGAACAGCGGCGACACAAACAAACCACAGCUCCUAAAACUAAAUCUGGUAAUUUUCAGAAAAGUGACAGUGUAGGGUUCAAUAGUUUUCUCCUAAGUCAAUUCCAAGUCCAACAUGUAGAAUUAUUCUAAGCUCUAAAUUCAGAUUCUAUACAACCUAUGCAAAUCCAUGACUUGAGCUAUUUAAAUAUAAUUCUACACAUGAAAAACACAUGCUAACACAAUUCGGCUUAGGAGGAAAUCCGACGAUUUCGGUAAACUUCAACCCACCUCGAAAAGCUCGUCCAACAAUGGCGAGAAGUCGAAAGAAGGGAAAACACGUGCUCGCCCGGUCUCCAACAACGCAACCGCGACGUCCACGCGCUCAAACGGCCCUCUGGAUCAACGUCGACAACCUCCCGAGCUCGAGUCGCGAUCUCCAGCACGAGCACGUCCAAGAACUAGAGGGAGAGAGAGCGGCAAACAAAACUCUUCUCUAAGCUCUCUACAAGAUAUAUAAAGAGGUGGGAUAAGGUUGGGAUUAACGACGUUUCAAAUGACCAAAAAGCCCCUCACCAACUCAGAAAUCCAGCUGGAGUACCGGUACCCAACUUGGUUACCGGUACUCGGCCUCUCAACCCGCAAGCUCGCACACUGGGUACCGGUACCAGCCCAAUGCAGUAUCGGUACUCAGCAUCAGAUUGGCGCAACCCAAGAGCAUUAGUUCUGGAAUUCCAUUGGGGUACCGGUACUUCUCUCUCUGGUACCGGUACUCAAUACUGAAAUCUUGCACUUUGCAGAUUUCAAUGUUAAAACUCUGCUUACGCAUCGUACUGAGUCCGUUUUGCGUCCAAUUUGCCCAAAACGACUCCGACUUGUCUCGACACUCUCCAAAUAUGUCGACAAGUCUCAGAUGCUGAAACCCACGGGUUGCAGAACACUAGGAACACUACAGAUAAAUAAGUGGGUUGUUUUCAGGUCCACUAUGCAUGAUGUAUCUCAUUCAAGAAAGUGUCGUUGCUCUACUUGAGUUGCCAUUUUAGAAACCCAGGAUAGAGUCAAAAAUGAAAAAAAAACAAAACAAAACAAAAUUUGGAAAAGCAUGUGCACAUGAAGGGAGGGACCACUUGACUUUAUCUCCAGAAUCUUCUAGAGAGCUUCUAAUGAUAGUAGAUGGAUACGUUUAUUGACUCUGCUUAUUAUUUACUAAUUGAAUUUGAUCAGAUUCAAUGAAAUGUAAUAUAGUGUUAAUAUCGUUUCGCUUUUCGCAUUAAAAGUUUCGAGUUUAUGAAUCUAUAGGUGCUCAAUUUAGGAUUAGCAUCUCUGAGAUUGAAAAAUGUACGGACCAUAUAGAAAAAAAGAUAAAAAAGAGUAAUGCUGGGAUUACAAUCCACUUUUGAAUUGUAAUCUUACAAUUUGGCUAUCUAAAGGCCAAUUUUCAUUCAUUAAUCCUUAAAAAAAAAUUUCAAUGUUUUUUAUUUUAGCACUAAAACCUAAAAAGUGUGUGAUCAUCCCAGAAGGGAGGUUUGUAUGAUUCCAACUUUUUUUGGAUCGUAAACUUAGCAUUUCUUAAAGGGAAAAGAGUAUUACUAUGCGUACGGUACAUCUAAAAAUUAGGUGUAAAAUAUACACCCUAGGCUAUGCAUUAUUAGAACACAUCCACUAGUUUUAUCCAUUUUUUUUUUUAACUAAAAAUUUAACUGGAUUGUUUAAACCCCAAAAUUCACGAGUAUAAGAUGUACACCUCUAUAUAAGGUGUACAGAUAGCAUUUUUUUUAAUACAAAACAAAUACAAAAAUAAAUAUAUAGAUGGCCCUUAUAGUGCAUUAUUAUCUGUGUACUCAAAAUCGCAUGUAAAUCAUAAACUCUUUUUAUCUAAGUGCCUGUGUUCUCACUCCUUUUGGCUUCAUUGGGUAUUGUUAUUAUUUUUCUUAACACUAAUUCUAUAUAAUUAAAUAUAUUAUGGAAAAGACUUUAUUUUAGUUGUCAGAAUUAGUUAGUUUGUAAUACAUUUCUGAAGUGACAGGUGACAAUUUUUUAAAAAAAUUUUGAAAGUAAAAAAGGUUACUAUGAAAAUUUUUAUUUUUUGUUACUAAAUAAAUAGUUUAAAUAUAUGGUUAAAUAUUAGUAUAUUAAAAGUACACAAUAACUGAUAUAUCCUUUUAAAUUUUAAAAUAAUAUAUAUAUCAUUUGAAUUUUUGACGCCUUCUAAAAAUACCCUACCAUUUACAUGUUGUCAUUUAUUAAUUAAAAUUCUCCCCACUUUCUCCNUUGUCGCUUUCAUUUGUUUGUUUUUGGAUGGAACCAUCAAGUGUGUUUAACUUUUCGGCACAAAUAAUCUGUCUUAUCUUUUUUUUUUUUUUACUGAAACCUUGCAAACUAAGUAUACUGACGCUAUAAAUUUUUAUCCAAGGUGUUGAGAGUUUAUUGAUCCCUUUUGAUUUUUAGUAAAUAAACAAAAAAGAUAAGAUUAGUGAAAAAAAAAGCCAUUGGUUUAGAGCUAUUGUAAGAUUACAACCCAAAUUAAAUUUUAGAUCAAACACAACUUUUUUUUUAGACUAAAUUACAGAAAAUCCUUCUGUAAAAAUUCGAUAUUUCACUUUCCCUCCUGGCAUUUAAAAACAUAUACUUUGCUUUCUUGUAAAAUGAAAAAUAUUCACAGGAAGGUAUGGAGUAAACUGCGAUGAUAAAAUUAUCAUUUUGCUCCUCAUCAUGUUCAUAGGAGAGAAGGCUGAGGGCAUUUUUAGUAUAAAAAAAUAUAUAAUAAUAUUUUAUAAACGGAACCCUAACGGAUUACUAACGGUAGGGGGCGAAGUGAAUAUUUUCAUUUUACAAGAGAGCAAAGUGUAGGUUUUUAAAUGAUGGGGGAAAAGUGAAAAUCGAGUUUUGACAGGAAGAUUUUAUGUAAUUUAGUAUUUUUUUUUAUACUGUGAUUCUUAGCAAUCACAAAAAAGAAAAUUUUAAUGGAGAGUGAUGGACAAUUAUCGAAAGGUAAUUAAGGUGAAAAUAUUGAAAGAUAUAUCGACUAUUUUAAAUUUUGAAAGGAUAUUUUAGAUAUUUAUACACUUUUUAAAUUUAGCCAAAUUUAAAAAGUUAAAUGGUCCAUAGUUUAAAGUUAAAGUACCUGCUUUUUUUUCUUAAAUUUUUUUGGCUUUCAAAAAUUUAUAUGUAUCUUUUAAAACUCUUAAAUUGAUACAUUUACUCUCCAUCCAUUAGAAUUUUAUUACUAUUCCGUUUAUUUUUUAUAAUUUAUACCGAAAUAUUUUUACAAUAACAAAAAUAUAUUAAAUAUUUAUUUUUUAUUAAAAAUAAGUACAAAUAAUUUGAUCAUUUUUGUCUCCUCCAUUAACAAUUUAAUCCUCUAAAUAUAAUUUUAAAAUUUUAAAAGAAAAAAUAUAUAAAUUUCUAAAAUCAGAAGAAAAAGAUAAAAAAAAAAUUAUUUACAAAAAAAAAAUCCUGUAUUUUAGUCCCCCAAAAAAAAACAUAAAAAACACAUACUUGUUUCGCAUUUAACCCCGUGAAAUCUUUUUUGAAAAUAAAUAAUUCUAACAAAUUUAUAUUUGUAUAAAAAGCUUUCUCAUUGUCACACGAAUGUUAGCUAGUAUUUUUAAGUUAAACAUAGUGAUUCAAUCAUCAUAUUUAAACACGGUGACUGAAUCUUCAUAUUUUUUCUUGUAUUUUUUUUUUUUAAAUAUGGGUAUGAAUACAGUGAUUCUGCGCGGUAAGGAAAGAUUGUAUAUGCAAAUAUAAAUUAAAAAAAAAAAAAAAAAAAAAAAAAAAAAAAAUCACAAAACGCAACAGGGAAUAAGCAGAGAAUAUUCGCCAUCAUCUUCCUCCGCGUAGAGACUCUCCGGCAUGCGAAUGAAGCUGGAGACCACCACCGAUCAAUCCCCAUUCCACGCAGAAUUUGAAUCCGAGGAGGAAGAAGAAGAAGAGGAGGAGGAGGAGGAGGAGGAGGAGGAGGACGACGACGACGACGACGAGGAAGCUUCGUCUCUGAUGUCGCAGUCGUUUUCUCCGUUCUCCGCCGCCAAUGGCGAUGCAGCGGCGGCGGCGGCGGCGGAGGAGGAGGUGUCGGUGGUGGCGCCGCCGCUCAACUUCGCGAUGGUCGACCACGGCGUCUUCCGCUCCGGCUUCCCCGACGCCGCCAAUUUCGGAUUCCUGCGCACCCUCAACCUCCGCUCCGUCUUGUUAGCUCAACUCCCACCUCUACAUCUCUCUCCCCCCUCCUCCUCCUCCUCUCGCAAAUCCCCAAUCAAUCAAUCGAUCGAUCGAUCGAUCGAUUCACGUAGUUGCAUUUCGAUCUCUUUCAAGCGUAUACUCGUAGGCUUAUUCGCCCUUCGAUCUUUUUCGAAAAGUGUUUUCAUAAUAAUGAUAUUUUUUUUACUUUUCAGUAAACUUUGAUUUACUAUCGAAUCGCAACUUCAUCGAUCCAAACGCCAUGUAUGAAUAUCUUAUUCCGAAUAUACUUUUGAUUUAUCCAAGAAGUUAUAGUAUUUGGUAAACGGGAGAUGUGGUGUGAUACAUUAUCCUAUCACAUCAUGUAUGACAAAAUUUUUUAGGGAGCAAAUAUUAUGCUUUUUGGAAAAAUUCCGUGCCGAAUAAUUGUUUAAGGAUAUCUUAGUUCAACAUCCAAACAGGCCCGAAGCAGUUUAUCAGGCCUUGGAUUAAGGGUGUAGAGAUGUACACCCGCUGUAAAGAGUGUACAAAGUAGAUAUAUAUGAUAGCCAAAUAGUGCAUCAGCUUUUUCAGUAUUAUUGGAAGUUUCAGGAAGAUGCUUGAUGGUACUUUUGUACUUCAUCAAACAGCACGACAUCAAACAAUUGUCUCUCUAUAUAUUGUAGAGUCAGAUGGAACUUUGGCUUUUCAGUAUAACAGAAGCUUCAGGAAGAUGCUUGAUGGUACUUUUGUACUUCAUCAAACAGCACGACAUCAAACAAUUAUCUCUCUAUAUAUUGUAGAGUUAGAUGGAGCUUUGACUUUUCCGUGCGAUCAGAAGCUGCAUAUUAAUGCUUCUACAUUUAGGGAUCAGAAGUUCAUUUAUGCUAAACACAAAUUUUUUCUGUUCGUCAAAGGUUCUAUUUUGGAUAAUUUUAGUGGAAAGUAGAAGAAUAAGGGCUAGGGCUUGCUUGGCUCUGAUAUAAAGUGUAGGCUCUGAUGUAAAAUGUAGUGUUGUUUGAUAAAGUAUUUUAUUAUUAGUGCUCUUAGGUGAAGAGAUAUAGUAAAUCCUCUGCAACUAUUUUUAUUUGCACUAGAAUCUAAAGCUCCAAAUUUGACUUCUGAUUUUGGGCUUCCAAAUUAUAUUUUUGCUUUCCAUAACAGAAAAAGCUUUGGUUUUCCUGGUAGCCAGAUGCUCUUUAAUCAAUAAUUUCAGUCGAAAGCAAAAGCGAAAACAACCCAGAAGGCUUGUUUUGCCUUGUUAUAGGAUGUAGUCCCUGUUGUAGGAUGUAGUGUUGUUUGAUAAAGUACUUUCCAACAAGUGUUGUUAGAAAAAUGCAAUAUAUUAGAAGCUGCAAAUUGGACUCUUGAUUUCGGACCCCAAAUCAUAAUACUGUUCAUAUAUCUGAAAUUCUAGAUUCUUUUUUUCUUUUUCUUAUUGUCAAGCAUUUUGUUAUGGAUAGCUACAGCUGAAAGCAAAAGAAGUAGUACGCCAAACAAACCCUUAGUUAUAGCAUUUGCAUUGAUUUGGUGGAUGGUGAUAGUUUUGAUUCACCGCAGGUGUCUUUGCCCAGAACCCUACCCAGAGGCCAACAUGGAGUUCCUUCACGCCAAUGGGAUCAGGCUCUUCCAAUUUGGCAUUGAUGGUUGCAAGGUAAAAAAUACAAAAGAAAGGAAAGGCUGAAUACAUAUUGCUACACUUUGAUUUUAAUUAUCAAGGUUUGAUUCUAAAAGGUAAGCUACUAUAAACCAUAUAUUUUUGUAUUUGACAUUUCGUUCACUUGUAGGCUCAAUAUAUUUUGAUAUGUUAAGAUGUGGGUUUGAAUUAAACAGGAAGAAAUUAAGUGAAACUAAGAACCGAAAAAGACUUAUACUUACAAUUUCUAUGCUGAUAGCAUGUGAGCAACAAUUUGUCUUUAAAAGCUUAACCUGCUAGAGAAUGGUAUCUAAUAUUUUGUGUUAAACAAAGAGGUUUCAAAAUGUUAAUGUUAGUUUAUUCUGCAUUAGCUUAUGCCUCUAUUUAUAAUUACUGAAAGAAAAAUUCUCCCCAUUUCUCAGCCUCUGUUUACUUCUUUUCCUAUUCUCUGAUGUAUCUUUGCCAUUGAGGACUUUGUUUUGUGUGUUUCAAUUCUGUAUUUGGAGUAGUCAAUAGAAUGCUUUUGUGCACCCAUAGUUUUAGUUGCUUUUCUUAUGCUAGACAUAUUAAGGGGAAAAAUGAAAAGGACAAAAAAAACAAAAGAGAAUGAGGUUUGCAUGUGCUAAAGACAUGAGAAACUUGCGAUUAUCAUGCACCUACUUUAGAAAAUACUUGUAUUUUCUUGUGGUUCUUCAUCUUCCUCUUCUUCUUCUUCUUCUUUUUCGACUACGAAACCAUCUAAACAAACAGGCUAAAACUCACUACAGCUUACACUGAACAAAACAGCAUCUUGAUUAGUCGCAGAAGCUUAUGUAGUCCAAACCGAAAAAUUGCAAUCAAUUAUCAUCAAUGCUCUCUUGCUCCAUGGCCUGCGCACUACCGUAUUGAUUAGGUAGGGCAACUCACAAGAUUCAUUACCAAUGUUAGUUUGAGUAAUGUCCUCGGCUACGUAUUGAUAGAGAAUUAAAUAAACAGACCCUUCAUUGAUAUUCUCUAGGUUCUAAUCAAGUACCUUUCUUGUUCUCCAAAUAGUUUGACACACCCCAAUCAUCACUAAAUCAUUCUGCAACUGCAGAAGUAGCGAUAUGGAUAGAAACUGUCAUAUAUCAUCAUAGAUGAGAAAUUGAUGCUCUUUGGAUGCCAAUUUGCUGUUCUCUGAUAAUAAUCCGCAGCAAACUAAGGUUUCUGUAGUUGUGAUGAGUUUAUCUAAUAUAGUUGUUUAUAUUGAUAGAAACAAAUUUGCAUUACAUAUUUCAAUGUUUUCCAUAUGAUUAAUUUUCUACGAUUUCAUUAAUGACUUGAUUAAACUCAAUUAGGAACCGAUUAAUGUUCAAAGUGACUCAAACUAUCACCUAACACUUUUAGGUUCAUAUGUUUAUAGAAAAUUUAAGUGCUUAUUUCAAUAUUUUCUGACAUCUGCUCAUUUAUUUUCUUUUGGUAUCUGUGGUUGCACUAAAAGUGAUGUCACUGCAGGAACCUUUUGUCAACAUUCCAGAAGAUACAAUCCGCGAAGCUCUCAAAGUUGUUCUCGGUACGAAGCAUGCACUGAGUUUUUUUUUUCAAAAUCUUUUCUCUUCUAUAUCUCCUUGGUUGGCGUUCUUCUGCUUGAUUGAAUCGCUUAAUAUUUAUCGGGUCAAAAAAUAAAAAUAAAAAAAAUCUGUGCUGCAGAUGUCAGAAAUCAUCCAAUUCUUAUUCAUUGCAAACGAGGAAAGGUAAAGAACCAGAUUCAAAACUUCUUUUACUCCGUGUGUGCGUCUCUGUGUGUGUAUGUUGUGUAUGUUCAUGUGUAGGGGAAUCUUAAGAAUCAUCGGUUUCCACUUUUCCACCCAGUUAUUCAAAGUGUCGUCGCCUUUUACCGAUCUUUCAUUGAUGUUCCCUUUGCCCCUUACAAACAACCUACAUGUGCCGCUAAUAUAGGCAUUUAGCCAUCAUGUGGCUCACUAAACAAUUAUCUAUUACAACAAUUAGUAACAUUACGAAAUUACAUUUUUAUUUACAAUGCUUUAUUUUUUACGGCAAAUUGAACUACACAAUCUACAAGGCAUGGUGGUAAAGUGGAGCCGGGCUAUCCCACAUUGGUUAUUUAUGUAUAUAUUGCUCUGAUAUUCGGAACAUUUACUUGUGCAGCAUCGAACCGGUUGUUUGGUCGGAUGCCUAAGAAAGCUACAAAGGUGGUGCCUCUCCUCAAUAUUCGACGAGUACCGGCGUUUCGCUGCAGCGAAGGCGCGGAUUUCCGAUCAAAGGUUCAUCGAGCUGUUCGACAUCUUCAGUUUCAAACAUUCAUCGGCCUCAUUUUCAUGUUAGAACAUCUUAUCAAUGGUUUAGGUAAGUUAGUUUCUUGUUUUCUUUUUACCUUCAUUGAAGACUUUUGAGUUCUCCUGCGACUUGUUAUACUGCAAUUAUUUUAGAGAGGAAAUUCUUCUCCUUGUGACAGAUAAUACGGUCCUUGAGUAUAUUGUAGCAGUUUUCUGAAUCCAAUUGGGUGAAAUCAAUGUCAUCCUUGUUGAAAUGAGCAAGUCUUAUUCUGAAUUAUACUAAGAGUUUGAUUCCAUGAUUCAUUUAGAUGUAUUAGAGGAAGAUGGAACAGCUUUCCUAAAAUUUGGAGAUAGAUACUCAACGCUCCCGCCUUGUUUGUGAGCACUAUACCAUCGACCGGUGCUCUCUAUCGCAUAGAAUUUGUGUUUAGAAAAAUAAAAGAACUACAAGGGUGCCAAACGAGGCCUAACGCUUCAUUUCUCGUUAGAGUUGAGCUAGAUUGCUUCCAGAAGCGUAGAAACCUUCCAGUUUCAACUUCAUGUUGAAGGAUAGGGCACCUCAUUCGAGGACCGGCACUGUUAGACAUGAUAUGGAGUAUUUGAUGCGUUUAUGAGGUAAAUUUUAUCGCUCGUGAUUGAGCAAUUGUGAAAUGGAGGGCUAAAAGUGGACAACCUCACAAAAAUCGAUGGUACGAUUCUUUCAUUUCAGAUCAUGGGCAUUGAUCUUAGUUUGGAUUGUGAGAACUAUUUUUAUCAAAUUUUUCGCUCGAUUGGAUUGCUCGCAUACCUAAACUAACAAACGAUUCAUAUCGGCUAUUAAAAUUAUCGAUUCUAAGAGCUACUAUACUUUCGAAAGUAUAAAAGAACUGGUGUUUUCGACUUUUUGAGACUCGGAUUAAAGAUUGUAGGAUUGAAAUGAUAGUGGUCCCCUUAGGAUUUAGUGGUUCUCCUAAAGAGAAUAGAAUUAAUCCAAGGGCUAGAAAUAGUCAAAUAAUUUCGUUCAAGGGUUAAAAAAAUCAGAAGAGUAGUUCUUUCAAAAGCAGCAUAAUCAGACUCAUGUUAAUAAUAUUAGAAAAUUAUGAAAUUUGGUUUCAUAUCUAGCAGCACUGAUCGUCGAUUCAAAUGUUCAAUCAUUAAAAAUAAAGUGAAAGUACUUUUUUUUUUCUUUUCCCUUUUUUAAGACUCUUGUUGCAAAUGUGUGAAAAGAUAGUGGGCACUGAUUUUGUCAUCUUCUUUGGCAUGUCAAACUUGCUUGUGCUGCAUAUUCUGCUCAACAACAAUGUUCACAAAUUGGUAGGUGGAUGUCCCAAACAUGUCAUCAGAUUUAUAAUUAAUUAAUGCAUGUAAAAUCAGAAAACUGUAGUCCUAAAAUUUUAUGUAUUCAUAAUUAAUUAAGGGAAAAUUUCAAAAACCUCCCCUGUGGUUUCGUAGUUUCUCACUUUGCCCCCAUGUGGUUUAAAAUGUAUUAAUUUGUUCCCCUGUGGUUUCUUUUUUCUCUUUUUCUUAUCAAUUUCAUUAUUUUUUUUCUUAAAUCAGUGAUAAAGUUAAAAUUAAAGGUACUAAAGUGAGUAUUUGAUAAAUCUAGAUGUGUAUCUGAAGUUUUUUGUAUAUAAUUUAAUGAAAUAUUAACGAAAAAGCUACCGAAAAGAUAAAAACGAAACCACAUGGGGGCAAAUUGAUACACUUUAAACCACAGGGUACUAAAGUGAGAAACAAUGAAACCAAAGGGGGGUUUUUGAAGUUUUCCCAUUAAUUUAUUGUAAUUGUAGAGGUAUUCUUUUUUUUUUUUUGUUAAGAAAACAAAUUAUCAGAACAUGAAAUGUUAAACUAAUAAAUUUAACAUAUUUGUUUAAACUACUAUUUGAAUCCCUGGUAUCAAUGAAUAGGUUUUUCUAAAUUAUAGAAGGGAAUUUAAAUUUGGGUAAAAUAUCUUUUUCCUAUAUGAUAUUUGGAGUUUAGUACUUUUUUAGUCGCUCCAGAUCGGUCAAUUGAAUUGGGUCGUAUUUUGUGACCUUAUCAAUGGGACUCAAAUUCCACGACUGAUGUGAUCGCUCUGUUGACGUAUUCAUAUACUUUUGAAUAGAUGAUGUUAUUAGUAAAGCUGAUUUUGUUAUUGAUAUAUAGAUUCAUAAAAUUUUAAUUUUAAGCGUACGAAAAUUUUGGAAGCUGUAGGGCAUUUUAGACUAGACCACUCACCUUUACUUUUCCAUAUUGAUAUUUUUAAAAAAAAAUUUAAAAUUUAAAAUUUUAUUUGAAUUGUUUAGAUUUAGUUAAGUUGGAAAUUUCGUUUGGCCACUAAUUGGUAUAAUUUUAUUAGCUAAAAAAUAAUAAAAAUUAUUAAAUUUGAAGGCAAUAUUGACGUCCCCUUCCUUGCAACUGUAGGUCAUUCAACUUUACUUUAUCGUUUUAUUUUUUUUAUUUUUUAUUUGAUUUAUUAAUUUAAGAUAGAAAUUUUGUUUGGCCAUGAACCACCCUAAUUUUAUUUGUUAAAAACUAAUAAAAUUAGUAAAUUUGAUAGCAUUAUUGAUGUUUUUAAUUUAUUUGACUAAAAUUAUUUAAUUCUUAAAAAUUAGUGUAACGCAUCAUUUGAUCGGAAAAGCAUGAGACACGUGGAAUCGCACGUGAAUCAUAAGGACCAUCACACAAGACUAAAUAUUAUUGACUUAUAGCGAAGUAGUAUCGUGACCGAAAGAGUAUUUACGAUAUAAAUUUAUAUAUAUUUAUAGGGGUAAUAUUGAUAUUGACAAUUUUGAGGGAGCGCCUUAUGAUAUUUUCAAAAUUUUAAGAGAUACAUUUGAAAUUGCCCCAAGUAGAAAAGGCUUGUUCCCAUGCAUGUGAUAUUCCUCUAAGUUCAUAAAAAUUAAGAAAUAAUAAAAGAAGAAUUUGGAAAAUUUGAAAAAAAAAGGCUAAAUUACAGAAAAUCUUACCGGUCAAAAUUCGAUUUUUUACUUUUCCUGCCUGUCAUUUAAAAACCUACAUUUUGCCUCCUUGUAAAAUAAAAAAUAUUCACUUUACUCCCUACCGUUAGUGAUCCGUUAGAGUUUCGUUAUAAAAUAUUUUUUAUACCAAAUAUACCCUUCGCCCUCCCUACUGUGCAUCGCCCUUCUCCGCCUCGUCGUCUCGCCGACUCGCCCUCCUUCACUGCCUUGCCCUUGUCCACAUCUCCAUCUGCGCCCACAAACACCCUCUCGCCCUCCUCCGCCGCCUCGCCUUUGCUCUCGUUGUCCUUGCCUACCUUUCUAUCCAUGCCCACAUCGAUUUCCUCCAUACUGUCGCCGAAAUGGAGGGACGACGAGGGUGCAGAAGGAGAAUGGGAGCAGGUGGAGAAGAAAAUAGAAAAGAAUCGCGGUCAAUCGAAAUGCGAACCGAUCGAGACGGCGGAUGAGCAAAAUAAUGGAGGAGACGAAAAUAGUGAGGGGCAAAAUGAUCGUUUUGUCAUUACAUUUCACACCGUAUCCAUUGUAUGAAUAUUUUUCAUUUUAUAAUGGAGCAAAAUAUAGGUUUGUAAACGGCAAGGGAAAAAAAUGAAAAAUUGAAUUUUGAUAAGGAGAUUUUUUGUAAUUCAGUCUUAAAAAAAAAUCUCAUUAUACUUAGAUGCCAUUUAAUUUUCCAUCAAAUAAAAUACGAGAAAAUAAAUAAUUUGUAUCGGUUACGAACAAACGAACGGACCUUAAAUUCGAUUCAAUAAUUUUAAUUCGUAUUUAUAUUUGAAUUUUUUCUAAUAUUUUGAAUUCGAAUUCAUGUUUUCACACCUAUCACUUUUAUUACCUAUUUUCACACCUAUCACUUUUAUUACCUACCAAAAAUAAGUAGGUGGAAUUAAAAAAAAUUAAAAAAAGGUGACGUCAUCACCACCGAAUAAAAUAGAACUUUCCAGAAUAUUCUAGGUAGGAAGAUUCAACGUGCUUUGCAUACGGGCCCCAAAUGUAGAAAAGUAAUUAAAUAAAGUAAAUAAAUAAAAUAAAAUAAAAUAAAAUAUUUACCGGUCGCACGUGUGAAAUUGUUUAGUAAACGUACGCCCGCACGUGCGCAUCAUUCAAGGUCACACGUUGUGGGUCCCAUAGAUCUCAGUUGACUGGUCAAUUAUUUUUUUUAAGUUUUUAUUUAUAUUUAUUUAUUUAUUUAGUUACGUUGUUGUCUUAGGUUGAAGGAAAAUUGACAAUGGUCCCUAAACUUUUCUGAGUUUGCAUUGCGGUCCCCAAUCUUUUUUUGGUUGUACACAAGAUGUCACGACACGAAUACAAACACAGAAUAUGUAAAACGAUACGACUAGAACACGGCAACUCUGUAGCUCCCAAAAGAUUAGAAUACGAACACGACAGCAUCGCAAAUAAAAUAUAAUAUUAUUAAUUUAAUAUAUAUUUAUGGAAAAACUUCAAAUAUUAUUUCUUUGAUUUCACACUUUCUCACUUUAGUCCCUGUGGUUUAAAGAGUAUCAAUUUAGUAUCCCGUGGCUUCCUUCUUAUCUUUUUAUUAUCGAUUUCACUAAUUUUUUUUAUUAAAUUAGUGAUAAAGUUAAAAUUAAAGAGUGCUAAAGUGAAUAUUCGAUAAACUUAGGUGGGAUAUCUGAAGUUUUUUUCGUAUAUAAUUUAACAAAAUAUUAAUGAAAAAGCUGACGUAAAGAAAAAAAUAAAAUCGCAUGACACCAAUUUAAUAUACUUUAAGUCACAGGGUGCUAAAGUGAGAAAUUAUGAAAUCACGAGGGUGGUAAUUGAAGUUUACCCUCUAUUUAUUAUAUAUAACAUAUUCACAAAAAGACUAAUUAGCUUUUGGUGUAAAAUAUAUGAUAAAUGGAGAGAGUGCGUGUUACGAUUAUUGUCGGAUCUUAGUCCAAUAUAGAUUUCUUAUUAGAUUAGGAUUAUUUAUUUUAUUAAAUCAGAAAAAAUAUUUUAUAUAAAAUACUUACUAGAAUAGAAAUAUCUUUUAAUAUAUUUUAUUCUUAUUCAGUUUUCUCGUCAUAUUAUAAUUAUUAUAAUAAUUUUAGGCCUACAAGUAAGAGGCUCUCCUCUUUUGUACGUAAUAUGAUCCAUUUCAUUAAUAAACAAGUGAGCUCUUCUUAAUAGCUUUUAACUUACGCAAAGUUAGAAGAAGAGAACCCUAUUCUCUUUGGAGAGAAGAGACAGCUAAUGAGAAGGUGCCAUCUUUUAAUAAAAAACUUUCUCCCAAAGGUUUAUAUUCUUGUAUUUUUUAUAAUAUAGAAGUUUGUAAGUAGACCUGGCAAACGGACGGGUUGGGUAAUCCGCGGGCGGGUCAUUCUACCUGCAAGUUACUUGGGCAUGGGUAAGAUUUACCGGCAAAUUUUUAGAUAGCCAACAUCUUUAUCCAUACCCGCCCGCGGGUGGGCGAGUGGGUAUGUGGGUUAUCCACAAAUUUUUUUCUUUUUUUCUCAUAUAUUUUUUAUAUGCAAAACACACAUAUAUAUAUAUAUAUAAAUUUAAAAAUAUAACAUAACACAUUAUUUGAAAUAUAAUAACAUACAAUAAAAAUAUUUAAAGUAUUAAAGCAAAAAAAUUUCGUAAUAUAAAAGACGCGAUAAGAAAUUAUGGUUAGAAUUUUUAGGAUGGAUAAAUAAAAAUAUAUAUAUUUUAAUUAUGAAAAUAUAUUUUUUAAUUAAAAAUAUAUGUGCGGGUAGCCAUGGAUACCCGCGGGUUAUCCAAAAUGCCCACAGCUUAAUGGGUACCCACCCGUUUUAUCCGUAAUUUUUUGGGUUGGAAAAGUUGGUACCCAUACCCGCAAAUUUGCGGAUAACCCGAGGGCACCCGCGGGUAUGGAUCGAGAUUGUCAGGUCUGCUUGUAAGGCUUGAUAUUAUUGAUUUGGCGGUUUCUCUAUGGCUUGUAAUUGGUUAGUUGUUUUUUUUUUCCCAUAUAUCGGAUUGCUUCCUCUUCUCCUGAUUCCUGUUGCAAGACAGAACUAUGGAUUUUCUAAAAUAUCAUUUUGAAUGCCAUGCAUAGAAUUUUUUUUUGAUAAAAAUAAACUUUUUUAUAAUACAAAUCGUUUCUAGUGUAAGUGGUAAAAAACUUGAUAUAUGGUUGAUACCCAAAGUCCUAAGUUUCAAGUUUAGUUGCUUCACAUUUUCUGAUAAGUUCAUUUCUUAAAAAAUGAAUGAAAUAUAGCAUACUAUCAUUCUCUCGAAAUAAAAUAAAAUAAGCUUUACUUCAGUCGAGAGCGCGUAACUAGAUUAAACCAGACUCAAAUUAGAUAAGAACAAACUCUAGUUUUGGCUCGUAACUGCAUGAAAAGCUUCAAGCUCUUGCAAUGAGCCAGCUGUGAGGAGUAAAAGAUGAUGCAUAUCGGGAGUAGGGCUACUACACUCUUAUGAGUAUAGAGCCCUUUGUACUCAUAAGUUGUUUUUGAUGUUGGGAUUUUCGAAUCGACGAUCCAUACCAUUAAAUAUGAUCAAGAGUAUUUGAAACUUCUAGAAAAUAAAUUUCGUAAUUUUUCGAAAUCAUUAUAAAAUCCAUCAAGCGGGUAUAAAAUGAAUGGUUAAAAUCGAACGACAUCCUAAAAAUGGAUGAUCGGAUCCUUCAAUUUAAGAUCAGAGUUAUUGAUCUUUAUUUAGGUAGUGAAUAUAAUUUUCUAUCAAAAUUAAAUUCAACCUAUUACGAUGUUUUUCACCGUUAAACUAGCAAAUAUUUCAUACCGACCGUUAAAAAUUGUCAAUUUUGUGAGCUUUUGAUCGUAAGGUAAAUGAUACCGAAAAAUUAUAAAACUUGAUUUCUAGAAGUUUUAAAUGUUUUAAAUAAUAUUUAACGGUAUGGAUCGUCGAUUCGAAACUCUACCAUCAAAAAUAACUUAUGAGUACAAAGGCGAUCGUACUCAUAAGAGUAUAGUAGCCGGACUCGUAUAUCAAAACCCUAGAUUUUGGCACGUGGAAAAAGAUAGUAUUCAGGAUGUCAAGUGCGUUGAAAAUACUAAUAUGAUAAGAAAACUAAAUAAAAUUAGAAAAUAUCCAAAAAUAUUCCUAAUUUAGUAGAUAUUUCAAAUAAAAUAUCUUUAAUAAUUUAAUAAGUAAAAUAAUUUAUAUCUAAUAAGAAAAAGGACUAUAAAUUUAGGCAGAUUAGAAUUCACGAGUGUGUCCGAUUAGGAUAUGUGGAUAAUCAUAAUAGCGAGCCCUUGGUAUAGCAACUUUUUCCUUAGCAUUUUUGUUGGCAUAAAGGAGUCAGCAUCUUGCCCUGUGGCGGAAGGUGAUCAAGUAGGGCCGAAUCAAGUUUGAAAUGGCGGGAGGCCAAGUUGAGCUGAGUUCGAAAUGGCAUGCGGCUGAUUAGGCUGAGUCACAAUCGAAAUUCGUAUGCACUGUGUUUGUCUGUUUUAAGUAAAUUGGUUUCGUAUUUUUUUAGAAAGAUUGACCUUCUUAGUGUGACCAAGUCAAAUCCAUCUGAAGGGAAAUUUUGGCCUGCAUCAGAUGUAUUAGUACAUCUCACACAUGUCAUUUAGAAGAUGCAAGUGCGUAUAAUUGUUUGUGAAGGUUUAGAAUUUAAUUUAAAUUUUUUUAUCUUUUGAGUAGUAUGAAACUGACUCAAAACAACAUUACUUUAUAUAAAAACUUUAAAUUUAAAGCAUUUGGACCUCUCUAGCUUACUCUCCAUUUUACAAAUAAAAAGAAACUAAAUUUUAGAGAGAUAGAGAGAGACCAAUGGGUGAAAUAUUUUGCUCUUAUAUUAUAUUUUCUUCAGUUUACGAAAAAGUUAAAUAAAAUUGCGGUUAUUUUGCCAUAUUUUAUAUUGCUAUAAAAGCUAAUUGAAACAACUAUGUGGAAGAAAAUAUAUAUAUAUAUAUAUAUAUAUAUAUAUAUACAUACAUAUAUCUUAAAACUAAAUAAAAACCGAAAAAAGGAAGUUAUAAAUUACCAAACUAGAAGCUAGAAAAUACUGAGUUUAUUUUAUUUCUUGUAUCUCCUUGUAAAUAAAUAAAUAAAUAAAUAAAAAUAAAAAAAUUAAAAUGAAAAUAAAAAUUAAACCAUAUUCACCCACCCUUGAUUUAAAAGGAUUAUUUUUCUCUUUUCUCAAACAACGCUUACGAAACAGGAGAAGCAUUUUUCAGUUGCUCUAAUCCCAACCCGGCCGCGUAUUCUAUAUAUCCGGCCAGGCCAGGCCGAGCCGAGCGAAGCCGAGCCAAGUUACGGGCCAAAUCCUCAACCUGGCCCAAGGUGUUUACCUGAACCUAUCCAAGUACAACACUCGAUUAUAAAAUAAAACCCUUUUGAAGUUUUUUGGGGGGCACCAAAGCACGUAAGAGUGAAACGAUGGGACACCAAAUUUUGCAUAGUUAAACGGGGGGACACCAAAGCAAAAAUAGAAAAACAAUAGUUAAAAUAAUAAUAAAAAAAAAUUUUAGUCACUGUUUCAAUUUUAAUUUCCUAUGAUUUCACUGAUAAGCUAUUUAUAUCUACCAAUAGACUUCAAAAAACAUAUAUUAAAUUGCUUUAUAAUUGCUUUUUCGAAGGCUUUUCUAUUUUUACUUUGGUGUCCCCCCAUUUAACUAUGUAAAGUUUGGUGUCCCAUCGUUUCACUCUUACGUGCUUUGGUGUCCCCCCCAAAAACUUCAAAAAGGAUAAAUCCCUUUUGAAGUUUUUGGUAUAUUAGGUAGUAAACUUCAAAAUAAAUAAAUAAACUCUGUUAGAGGUUCUAUUUUCUGGUAUAUUAGGUAGUAAAGCAGAACGAAAUUCUAGGCACGUAGCGUGAAAAUUUUUAUCGCUUAAAUUACAAGAGUGUAAUUUUAUUUUUAAUCAACGUAUGUCGAGAGAAACAUUUGUAUAGCUUAUCGUUUAUAUAGGAUUAUUUCAAGUUGAAAAAAUAAAAAUAGACACAUUUUUAUGUAACUAUAAAUAUAAAUAAAGAAACCAAACAAUGGCAAUUUCAUGACAGAUAAAAAAUUGUCGUCUAUUCACUUUAUUAUAAAAAUAGGAAUGAUUAUAAAAGGAGGUUUUCAGAUAAUCUGUCUUUAUAGGAAAGUUUUUUUAUAAAAUAAGUUAUUAUAUUCUCCCCAUUUUUCUAGUUAAAUUGAGUAGAUGAUUGUGAAAAGUAUCUUAUUCAUUAGAAUUAAUUCGAAGUCAAAUUUAAGAACAACGAACUUUCUUUCUUUCUUUACCAUCACACUCAAAAAAAAAAAAAAAAAAAAAAAAAAAAAAAACCAAUGAAGUAAACUAAGGAGUAUUCAAAGUAUACUAGUUAGAUGUACCUAUACCCUUUCGGUACCACGGAAAAGAACGUGUAUUAAAUCGGAUAGACGGAUCGAUGUAGUGAUCACCAAUGUGUUAUUUUAUCUCUCAAACGUUACAAUGAAAAAAAGGGGGGAACAGUGUUGGAUUAAUUCGUUAAGAAAGAAAUCAGGUACUUGAAAUGAUAGGUUUUAAGUUGCUAAUAAAUAAAUAAAUAAAUAAAUAAAUAAAUAAAUAAAAUCUAUAUCCAUUAUACGAUGGGCGAAGCAAAUAAAAUAAAUUUUUAUUUGAAUCGAUCUUUACACUUAGUUACUCUUAAGCUUAAACCUUGGAGCCCAUGGUUGGUAGUUCGGGAAACGGUGAACGAGAUCUCUGCCAGCCAUUAUUAAUAAAUUAAUGCUUCAUGCAAACGUGCCGAAUUGGAACUAAAGUAAAAAAAAAAGAGAAGUUAAAAUUACUGGAUCGAUCAGGGAUUUCAACUAGUGAAUAUAGUCAAUAAUCAAUUUAAGAAAAUUGUUGAAUUUAACUUAGUUUGUAAUUGGCUGAUUUAAUAACAUUAACUUUGAGAGGUUGUCCUUCCUUUUUUGAUACGGUUUGAAGUUAGGUACGUUUUAAAAUCUUACUUAUCUAAAUCCCCGGCAAACCAACUUACAUCAAUAUCUUUGUCACAUCAACUUUUAUGUACGUCAACGUUUACGACGUCAAUAUUGAUGUGGAUCAGACAAACCAAAAUGCGUCAACGUUGACGACGUCAAUGUAAAAAAGAGAAACCAUUAUACUUCGACUAUCAACAUAAAUACUUAAAACAGUGGAGAAGUCUAUCUCAACACUCCAAUGGAAGUGAUUUGUAUUUUAUUAACAUGUUUAAAUAAUUAAUAAAUUUAAAUGAUAAAUAUUUAUUUAUUCAUCUAUAUAUAUUAUAAAAAUAUAAAAAAUUAUUAAGAAGUUGAAUAAUUAGCUGUGUAAAUUUUAAAAAUUAAAUAAAUUAAAAUUAUAUAUUUAGUUUGAAAUUUUUAAAUUUGCUAAGAGAGUAAAAAAAAAUAGUUUAAAUUAUUAAUAUUAAUUAAUUUUGAAUAAUUUAAUUGUAUGUGCUAGUGUAAGAUAUUUUUAAAUCUUUUUUUUUGAUAUAAAUAUAAAAUUUAUUUUAUUUAAAUUUUUUUAAUUAAAAAACGUGUUUCGAACAUAACAGAUUUUUUAAAAUAAUCAUACUCAAAUAAAUAUUUAUAAAAAUAAAUGGAUAUAUGUAUAUAAUAAAUAAAUAAAUCGAUAAAUAAAUAAAUAAAUAAUAAUAAUUAAACAUCCACUAGGAUAGGGAGUGGUUGACGACGUCAACCUUGAUGCUGGUUAAACCUACAUCAAGGUUGACGUCGUAAACCCGGAAGAACACGUCAACUUUGACGUCAUCAACUUGAGUUGAUGUGAUUUGGUUUGUUUCUUUAACACUGACGUGCAUAAACGCUGACGUGACGUGAAGGUUUAUGCAUGUUGGUUUGUCGGGNCCAAAUUUAAAUUUGAAAUAUAUAAAAUAUCAAAUUUAAAAUUUUAAAAUUUAAAAUAUCAAAAUUAAAAUUUAAACUUUAAAAUUUGAAAUUUUAAUUUUCAGAUUACAAAUUUUAAAUUUAAAAAUCUUAAAUUUUAUUUUAAAACAAAACUCUCUCUCGGGUGGGAACAAGCUUGGUGGGAACAAGCUUGUUCCCACCGUGGGUGGGAACUAUUAAGUUCCCAUCCUAAGCGCCGCUUUGGGUGGGAACUAUUAAGUUCCCACCCAAAAAUUUUUGUUUGGGUACAAGAUGGGGUAUAAGGACCUUAUAUCCCAUCUUGUACCCAAUCCAAAUGGGCCCUUAAGGUACCGUUUCAGGUAUAAGUAAGAACUAGUUAUUACAGGGAUAGGUACAAGUAUGGAGAUAAGAAAAAUAGUGUUUGGAUGAAAAUUUGGUUGUUUUCGGGGAUAAGAAAAAUAGCGUUUGGAUAGAUAAUAUGGAAUAAAAAAAAUAUUAGAUAGUUUUAUAUAGAAAAUGGAGGUGUUGGUGGUGAUAGUUAUAACCGGUUAUUAUAGGUAACCGAGAACUACUGUUCUCGGAUAAAAAAUUAGUAUUUGGAUAUAAAGGGGGAUAAGGGCCUAUCCCUAUUUCUAUCCCCUAACCAAACACUGCCUCAGGGUAAACUUCAAAUACCACCUCUGUGGUUUCGUACUUUCUCAUUUUAAUAUCAUGUAGUUUAAAGUAUAUCAAUUCAAUACUCUGUGGUUUCAUUUUUCUCCUUUCUCAGCUCUUUCGUUAACAUUUCGUUAAAUUAUAUACAAAAAAUUUCAGAUAUCUUAUCUAGAUUUAUCAAAUAUUUACUUUAGUACCUUUUAGCUAGUUUAAACUUUGUCACUGUUUUAACGAAAAAAAAAAAAAUAGUGGAAGAGAUAAUAAAAAGAAAAAAAUGAAAUCGUGGAGUAUUAAAUUAAUACACUUAAGCUAUAGGGUACUAAAAUUAAAAAAGUGCGAAACAACUGGGGUGAUAUUUGAAGUUUUUCCUUUUUUAAAUUUAGCAUUAAGAGCGUGUCUAAUU